rnacentral:lncRNA from 1 species
UUGGCAGCAACUUUGCUUGUCUUAGCACUUUCUCUUGGUUUUGUAUCUGAAACCACCGCAAAUUACUACUACUCUUCUCCUCCUCCACCGGUCAAACACUACACUCCUCCGGUGUACAAGUCUCCUCCACCACCGGUAAAGCACUACUCUCCUCCGGUUUACAAAUCCCCACCUCCACCAAAGAAGGACUACGAGUACAAAUCACCUCCACCACCGGUUAAGCAUUACUCUCCUCCUCCAGUUUACAAGUCUCCACCUCCUCCCAAGAAACAUUACGAGUACAAAUCACCUCCUCCACCGGUUUACAAAUCUCCUCCUCCUCCGGUUUACCACUCACCUCCACCACCUAAAAAACACUACGAGUACAAAUCACCUCCUCCACCGGUUUACAAGUCUCCUCCCCCUCCGGUCUACCACUCUCCUCCACCACCUAAGAAACACUACGAGUACAAAUCUCCUCCUCCACCGGUUUACAAGUCUCCUCCUCCUCCGGUCUACCACUCUCCUCCACCACCUAAGAAACACUACGAGUACAAAUCUCCUCCUCCACCGGUUUACAAGUCUCCUCCUCCUCCAGUCUACCACUCUCCUCCACCACCUAAGAAACACUACGAGUACAAAUCACCUCCUCCACCGGUUUACAAGUCUCCUCCUCCUCCAGUCUACCACUCUCCCCCACCACCUAAGAAACACUACGAGUACAAAUCUCCUCCUCCACCGGUUUACAAGUCUCCUCCUCCUCCGGUCUACCACUCUCCUCCACCACCUAAGAAACACUACGAGUACAAAUCUCCUCCUCCACCGGUUUACAAGUCUCCUCCUCCUCCGGUUUACCACUCUCCUCCACCACCUAAGAAGCAUUACGAGUACAAAUCUCCUCCUCCUCCGGUUUACCAGUCUCCUCCCCCUCCGGUUUACCACUCUCCCCCACCACCAAAGAAACACUACGAAUACAAAUCGCCGCCACCUCCCGUCUAUUCUCCUCCUCCACCGGUUCACUACUCACCUCCUCACCACCCCUACCUUUACAAAUCUCCACCUCCUCCAUACCACUACUAGAUAAACUGAUCGUCAGACUCAUGGUAAUUAUCACUUCUCGUACUUACCAACAGCAUGGUGCACCUCAAUUAUAGUUUCUUAUUUCAUAGGUUUACAUUUAUUCUUGCAGGAGUUGACGACACUACACAAGAAAACAAAUAAUCUUUUGGUGAUAUAAUAAAAGAUACAAGAUCAUUAAGAGAUAAUAUCGAAACGGAUAUAUUUUCUAAGAGAAGUUUCCCAUUUAAUGUGUUUUUUUCUCCCAUAAAAUAAGUUGUUGGAAUAAACUUCAAACAUGUUUGAUGAGUUGUCCCUUCAUGCAUGCAAAUUGGUCAUAUGUUUGUAAGUUCAAGUCGUGUUUUCUAAAUUACAGUUUCAAAGUUUGAUUGUUUACUUAAAUAAAAGUAUAAGUUCAUUUUCGUUUCCCUUGCUCCACUAAGUAUUAUUCCUAGUUUUAGUUGGCUGCUAUAACUUCUCAAAUAAACCAUUAUACAAAGAACAAAACUUUUAAAUAUAACUAAAAAAAGAAUAAUGCUAAUUUUAAUAACGCAGACACCGCCGGCUAAACUGUAAACCCGAAAUCUUAAAUUCUCAAUCGUAAACCGUAAAUCUUAAACCCAAACCUUAUACCCUAAACCCAAAUCCUAGACCCAAACCGUAUACUCUAAACCAAAAUCCUAGACCAUAAACCCAAACCGUAAACCUUAAAUCCAAACCCUAUACCAUAAACUAAAUCCUAGACCCUAAACCCAAACCGUAUACCCUAAACCUAAACGCUAUAAAGUUUGGGUUUAGGGUUUAGGAUUUAGGUUUAGGGUAUAUGGUUUGGGUUUAAGGUAUACAGUUUUGGUUUAUGGUAUACAAUUUGAGUUUAGGGUUUAGGAUUUGGUUUAGGGUAUAGGGUAUAGGGUUUAGGUUUAAGAUUUAAGGUUUAGGGUUUAGAAUUUAAGAUUUAGGGUUUAGCGGCAUCAUCGUCAUUAAAAUUGAAGUUAUUUUUUUUAGUGAUUUUUAAAUAAAUUUAAUAUUUUUUAAUUAAUUAUCUACGUGACAUAUUGAUUAGUCAUGGAAAGAGAUAUGAAUUUAAAAGUUUUUCCUAGAGGUUUAUGGGGUGAAGCUAAGUUUGUUCUCGUACAAAAACCCUUCCCCAUGCAAAACCCUUCCCCCCACCCCGAAAAAAAUAAUUAAUAUACUAAAAGUUUCCUGAUAUACAUGAAAUGGCAUAUAUGUAUCAGACUAUCUAGCGGAACUGGUCAACAACACCUAACAGUCGUCUUAUUUCUAAGCAAUAAGCUCAAAUGCAGCAUUAACCGCCGGUAAACAAAUAUUACAGGAUUGCCGUUAGCUUAUACACGUCACAUGCCUUUCUAUUGCUUCUGAGAACUAAGGAAAUGUCAUUUUUGUUUGGUUCCACCAACCCUUCAGUCUUCAGAUUAACCAACACCAAAUACAUUAAUUAUGAAAUUACGCAAGUAAAUGGAUGCAGUGAUUAAGUAUACAUUUUUCUUUUAAAAUGUUUAUUUUCUGUAAUUUGGUAUAUGGAUUCAACAUGUUUUUGCAUUUAGAUCCUUGUGUGCUUGGAAGAUUUUUAUAUCAAUUGCCAUUUAACUCAUAGAAAUGCAUAAACAGAGCCGGCCCAUGGUAUAAGGCUACAAGUAGGAUAAGCGGUCGCUUUGAGCCCAACAUUUUAUGGGUCUUCGUUAACUAUCAAAAAGAUCUGAUUUAUUCUUUUCGUUUUAAGUUCAAACUAGCUUUUGAUCCGCGCGGACGGAUGCAUGUCCGAUGUAAUCAAAUGUUUUUUGUAGUUUUAAAAUCAUUCAUGUUAGUGUUUCAUAUGUUAUUGAGUUUUGACAUUAGUGUAUCUUGUUUAUUUUGUUUAGUGUACAUUUAUAAAGUAUGAGGUUUUAUUCUUCUUAUUUUGUAAUAAUUUUGUUUUGCUUGGUAAACUAAACAUAAAGUGUAUAAUAUUAGAGGAUUUAGUUGAGGUUUAAUAGUUUUAUUAAAGAAGAAAAAUUAAAUUUUGUGAUUUAUAUCAUAUUUUUAAGUUUUGUUUAUGUAGGUUUUAGUAAAAAUAAAUAUGAUAGCAACUAUAAACCAAUUGGAAAAGUAACCACAAAAAUAUAUAUAUAUCUCUCGUAAUUAUAUUAACAAAGCAUAAUUAGAUGAAUUGAUUUGAGCCAUUUGGUUGUGAUAUUUAAAUUAGUAUCAUUUGUAACCCAAACAAUAGUGGACCUAAAAAACAAAUGAAAGCCCAUUGAAUAUUUUUUCCGGGAAGAAAACAGAAACCAUCUGCCUUCUAUGUGUUUUUUUUUUCCGUAGAAACUUUGGGAACUCCUACCGAUCUCUUCGUCGGUGCUAUCUGUUGUUCAAGCGAGAUCUACAGACACGCCUAUGAUUGUUUCACAAAAAGGAUUUCUGAAGAUAGAUCUACUCAUUACUACGGCAGAUCAUGGCAUACAUGUUUAAUCGUGUUCCUAUUCCUCGAACUUUGUUUGUUUCGAUUAUUUGUCCUAAUUUCUAUUAUGUGUAAUGAUUUUGUAAACACGAUCUAAGGUUUGGAAGACGAAGACCCUUCUCUCUGAUAGAUAGAGGCCGUAGCGUGUAUAAUCAAGUCUUCAAACCUCGUCGAAGUAAACGAUGAGUAAUUACUAACAGAAGGUCGUCUUUGUUCGUGUUUAUUCAAAGGUAAUUCUAAUCUAUAAUUUUAAGUUUAACAACAGAUGUCCGCUUCUGUUGACUGUCUCAGUUCUGAUAAAUUGGCUAAUUUUGAGAGUUUUAAUUCAUGAUCUCGCACUUUAGAUUACUAAUUUAGACCAACUACUGUUUAUGGAUAGAAACAGAAGGACAUGGGAGAUAAGGAUUUAUAGAAAAGCCCAGGGAGAGUGAUGGUGUCGGAUAGAGAUGAUCAUCAAUUGUAAAAUGACAUAGCAAAGGGAAGGCACAAUGAUCAUUUAGUGGAAAGUAUCAAGUACCAGUAGUGAAGAUGAAAAAGAAGACAACAACCAAGACAUGACAACAGACUUACUACACGGUUAGUAAUCACUUCUCUAUUGUAACUAAUUACUAAUGUGAAAGAAAAGUAGGACUGUCUAGAAAACAUGUUUAGAUUAGAGAACCCCGGAAUGUCUUGGUUGUUAUUAUGCAGGAUAUAGUACUUGAUAAAUAUUAAAGGGAUCAUGCUUACGGUUAGAAAGGGCAGAAUAAUAGUUUCAGCCCUUUAAUAUAAGGGCUAGGAAUUUAUUUACCCAUUGGUCUGCUAAAACCAUCUCAAAGGUAUCUCUAAAAGGGGUAUUCUGCCUCCACGAAUGUAAGCACUUAACUUGACCUCGCCAGUUAUUCUUGAAAGGCCUGAGUUUUGUGAGAUGAUGGAAAGUUGUAAUUGCAGACAUUUUUGGAGGAUUUGCUUUGAAUGAUACGAUGUUGAAGCUAUAGAGGAAGAGGUAUAUAUACGUAGUUAGUAAAGGGCUGAAACUCACGCAUAGUAAGAAAUACCUAAGAUUUUGUUAGUUUUGAUUUUUUUUUGUAUUAAAUAGCGGAUCAAAGUCUAUAUGAUUUUAUUCCAAGAUUGAUCCGUUUGUUAGUUGCUUAUAUAAUAUAGGUUUUGAGAUAUUAGAUUGUUUACGGCAAGAUUUGUUACAAAAAUUGAUAUCGAAUUUUAUGAUAGUUGCUUAAAUAUAGGAAUAUAUUAUGGAAACAAAUUAUUUAUAGGUUAAUAAUAAAUGUUUGACGUGAUUUGGACGAUUAGAAACUUAAAAAAGUAUUUUCUGGUAGUUUAUUGAUAUCGAAUUUGCUUAAAUAUAUGGAUAUAUUUUGUAAGGUAAGUUGUUUUGGCAAAUAAUAAAUGAUUAGUUUUGAUUUUCACUUUUCACAUAUAUUGAAAAAAUCGUAUUCUAUUCUGUAAGUUAAUAUUGAACCGGAAUUACAUGAUUUAUACGGGUUUAUUGAUAUAAACUAUGAUCGUUUGGUAUGACAUAUAUUUGUAUCUGUCUAAUAAACUGGUUUUGAUUCUGCAGACCAAAACUACUAAUCUGAUGCACUGAAGUAAGGGAGUAUGACAAUGAUAUACAACGGUAUGAAAUAGGUAAACAGCAAUUGUAUUUUUAUUGUUUUGUGAUGUAGAUGUUUAGUAAUGGUUUGUAAUAGAUGAUUUAGUAGUAAGAUAAAACGUCUGUGUUUAAUGUAAUGCAUAGAACGAUAUGUUAGGAAGUGGUAGGAUGUGGUUUAAUUUAAUGGUACGAUAAGUAAGGAAACAUGUUUCUCGGUUUAAUAAUAAACGUAUUUCUUGGUUUAGUAGAGGAUGAAACUCUAAGUUUAAUGUCAGUGGCAUUCUGUGGUAAUAUUUGAAAAAAACUAAGGGGUAAGUACAAAAUGUACUUCUGUUUUAAUAGUUUAGAUACUGAAACGGUUCCUUGGUUUGUAUUUGUACCGUUAAGGGUUUUCACAAUUUGCUAAAUCAAUGUCGUCAGUGAAGAUAUCUGGAUUUAUUCCGUGAUUAAGGUCUCGUCGUAUAUAUUAAUCGAUCAGGUCAACUAUUUGUUCUUUGUUUUCUUUGUCGUUGUUCUUGAUAGGUAAAUCCAUCAGGUUUCACAUCUGCUCCUCUAUAUUCCUUUCUACCGUGCACGUUAACGUUACAUACAGACAUAAAGAACUUUAUGUAGAUAUAAAAAAAAUAUGUAGAAAAUACAUAUGACUAGAUUAAAAUCUGCGACUUGCGCGAGAUAAACAUUAUAUAUAUAAAUUAUUUUAUGUAUUAUAUGUUCUUACAUAUUAUGAAAUAAUAAAUAUAUAUUGAAUAAUUAAAAAUCAGUAACUAUUACGUAUAUAAUUAAAUUGGUGCGAACGUAUAAAUCAAUUUUUUAAAAAUUUGAUAGGAUAUGUAAUUAAAUUUAAAUGAUAUUAACAUACAUAGUAUAUUUUUAAUAUUAAUGUCUAUUAAAUGAUGCUUUCUACUCAUAUGUUUUUUUGAUCAUGUGCAUCUUUAAGAGCAAAAACUUUAAAUUAGUGAUAACAAAAUUUUCAUUGUGGGAUUAAUAAUUUUAGUAAUUUAUAAUUUUAAAAAAAUUAUCAAUGGAAGUUCAAAACUUUUAUCAAAAAAAAUUAUUCAAAGUAAAUUUUGAAAUUAAAAUAUUUAUUUAUUCAAUAUGGUUUAUAGUUUAAUUUAGAAUGAUAUAUAUACAUAUGUAUUUUAAAUCUUAAUGAUUAAUUAAAUUAUAAUUUUAUUUAUAUGAUUUUGUAAUCAUUUGUAUUUUGUCAUAACAAAAAUUUUAAACAAUGGAUCGCAAAAUUUGAAUGUGAGACUUUUAACAGUUUUAGUAAUUUAUAGUUUUUUUUUUAAAUUCAAAAUAUAACAUAUACAAAAAAAUCUAAAUUUUUAUAAUAUGGUUAUUGUGAUUUUUUUAAAUUAUUUUAAUAGUUUAAAAUUAAACAAAUUUGAUAGAAGAUACAUUAUUUUUUUAUCAGAUCUUUAUUAUUCAAAAUCAUUAAUUGUCAUAUAUACUUUAGCCACAUUAAGCAAUUCCGUAAUUUUUAUUUAAGGAAAUAAUAAAUGACAUUAAUAAUGAAUUUAUGGUUAGUUUAAUAAAAAGCUUAUUAUAUAUUUAGAUGGACCAACAUAUUUCUCUAAUUAUUCUAAGAAUCAUUCUAGUGAUGACAAAUGACUACAAAAAGAAGUUGUAAUGUUUCACAAAUAAUAUAUAGGGGAUUGGCUUGAUCACUACGAGAAAGUUCUUUAACCUUGAUAGAUUAUAAUCUCUGAAGGCAAAAUUUAAGAAGAGUUCAUUUGAAGAUUUAGGUUAUAUUUGUAUUCUUUUCUAGUUAUGUCCUAUAUAUGUUGGAAUUAUUAAUUUAUAAUCGAUCAUAGUUGCUAACUCAGUAGAAAAUAAAUCUUUUCAUCAACUUUAUCGACGUAUAGGUGAUGAUUGUGUUCGAUCUGUCUAACAUUUUCAAUUUUUUCUUGACACUCUAAACUCAAUUAAAACUUUAUGCCUUUGUUAUUCAUGUAAAAAAAUUUAUGCCCUAUAUACAACUAAUUUUUUUGCUUAAAAUAUGACGCCUUCCCUCGCCUAUGCUCGAGACCGGCCCUAUCGAUCAUCUAGCAAACGAACAUAAUGGUUCAUGACAUAUGCCCCCAUACUGAACCUUGCGGGGCAAUAUUUUAUGAUCAUCGUAAUGGUUAAUUUUAAUUAUUAAUAUUUAAUGUUUGGUUAUUUUAUAAAAUUAUAGAUAAAAAUAAUGGUUUUUGACUAAAUUUUGAUGGAGUGUGUAUUUCAGAUCUCUUCGGACCUUAAAUAUUCGAACCGACCCAGAUCUGAUACGUACUCAAAAACUACAUGUAUUUUAAUUAUAUACCCGAAACAAACGACCUGGAUCUAAAAAAAAUCUGAAUUGAAACUGGAAAAUUUUUAUUACCUAAUUAGGUGUAAAUGUAUAAGGCGCCAGAGAUCCGGGACCUGAAAAUGUGUCUAACUCAUUACAUGACGCAGAUAAAUCGAUAGUCUACUUUUAACAAAAGGGAGCAUAUAGAAUCAAACUUUUAGGAGAGCAACUUGCACUUUGUAUGUGCGGCAUUCAAUUAAUUGUUAUUUACAGACAGAGAGCAUAUAGGUACAGAACUUGAUCCCUUUUUUCUUGCAUCGUACAGGACUUGACUUGUAGUCAGAUUUAGUUUUCUCUUGAGACUGGCAUGUUAUAUCAUAGCUAUCACGCAACAACAUAUUCUUUUUUACCCUCACCUCUAUAUAUGCUUGAUUGGAAACUUUCGAAGACUAUGAUGCAUGCUCUCUUCAAAGUAGCGUUAUAUUUAACUAUUUAGGUAUGUGGUUAAAGCAUAUCUCGAAUCUAAAUGGAUACGCUGAGCACAUGUUGGUGACUAAUGCAACUGAUAUAGCUGCCACAUCUGGAACGGCCUUUGGUGAGCUUAAUGAUCUCUUGUGUAGAUUCACCAUGUACACAGAUAGAUAAAAUUAAGUCAUACUUGCAAAUAUGCAAUUAAUCAACAAACUUGCGCUUUAAAUAAUAUAUAACCAACAAAAACUUAGGAUUUUAAUAGGGUUGAACCGGAUCAAUUUUCUUUUAAGUAGGAUGCAACCAAAGUUUAAGAAGAAAACAUAUUUCGUCGGUUAAAUAUGCCUAAAACUUACUGAAGUAUCCAUUAUGUUUUGUAUCUUAGUUUAUGCACCCGAGUGACGCCAACGGUUCAACACUCGUGGAUUAGUACAUUCAACCAAUCUAAUUAGAUAUAUUUAAGCAUUAAGGUUGUUGUAUUAAUAAUCCAAUGAUACGAGUGAUAAGAACGGCAGUGCUUGCUCACAUCUAUAUUACUUUACAUGUAAUAGUCAAGGAAAGAAAAUAAGACUUACACGUAUUGUACUGUGUGAUGCGACAUUUGAUGUCAUUCGAAAUGAAUACAUAUAAAUUAUAUAGUAACCUACAACACAUAAUUUUCAUUCGCUGUAUUUUCAGUGGACCAUAUCCCAAUACUUUACUUCGAGAAAAGAGGGCAUAUAAAAUGACCUCAUAUACUUCUACUAAUAGUGGGGGAGGGGGGACAUUUUUACAGAGAAAAUUAUGGGAAAAUAGAUAUUUUAAAGGGAAUAUAGAUAUUUUUUAAAAAGGGAAAAUAUAUAUAUUUUUAAGGGAUAAUUUGAAAAAUACCUCAUUUGUGAUUUGAAAUUUGACAAAUACACUUUGUUUUAUAUUUUAUGAAAACUACACUUUCUUAUAUGUAAAAAGACAUUUUACCCUCAUUUUGAUUUAAAUUAAAAAACCUAAAUUGAAAUCAAAAUUAUUUAUGUAUUUUUUGGGUUCACGGGUAUUUUUGUUGUUCGUGUUUAAAAGUACAAUAAAAUCUAAAUACAACUUAGUGAAUUCAUAAACUUAAAUCAUAUAAGUCAUAAACCAGAAUAUGCAUGCGUCCUUAUUAAGUGAAUUAAGUAGAUCAGGUGCGUCAUAUAUAUUUUUCAGUAAUGUUCCCUUAUACAUAUGAUGGUACAUGAAAGAAGAACUUCAUGUUGCGUCAUAUACACGGUACUUGGAUAGUUGUAUGUUUGAUUAGUUCAAAUUUUGUAUUCUUGGUUUUUGCAACUUAAUAUUUGGAUCUUAUGUUGCAAGGAGAAGGUAAUAUCUAAAUAAUGGAGUUUCAUAGAAUGCCUCCUUGCUUUCAUUCCUUGAUCAUUUAUCACCUCUAUUUUUCUCGUCUUCUUAGUCGUAUUUUAUUAAAUAUAAAAACGAGAUGGAAUGUAGCUUGAUUUUUUAUUAGUCCGUGUAUAGUUCAAUGCAGUCCUGGCUCAAUAGAUGUUUUGUUACAAGUUUCGACCUGAAACUUUCUUAGUCCUUUUUUUUACCCCUAGGCAUCAUCACAUCAAUGGACAGGGCUCCCCUGUUUUUCGUGAGUAAAACAGAGCUCAUUCUUGUUCUAUAAACUGAGCAGUUUAGGCAAUAUUCUUUGCCCUAGUGUUGAACUGCACGUUGAAUAAGAUGUUUAAAUGUAGAUGGAAUAGCUGAACAAUUAGUUUUAGUGGCAGCCAAUGUCAAAGUGGAUUUUAACGAAAGCUGCCUCAUGUGACACAAAGUUCAGAGACUCUACAUAACUACUACGUUGGUGAUAUACACAGACUUUAUGUUGUUAACAAACCAAAAGCUGAUCGAUGGUAUAUCUUUGCUAAUUUUUCUGGACGGGAUAAUCAUCUUGUACAUGACACGAUUUAAAAAUAUAUUACAAUAGCUUUCAAUUAUUUGAUUGGAUAAUUUAGUCAUUUUAUAUAUACAAAAGGGUAGUUUUCAAAAAAAUUAAAUAGUAGUGUAGUUUUCAAAUUUGAAUCUCAUAUAAAUGUAUUUUCCCAAAUUUUCCCUAUUUUUAAAGGGAAAAUAGAUAUUUUUCAAAGGGAAAAUAGAUAGUUUUUAAAAGGGAAAAUAUAUUAGUAUAUCCAAGCUAUGCAUAUUGCAUAAAAGACAUAACAUUUUACAGAGAAAAUGAUGGGAAAAUAGAUAUUUUAAAGGGAAAAUAGAUUAGUAUAUCCAAGAUAUGGACAUUGCAUUUUUUUUUGUCAUCAGCAUAAACAGACUCAUACAGACUCACAUAGACUCUGUGAACCAAACUGGGAGAUGUUGAUCCAUGUGAACGACGAAAGACGGCUGCUUCCUGGCACUACGUGCUAGGCUAUCCGCCUUUGUAUUUUGCGUUCUUGGCACAUGGACAAUCUCUGAUCGGGAAAAAAUUUCUUUCAGGGCUUUAACAUCGUCUAAAUAACUUGGAAAAACUGGCAAUUCUUCUGGUUCCGAAACCAUCUUCACCAAUUGAGAACAAUCCGUUGCAAACGUAACCUGAAAUUGACGUAAGUUCCUCGUGCAUUCCAUUGCCCAAAGUAAUGCUUCCAUCUCCGCAUGUAGAGGAGAUAGACUAGCCCGAACAUUCCUUGCCCCCAUCAGCCCCUUAAAACCUUCUAAAGUACUAAACCACCCCUGUCCGGAGAAACCACUAUCCUCUUUCCAGGAACCAUCUGUGAAACACCAUCUUCCUUGGAUUAAUGGUAAUGCCGGAACCUCUGCAUGUGGCUCUGCCCUCUGUUUCUUCGCUAUCUGCGCUUCAGCCCAUAGUGUGGACUAGGCAUGGGCGUUCGGGUACCCAUUGGCAUUCGGAUCAGGUUUUUCGAGUUUUCGGGUUUACGCUCCUAGGUCCCAUACUAAAAUUUUAUUAGUACGGGCCGGGUUCGGAUAAUAACACUUCAGAUUCGGUUCAAAAUUGUAUUGCGUCCUAAAACCCAUAAAAUAAUCAUAUAUCGUACGGAUUCGGGUUAUAUCGGUUCGGUUCGGAUAUAACCGAAGUAAAAAUCAAAAAUUUUGAACCAAAACAUAAAAAAAAGCAUCUAAAUUAAAUAAAAAUUAAUCUAUCACACAUAAAAUUGAUAAAAUAACAAUAAAAUGUUAAAUCAAGCAUGAAAACAAUCAUCAUUUGUAAACGAUAUGUAUUGCCUUAUAGAGAGUAGACUUUUUAUUUCAAUGAGCAAAUUAUAAAAUACUUAUUUAUUACUAAUUGGUACUUAAACCAUUUAUUAAAAUUUUAAUAUUUAUUAUUAUAUAUCAUAUUACCACAAAUAUUGAAUUUAAUAAUUGAAAUACUUAUAUAUAUAUUUCAAAAUAUUUAUAUUGACUAUUAAUUUCGGAUUUUUCGGGUUACUCGUUCGGGUUCGGUUAAUAACACUUCGGGUUCGAAUAUUUUUUGUACCACCCUACAAGACCCGUUCGGGUUUUUUUACAUUUCGGGUCGGAUAACGGGUCGGGUUUUUCGGUUUGGGUUCGGUUCGGAUUUCGGAUUCCAGAUUUUAUGCCCAUGCAUAGUGUGGACUCUGUUUUUGCCUGUUUGAGCGUAUCCCUAGGAUCCAUAUCAAGAUUACUAAAAACUUUAUUAUUCCUUCCUUUCCAGUACCAUAGAAUCCAUGCAAACUGAUGAUCAUCUAGUUGCGGAGAAACCCGCCAGAAAAGAUGAUCCAUAUUUGUAAAAAAAGACCUUGUUGGAAAGAUAGCGGGAUUUGAUAGUAUCUUCGAUAGUGCCCAAACCUGUAGUGCUGGAGGACAUUCAAAAAACACAUGAUUAAUUGAUUCCUCAUCAGCUCCGCAUCGUGCACAACAUAUAUCACCAGUUAUCCCUCGCGCUUGCAGAUUCUUCUUGACUGCUACACAUUCUGUCACCAGUUGCCAUAAAAAAUGUUUCAUCUUUGGUGGACAUCGAAUUUUCCAGCAAAACAACUUUAAAGCAUCAACUGUAGGUCCAAGCAUCACUGGUGGUCGUUCUCUAUCUGGAUAAAUCCGUUCUACCUGAUAUCCUGAGUUGACCGAAUAUUUUCCAUUGUUUGUGAAAUGCCAACCAUCUCUACCCUCUGAAUGCACAUUGCAUAAAAAGACAUAAAGCCACUUCUUUAACCAACAUAAUUACUAGUUUUUCCAUGAGCUAAUGACAUUAACAAACUAUGAAUAUUUUCUUGAGUUGAAAUUUGAUAGAGACACACCAUAGAUUUUCAAAGCAGGUUUGUUUACUUGCAAAUGUCGAAACAAUCUUAGCAUUGUUUUUAUAUAUGUCAAAGUUUCAAGGGAAAAAAUCUAUAUAUUUUGGUUUACAUAAUCAAAUCAAGUAAGAGCUUCGUACAUCCCAAUAUAUUUUCUAAAAAAAAUAUCUUGUUAUGUAAAGAACGGCUUACGGCAUCAAGUGAUUUCAAAUAAAAUUUAGAGGCAUGUUUACAUAUACAUUUUUCAUAUGGUGUACGUAAAACAAUGUUUCUUCUUACAAAAUAAAUCUUUCUUUCUCAAUAUUUAUUCAGACACUUGUUUAUAUAUAACUUCCACUAUAUGUUUUAAUUAAAUUUCUAUUUGAUAGUUAAUUUUUAUUCCAUCUGUUACUUUCUUAUAAUUUUAUACUACAUAAAAUUUUAUAUAAAUUACCACAUUUGUAUCAUAAGUUUUGUAUUUUUUUUGUUUUGCUGUAUAUUUCUAAACAGUUUAUUUUUACUCCAACAAACUGUUUAUUAAUUUUCUUUCAAUUUUGUAGUUUCUUUAUUAUAAAUAUUUAAGAACUUGGCUAAUUUUUUUUAUUUUGCUUAGGGCAGCAAACACCCUUCGCACAUGUCACUUAGAGCAUCUUCAACAAGCACCUUCAUUUUUAAUGGUGUCCAUCCUUAAAAUAAGGGGAUGAGAAGGUGGUUCUCCAACGGUCACCUUCAAAUUUAUUAUUAGAAAUUUACAUUUUAGUCCUUAAAAUUAUUAUAAUUAACUAUAAUCACUAAACUUUCAAAAACCAAUAAAAUAUACUAUUUGAAACAUAUUAAAAUAAAAUAUUUUUGAAAAAUAUAAUAAUAUGUAAUCAAAGGUAACUAUAAAUAGUAAAAAAAUGUUAAUAAAAUAAUUUAAAUCAAAAUAAUUUAAAAAAUAUAUAAUGAUAAGUACUAACAUAUGAUAUGUAAAAGUUAUUCAUACUAUUGUCAAAGAUAUAUAAUUGUAAAGAUUAAAGUAAAAAGUAAAUAGUGUUUUAAGGGGGUGAAUAGUGCAUCCUCAAAUUUGAGGGUGUACUAUUCACCCCCUUAAAAUUUGAAAAGAUAACUGACUGGUGGAAUGCAAAACCAAAAAAUGAAGAGAUAAGGGGUUGUUGGAGAUGCUUUUACACUCAAAACAAAUAAAAUGAAUUGACAAGCACCAAUAAAAAAAUCAAAUGAAAAAAUUCAGUAAACAGGAAAAAUGUAAUUAAAUGUUGUAGGUAAAAAUCAAAUAAGUUUUGCAUUUUUAUUCUAGUUCCUAAAAGAAUUUCUUAGCUUUAAUAUGAUAUGAACAAACUAAUCAACCAAACUGAAACGAAGCUUUGAAUUUUUAGACCUAGUCUAACGUGAGAGAUAUCAAAGUUGAUGAAGGGCAUAUUAAGAUUCUUUUUAAGUUUCGCGCUCAUUAUAUUCGAUGAACAAUCAACUUGCUAAUGAAUUAGUAAUAUCUCAUAUUGGAGUUGGAGAAAUAAUUAUCAUAUAUAUAGGAUUAAUCUAAUUAUUGUCUAUUAUUGUCUAUUAAUUGUCCAGGGACCAGGGAACAAAGUUAUGUCGAGUGCAAAACUAAACACGUUCAGAAGACGUGGAAGAGAUUAGGGAAAGUUUGUUUCCCUCAAAUACACAUUACCUAUACAUAGUACUAGUACGUGUCUUCUUCAGCAACUAAAAAAAAUGCACAAUGCAUAUAGCAUGGUUGACCGAUGUAUUUUAAUCCCAAAAUGAAGUAAACAAACCAAAUAUUAUUGGCUAGCGAGUAGCAAGUUGGUGACAUAUAAUUGGGAACAUUGUAGCUUUUAAUUUGAGUGGUGGAUUUGGGAUACAAGUAUACAACAUCACAACCAAGAGAAAAAAGGAAGAAAAAAAAAUGAAUAGGAAGACGAUAACUCAAGAAGUGAUGUACGUACGUCGAACCAGUUUUAGAUUCUUGAAGAUGACGAGACACGAACUGCAGUAAUGAUAUUUUUCAGCGACUCGAAGAUGUUAACGCCAUUCCCAAAACAUUAUAAAUAUAGAAAUAGGAACAUAGGGUUUACACGAAGAAAACAAAAACCAACAUUUUGUUGUGAUUUGAGACAAAGAUCAUGUCAUUAAGUCCGAGAGACCCUCUUGUCGUAGGAAGAGUUGUAGGGGAUGUUGUUGAUCCCUUCAUGAGACUGAUUUCUCUUGAUGUUACUUAUGGCCAAAGAGAGAUAACUAAUGGAAUGGACCUAAGGUCUUCUCAAGUUCUGAACAAACCAACGGUUGAGAUUGGAGGAGAUGACCUCAGAAAUUUCUACAACUUUGGUUAGCUAUUUUUCUUUAAAUUUCGUUAAUUCUUUACUUAUUUAUCUACGUGAAGCUUUUCAUGCAAUAUUUUCAUGCAUAAUCAUUUGAAUUUUUCGAUUAUGAAAAAUUUACUUUUGAAGUUUUGGUGAUUUUUGGGGAAUUUUCGCCCCUCUGGUUAAAUUUUUUUUUUAACAUUUCAAAGUUAGAAUAAACUUUCUAUAAAUAAUAUAAAAUUACUUUUAGUAUGUAAAGAUAGAAAUCGUACCCAUGUAUCUCUAGAAAUGCAUAUAUAAUAUAUCAAGCAAUUGAUAUAGUCGGGCUCGGGUAUCCGAAUUGAAUACAUAGUUUGAAUACAUAUUUGCACAUCAGGACAUGCAACUACUAUAUUUUUGUAACGUAAUUAACCCUUCAAUAUAUUUAUUUGAAAUAGUUUCACCUUGUAAUUAUUUCCUGUGUUAUAUAUCAUCGAUCUGCAUGUCAGAUUCUAGAGAGAAACAAAUACUCGUGUUAUCUUGAUCGCUUUGAUAUUUCAUCAUCAUCUUCUUACUCGGUUACUUUUAAAGGUUAUGGUGGAUCCAGAUGUGCCAAGUCCAAGCAACCCGUACCUCCGAGAAUACCUCCAUUGGUUUGUAUUUAUAAUUAUUCUAUGUUAUGUAUAGGAGACAUCGAAGUUUAUAGACCUACACGAGACACCCAAAAUUAUGGUAGUAUUCGAUAUGUGCCCACUCUUAUAGAACUAAAAAGGGACAUAGAGAAUAAACUUUUGACAGAGCUACUUGUCAUUAGAUGAAUUACAAAGAGAUUCUAUUUAAGUACAUGACAAGACUUGUAAUUAGGUUUAGUUUCCACUUAUUAAUAGUGUCAUGUUAUAUCAUAGCUAGCAUCAACAUAUGUUUUUUCAGGUAUAUGGAAAUGAUUGGAAACUUUGAAAGAGGUUGAUGCAUAUGCUUUGUUGACAAAUAGCUUUUAAUUAAAUUAUGCGGCUAAAAAAUAAUCUAAAUGGAUACUCUCAUCACAGCUUGGUGACAGAUAUACCUGCCACACCUGGAACAGCUUUUGGUGAUUUUUUUUUUUUGUCAAACGGUGAGUUUAUUUAAUUAACUAUAUAGAUUCACUAAUAAGUAUAUAUAUAUUCCCUAGACAGAAGCCAUAUAUGCAAAUAUGCAAUUAAUCAACUGUUUGCCAUGAUGUGAACAUUAGCCUGUAUCAUAUGUAAUAUGUUCUAUAUGUCCGUUGCAACCAUUCCAAGCGUUAAUCGAAUAUAUGUUUUUUUUUCCUAAUCGAAUAUAUGUUUGAUGACUUUUUGUCAAGGCAAUGAGUUGGUGUACUACGAGAAUCCAUGUCCCACUUCAGGAAUCACUACAAGAAAACAUCGGUAUUUUGACGGACAUUCCGACGGAAAAUGAAAUCCUCGGAAUUUCCCGAAGAAUUUCCGAGAAAAUUCCGAGGAAACCCAAAAUUUGGGGUUCCUCGGAAUUUUCUCGGAAUAUACCGACGGAAUUCCGAGGAAACAUCAAUCCGUCGGAAUAUUCCGAGGAAAUUCCGACGAACUAGUGAUCGAUCGAUGCGUUUUUGGACAUAUACCCAUCGAUCGAUCACAUUGUUACGCUUUGGUCCAUCUUAGUGAUCGAUCGAUGCGUUUUUGGACAUAUACCCAUCGAUCGAUCACAUUGUUACGCUUUGGUCCAUCUUAGUGAUCGAUCGAUGCGUUUUUGGACAUAAAUCCAUCGAUCGAUCCGUUUAUAAAAAAACAUUCAAGAUUUUGAAACCCCAAACACUAGUUCCUCAGAAUUUCCUCGGAAUAUUCCGAGGAAAUUCCGAGGAACACUUGAUAUCCUCGAACGAUCGAUGGGAUAAUCUCAUCGAUCGAUCACAUUGUUACGCUUUGGUCCAUCUUAGUGAUCGAUCGAUGCGUUUUUGGACAUAAAUACAUCGAUCAAUCCGUUUAUAAAAAAACAUUCGAGAUUUUGAAACCCCAAACACUAGUUCUUCAGAAUUUCCUCGGAAUAUUCCGAGGAAAUUCCGAGGAACACUUGAUAUCCUCGAACGAUCGAUGGGAUAAUCUCAUCGAUCGAUCACAUUGUUACGCUUUGGUCCAUCUUAGUGAUCGAUCGAUGCGUUUUUGGACAUAUAUCCAUCGAUCGAUCCGUUUAAAAAAAAUUGACGUUUUGAAACCCCAAACACUAGUUCCUCGGAAUUUCCUCGGAAUAUUUCGACGGAAUUCUGAGGAAGAAAAGGGUUUCCUCGGAAUUCCCUCGGAAUAUUCCGAGGAAAUUCCGAGGAAAUAGGGUUUUUAAACCGAAAACAACGUUUUGCGGUUUGAAUAACACCUAUAUAACCUUUAUUAAGUGUCUUACGUUCAUUAUGAAGUCAAAAAUUUGUUCAUUACCCUAUAAUAAACACUUUUCCGAUUGUAUGAACGAAAUCCCCACAACAUAAGAGAAACACUUAUACACUUUAAUGAACGGUAAAGGGAAUACUUACAAUUCGUUUUGAAAUUUGUUAUUUCAUGGUUUAUGCUCAUCUAUACAAAGAAUCCUCAAUGAUAUGCAUUACAAUUGUAUAAGAAAUGAAAUACGGCAAAAAAAAUUGAUGUUUUGAAACCCCAAACACUAGUUCCUCGGUAUUUCCUCGGAAUAUUCUGAGGAAAUUCCGAGGAACAAUAUAAAUUAAUAGAAAUACAUGCACAGGAUAUUCUUUUUCCUCGAAUUAAUGAAAAUAUUCCGAGGAAAAUCCGACGGAUAUUUAAGUGGCCGUCGGAAUUUCCUCGGAAUAUUUUCAUUUAACCGGGCAAACAAGCCGCCAAAUAUUUCGCGAAAAUUGAAAUUGAAAAUACUGAGGGAAUUCCGACGGAAAAUAUCCGUCAGACCCAAGGUUUUAUAAACUCGAACCACAUCUUCUUCCCCAUUUCUCUCUUCUUCCCCAUUUCUCUCUUCUUCCUCUCCGGCGAUCUCUCUCUCCUUCCGGCGUUCUCCACCUUCUCUCGCGACGAUCUCUCCGGCGAAUCCUUUCCAUUCCUUUACAAAUCAUGUAAGCACCUUAUCCCACUCUCUUAGGUCCUAUUUGUUAGGUUUUUAAGUAGAUUUGAUGAUUUUAGAAGUUUUUUGAUAGAUUUUUGUUAGGGUGAUUGGGUAGGAUUGUGAUUUGUUGUGUAAUAGGUUUAGAAUUGUGAUUUGGUUGUGUUGAAUUGAUUUAGAACUUUUUUUAUAAAUUGUUUAUUAUUUUUGUAUUUACAAAACGUUUAUAUAAAUUCGAUUUUACAAAACGUUUUUUUAUAUAAAUUCGAUUUUUGGAUUUAUCAAAGAUGAUUUAAAAUUUAUAAAAAUAUUUAUAUUUAUUAAAACUAAUUUUGUAUUUAUAAAACAUUUUUUUGAUUUAUAAACACUAUUUUUUUAUUUUUUUAUUUAUAAAAACUAUUUUUAAAUAUACAAAACGUUCUUUGUAUAUAAAUUCGUUUUUUGGAUUUAUAAAAGAUGAUUUCAUAUUUUAAAAUUAAUUUUGUAUUUAUAAAACAUUUUUUGAUUUAUAAACACUAUUUUAUUAUUUUUUGUAUUUAUAAAUACUAUUUUGUAUUUAUAAAAAGAUGAUUUCAUAUCUAUAUAAAUAUUUAUAUUUAUUAAAACUAAUUUUGUAUUUAUAAAACAUUUUUUUAUUUAUAAACACUAUUUUAUUAUUUUUUGUAUUUAUAAAACUAUUUUGUAUUUAUAAAAAGAUGAUUUCAUAUUUAUAAAAAUAUUUAUAUUUAUUANNNNNNNNNNNNNNNNNNNNNNNNNNNNNNNNNNNNNNNNNNNNNNNNNNNNNNNNNNNNNNNNNNNNNNNNNNNNNNNNNNNNNNNNNNNNNNNNNNNNAUGGAAAUACAUAAUAUAUAGAAAAUAAAUAAUAAUUAAAUAAAAAAAUAAAAAAAUUAUAUUAAACCUAAUUUAAAUCUUAAAAUGUAAAAUAUAUAUAUUAAUUGAUAUAUAAUAUAUGCAAAUAAUAAUAAUAAUUAAAUACAUAUUUUCGAAAAUGGUAAAAAUAUAUUAAGAUUUAAACAUCUAUCUUAAAAUGUAAAAUAUAGAUAUUAAAUUAAUAGAAAGUAUAAGAAAUAGAAAUACACCAUUUUAUAUAGGAAAGUCUAAAAUGGAAAUACACAAUAUAAGGAAAAUUUUAAAUUUGGAAAUAAUACAUUAAAUAUUUAUAUUAAAAUGUUAAAAUAAAUAAAUAAAUACGUAGUAAAUUAUAUAAAAAAAUGGAAAUACCACAUUAAACAACAAAAAAUUAAAAUGUAUAGUUUUACAUCAAGAAAGUCCCUAUAAAACUCAUUAUUCCAUCAACAUCAAUCUCACACUAUCAAGGAAAAAUUCAAAGAUCUCGAGCAAAAAAAUGGUUCCACCAUCAACUCUUACCGUCCCAAAAACCUUUAAUGAGCUUGAAGGAGAUUUUUUAUAACAACGAACUUUUUGUUAGGUGGAUUCAUUGUUGGGAAACCCGCAACUUCCAAAAGCCAAACUUAUUCAUGGGAAUUGAAUUGCUUUUCAUAGACUCAAAGGUAUUCUUACAAAUCUAAAUUACUCUAAUCCAUAAUUUUAUUGUUAAUAUUCAUACUAAUUCUUUCAUGAUCAAACCAUUACAGUUAAUAACCAUUCAAGCGUUUAUCCCGAAACACUUCCUUCCUCGCCUAAUCAGGUAUUGGUUCAUGUUGGUUUAGUAUUGUUUUUGGUUUAUUAACCGGUUUAGGAUGAUCCUAUUGUAAAUAUAAUUUAAGUUGGUUUAGCAUAUAUUAUGCUUAAAAUAACUUAAAUUAAAUAUUAGUAAUAUUAUGCUUAAAAUAUAAUUUUAGAGAGUUUUCAAAUAUAGUUUACAGAACAUUAUAGGUGAUGAAUUUAAUUUAUUAAAUUCGUUUAUUACUUAAAACUAAGUGUUUUUUUAAAACAUACUGAGUUAUAAAUAUCAAUGAUGGAUUGAUGAGUAUAACAUGAAGACAAAAAUAUAAAUAUUUUAUUUUCAAGAUAAGAAAUUCAGCUUUUAUUCAGUUACUCAAUAUAUAAUAUCUUAAAUUAUUUUUUUAAAAAUAUACAUAAUUUAUAUAUAUAUAUUAAUCUUCCAAACUCAAACUAUUAUAUUAUAUAUGAAUAAUGUUUUUAAAUAAAAAUAAUUUCUGAUUUUAAAAAAAAACAACAAAUGGUUAUUUUCAAAUAAUGGAUGUAAUUUACAUUAUACUAUCAUUUAACAAGUAUUAGAUACGUUUUGAUAUAUCAUUAUUUUCUAUUUCCAGAAAACAAUAAAUUGUUAAACAUCAAUAUCGUCUAGGUUAAGUAUACGAACAACACAAAUUCAAACAUCACAAAAAUAUUUACAUAAACAUUAUCAUACAAUAAUUUAAUCAAAAAAUGCAAUUCAAAAACAAAAUAUUCAAAAGAAUAGUUAUAUACUUAAUAUUUGAAAAUAAAAGAUAUUUUUGCUAAAACUGUACUUACCUGGCCAAGGAGAUCGACCAUCUUUUUACGGAUCGACAGAUUGUUGAGCAUCUGGUCGAUCCGAAAAUACUCUGCAGUUUAAUUAGAUAUCUAAAACAUUUAUUCCAACACUCAACAGAUAGUUUUGCUAAAUAUGAUAACUAGAUAGCCAACAAAAUUACAAAAAAAUAUUUAAAUUGUAAAAAAUAUGUUGAUUUAACGUGUUAAAAUUUAAAAAUAAAUUUUAAUUAUGACAUGCAUCUUAACAUUUUAUAAAUAUAUAUCAAAAUAUAAAUAAUUUAACAACUUAAAUUAGAAAAAAAAAUAAAAAUUCCGGGCGUAGCCCGGGUUAAUCCCUAGUAUACAUGUAAAGCCUUGGUUCUGAUUUGUUCUUCUGUGUUGAGAUUUACGAGCCCUGUAAGGGUCUUGUUUAUUCUCUUUCCAUGAAACGACAUUGUCACAACCCAAACCCAACAAAUUUUAAAACCUUAACCGUAAAGCCCACGUUUUAAGCCAAAACCCUAAAAAGGGUAUUUUAGUAAUUUUGAAUGAUCUAAACCCUAAACUCUUCUACAUAUAUAUUGAGGGCACGACCUAGAGGAGAGGGAGAGACAACGCAGCCUGCAGUUACUCUGAGAUAUCAGUGCCAAGUUGGAAUUUUGGAGAGAAGUUUGCGACCAGAUACGAAAGUGUUAGGCAAAGAACUAAAGUGGGAUUGAUAGAUCUCGUUGCAAGGAAGACACAGCAACUUUCGGAUCUCAAUUACGAGGUAAUCUCAGUUAGUUACUCAAUCUACAAGUUGAGAGAAAACCAUUACGUUUCUGAAAUCGGUUCAGGUCUGGUUUUUCUGUUUCGCAGAGCCAUAUUGGGAAGAGAUUUAUGGUUGAUACAAAAGGAGUUAGGUGACGGUCGUGAUAUUGUUAGAAACUGACGUUACCAUCUUUCUAUAUCCACUAAGAAUGCUUCAUUACGAGGUAAACUCUGGAAGUUAUUUGAUCUUCAAUUUGGAGAAAAAUCAAUGUUUUCUGAAUCCAGAAAUUCUAAGUCCGAAACCUGUUUUUCCAGUUUCACGUAGGGGUUUUGUGAGAAGUUUUCCCAGUGAACUAGAGAGAGUUAGGACGCGAGUAAGGUGUCGCUGGAAAGAUCUAGCUGCAAGGAAUCUAUAUCUGUUGACAUUAUCUUGUUUAGAGUUUCAGAUCACUAGAACAGAGUGUCAACCCGCUAGUUUCAGAACCCACUUUCAACCUUAAGGCAAAGGUGAGGGUGAGAUUUGUGGACUUUUAUUAUUAUUAGUUGAUCGUCAUCAACUUCAUCACUUAUCACUUUAACAUUUAUCAAUUAAUAUUGGAAAGGGUUAUGAGAUGACAAAUGUUAAUGCGAUUAAUGAAUGUGUAUUGAAAUAAAUGAUGUGUUAUGUUUGUUAAUUGCUUAAUAUGUUGGGUGAUGAAUGUUCUAGGACUAGUAUUUUCGCAUGCAAGUUGGUUAAUAAUGUUAAGAGUCAUGUGGGCAGAAAUGAUCAUCCUCACUGAAUGACUGUGUGUUAUUCACCCCUUUCCCUCUUUCCUUUUGUUGUUCAAGUUAGGACACAAGAGUAUGAUUUGGGGGACGGGUGUUACAGACAUUGUUGAGCUACAAUCUCUUAAGUCUUAACACCCCCAUAAGGCAAUUGAGAGAUUGGUUUGAUGGAAGACCUUCCAGGGUGUAGACUGUAGAUAAAUCCAAGCAAGUAGUUUAUAUGCUCACGAAGUUCUUAAUAACAUAGAUAAUAAAAACAUGAAAACCAAGUAGAGAUUUCAGGCAAUCGUGUGGUUUAGGCGUUGAAGGGAGAAUGAGCGCGCUUCUUGUUUCAGUCUUUGUACAUGAGAAAGCUUCUGUUGGGCUUUGAAGACAUCGUUGAUAGAAAUAUCUCUCUUGGGCUUACAUGUGAGCCUUUUAGCAUAUUGUAUUUCUGACCCAUCUUUCGUAAUGUCUUCUCUUCUCCGUUGCUAUCGUAUUCUCCAUCGCCGGCAGAGAACCUCUCUGCAUCUGGUCUUCUUCUGGUUUUUGUUUUGUCGUUGAAGAGAAAAAAAAAACCUUUCUUUUUCGUUCUUCAGACACACUGACAAAGCAGAGUUUGACUGAAAAGACAAAGCCGCGGUUUUCAGGUAACAAAUUUCUUCAAUUGUUCAGGGUUUUCGAAAUUUGUAUGGUUGUGUGUAUACAGGCUUACUUUCGAGUUCUUGUUGGGUUUUUGAGCCUUUACUUUUUUGGAGCCUUUGAGCGGCCUUGUCUCUCCUCUUCUGAGUUCGCCCUAAGCAACAUCUUUCUUGCCUCUUUAAUUUUGUGAUCAUCGGUCUCAGUUCCGGCGACUCACGGAGGUUCCUCUCUCCUCUCUCCUUCUGACUUCUUUCCCAUGACUCUUUUCUUCUAGUUUACUCGAUUGCAUAUUGUUUGUCCUUGCUGUGUCACCCGUAACCUAGACCUGUUUUCUCCGGUGAACCCGAAUCUUUGUAACCCACUCAGAUCCCCUAUUUUUUUUUUUUGGGAGAAUUAAAAAAAAAAAAAAGAAGACUAUAAACGGUUUCAGUGUCUAGUAAGCAGCUGCGUGGUAGAUAAAAGAUGCUUACUUUUUGAUUGGUUCUCCGUGAAACUAUUGUAGAUAGUGAAGCUUGAGGGAAGUAAAAUUCAAAGGAUGGAAGAUAAAGGAAAGGGCCUGGUGGGAGAAGAUGAGCAAACCUCCUUUUCUGUGUUAGAAGGGGGCCCAAGCUAUAUGGAAGUAGACGGUGGUGAUGCUAGUGAUGAUAACUAUGAUGAUGAUGGAAACAGUGAUGAAGGAGGCCAGGUAGAUGAUGAUGAUGAUGACUCUGAAGAAAGAGAUGAGUCUGAAGCUGUCAGUGGAAUUCCAACAACAUUCGAACGCCUUGAAUAUGAAGCUCUCGCUAAGAAGAAACGCAAAGCACUUACUGAGUCUCAACGGUUCGUCUUUCACUCUCCUUUUGUUUCUUUAUUUUGGUAUAAUGUUUCUAGAUGCAAUGACAAUAAAUUUGAUUUUCCUAGAUUGUGCAAUUCGGUGAAUAAAUUGUUUAAAAUCUCCCAUAAGUUUUGUUUAAUGCUUUAUACUUCCCAUUCAAGUAGCUUUUAGUUGGAUUUGUUGGUCAAGUACUCCCCCUUGUGUUGCCCAACAUAUAUUUUGUGUUGAUUAUUUCUUUUUGUGAAUGUGACAGUGAUGGUUCAGAUAAGAGAUCCAGGUAUGAUGCUAUUAACAUCUGGAAUAGCACCUCGGGCGAGAAGGGAUUCAUGGAACUCUACGAUACUGGCCGCCGACGAAAGUCUAGGAAGGUACGUUUUCCUUGGACAGCUUUUUUUUUUUUAAUAUUUCACGAGUUAACUUGUAUUUCAUGUGUCUUCAGUCCGCAUCUUGCAUCAAGAAGUUUGACCUUUUGUCUAUUAUUUAGCUUUAACUCUUUUUAAAAAAAAAGGGAUGAACUGCAUGUUUGUUCUUGAACCUCAUUGAAAUACAAGUUCCCUCCUGCUUCACUUGUGCACUUUCUCGUGCUACACUCCACGAAAUUAUAUUAUGGGACAUAUAUCAACUCUGCAUAUGCUGCCACUUUAUCUUUUUUUUUUUUUUAAAUGACAGUGUAUAUACUUGUGCAGAAUAAAAAAAGGGGUAGACGACAGGGGUCAAAGAAAAAAGUUUCACCUGAAAUUCAGAAGAGGUUGAGUGAGGCUUUUUUUCUUCACGCAGAUAAUAAAAACAGUGAGGUAAUCCCAGAUGAAGUUUUUAUUUUCUGUGGUAUCGUGCCUUUUAGAGAGAAUAGCGUAGCUCGGAAACACAUUUCAUAAUUGUCCUGAAAAAUUAACCUGAUUUUUCUCUACCACAAUAUCGUUUUGACUAUUACAUUUCAGAAACUGCUGCUUUUUCCUAAAUUGUGUUGUGUCAUAUUAUUUAUAUUUAUUUAUGGACUGAUCCAGAUUUAUGUUGUUUUACUUUCUUCCAGGCUUUACCUAUUAUAUUAGACGUUAUUAAGCAAGCACCAACCUUCGGUCGAGCGUAUCAUUACCUAUCGCUUGUAUAUGAUAAACUUGGUAGGACCGACUCAUUGUCUACUCGAGUAUUGAGGAUUGCUGCAACUGUUGAAGGUCCAAAAUCACCUUGUUGGAAGUUGCUUUACGAGAGGUCCAAGUAAGUUAUAUUUGUUCAUGCCAGUCUUCAUUUUUAUACAGCAGAAAUGGCGAACGCAGAAACAUUUAUGUUACUACUAUUUGCUUGUCAAUAACGGUUAUCUAGAUGUCAAGAUAGUGUUUACAGUAAGACCGUAUCAGAGAUUGUAGGGCUUGCAAGUAAUUAAGUAACAAGAACCCAAUGUCAUUAGCCUUGGUAAUAUAGUUAUUGGGAAAAAGUGUAAAACGAAAACGCAGGAAGCUGUUUUGUUUUCUGUUUAGAAUUUUGUUUGACAGUGCCAAGCUAACUAACAAAACUAAUUGAUUUCAGGGAACAAGGGGACUUGUCUGCAAGGGGUUAUGCGUCCAAAGCAGUACAAGCUGAUCCAGAGAAUUUCCCUUUGAAAUAUGAAUAUGCAGACCUCUGCCUAAAUGCUGGAAAAUAUAAAGAAGCUGCCGAAACCUAUGAGCAAAUAUUUCGUCGGUAUCCUGAGAGAAUUGAGGUCCUCGAUUGGGGGACAAAGGUAUUAUAAGCUGAAUGAGUAUAAAUUUAUUCUAAAUUGCUAAUCUCUGUGAUGUAGUUUCUCUACCCCAGAAAAAAAGACAAAUGGUUAAUGCCAAUUUUAUGAACUUAUUUCUUCUUCUUGGGUUUCUCAGUACUUUCUAAAAUCCGGCGAGGGUGAACGAGCAGCAAACAUCUUAGAGGAUCAUAUAAAAUCUCAUCCAUCUGAAGUGGGGCCUGAUGUCUUGGAUCUACUGGCUUCUGUUUUGAUGGAAAUUAAUGCGUAUGAUAGAACUCUUAAGUAUAUUCAUGAUGUGCGCCAAAUCUACAAUCCAGGAAAAGAACUGCCUUCCAGCUUGAAAAUCAGACAAGCCAUCUGUCAUGUUCGCCUCCAAGAAAUGAAGCAAGCAGAGGUUUGUGUAUCUUACAUUAUAAACCUGCUAAUCUUUUAUCCCAAUGAUUGCUUUAAAACUAUACCCUCCUCUAAUUAUUUAGUAGAUGGAUAACAAGAUUUGGGAAAAAAAAAGAAGAGAUUUUAAAUCUAUCUAAAGAGAAUGUGGUUUGCAUUGGUCCUUGUCAUUCUUAUUACUUCGUAUUUCUUCUCAAGUUCAUGUCUCACUUUUUUACACCAGGUGAAGUAUGUCAGUUCUGUUAUGUUAUGAUCUUUAGUAUGAUGUGCAGUCUUUUAUAUAGGGGUUUCUCUUUUCAAAACGUUGAUGUACCUUCUCUUGUGAAUGAUGUUGCUUGCCGUAUCUGCAGAUUGUUUUAAGUAUUCUACCACGGGAGGCUGUAUCCGAACAUUCAGACCUCAUCAUCAAUUUGGCUGAUGAGCUAACAAACAUUGGGAAUUUUCACACUGCUCUCAAAUACUAUUUGUUAGCAGUCAAUGACACUGUGAAUGUAAGUUGAUAAGCAGUUGUACUCGAUUGUUUCUUCUCUUACAACUUUUGCUUCGUCCCUGGGCUAACUAGUUCCGUGGUUUUCCUUGUAGGAUGGUUAUUUGUUUGUGAAAGUUGCUCGCUGUUAUACGUCGUUGGCCAAACGAGAUCAGGCCAUCAUUUUCUAUUAUAAAGGUACUUUUUAAUCUAUUUAGUAAGAGUUUGAUUUAGGUGUUGUGCAUAUGUAUAGCCCCCUCUUGUCAAUAGUAGAGAUACAAUUUCACUAUGUUCUGUUUGUAGUUAACUACAUUGGAUGUUUUGUGAAGGUUUCGAAACUCAAAUAUCUUAUGAUUUUCCAUGUCAUGCAAAUUAAAAUCGUAUUGUUUAUUGUAUUUUCAGUUUCUCGUUAGCUUUUUUCUAUUUGUUGCUAACUGAAAAUUCCCUCAGCUUUGAAUGAACUCAGUGAUCCAAUUGAUGCUCGCAUAACUCUGUCUUCACUUCUCCUGGAAAAUGGCAAUCGAGAUGAAGCUAUAUCAGUGCUUUCCCCUCCGGAAAAUCCAGGUCAGCAGAGAAAAAAGAACAUUUCUUCUCUUGCCGUAUUAUCUCAACGAGUGUAUAGUUUACCCAUGUUACAAUACCUUAUUAAAUAUCACUUUUGUCAGAUUCACUGCUAAACUUUGUACAAGUAAUGGAUUUGCGAUAUCUUAACUGUUUUUUCUUCCAAAUGUUAGUUAUGCGAUUUGCAUCCAACUAUUUUGUCAUAAGAUAUAAGUUUGCUAACAAUGGUUCUUUUUUCUAAGUGUAGAUCUUGAUACUUCUAAACAGAAGGCAUGGUGGAAGAAAAGAAAGAUCAGGAUGCAUCUUUGUCAGAUCUAUUAUUCAGAGGGGAUGCUUGAGGAAUUUGCCAAUACAGCAUUGCAGUUGGUUCUUAAGUGGGUUUGGCGGCGGACGGUAAUAGCUCUGUACCCAAGUUUCAUAUAAGAAAUAUGCUAAAGAAAUUGACAACAUAAAUAGUUACUGCUUCUUGAAUAAAAACGUACUUGGACCCAUCUGAACAUCCAGCAUUUCGUUAGAGUUCUUUCAUUUAGCAUUAGCAGAUUGUGGUUUGAUAAAAAAAAAUUGUAUGCUGGCGCCUUCAUGAAAACGUGUAGGUCAAGGGAAAAAGAAAACGAUCGGUUCUUUCGGAGCUCCAAAGAAAUAGAAGACGCCGACGUCCUAGAGAUGCUCAAGCUUCAGAGUGAGUAUAAAAGUAAUCUAUCCAGCAUAGUCUGUAAGCCUUGCCGUUUCUGUCUGGACAUUGUUAGUAACCUUUGUUCCGAAACAUGUUGAGCUAGGUUGAGAGGCGGACCCAAAAAGUGGCGCAAAAUCAGGGCAACAUUAAAUGAGGCAAAGAGAAUCAGAGAACGGGCUGCUAUUAAAGCUCAUAACGAAGAUAUGUGCAGUGAAUCUGAGGUAUCUAUCUAUGUAUACCAGGAUUGCCAGCUAUGUCCUCUUUGUUUUGAUUACUCAAAAUGCUUUUGCCUUUUAUGUUGACCGGGGUUAUACUUUUUGACUUUUCUACUCAGGAAGAAGCUAUGAAGGAUGAAGAGUAUCACCGUCUCUUUGUAGAUGUAAUUGACCGUUCCCUUCCACAUAUUAUUAUAACUUCUUUGAUGCCCUCUUCUCCUUUAUGUUUGUCAUGACUCCUUAAAUUGCAUGUCUUGUAGUUGUGCAAGGCAUUGGCAUCGCUGCAAAGGUUUUGGGAAGCUCUGGAGAUAGUUAACCUGGCUCGUAGAUUGGACGCCAAAAUGCUGCCUGUUGAGAUAAAAAAGGAGCUUCAGUCACUUGGAGCUAGUAAUCUCCUAACCCCAACCUUGAUAUCCAUUUUUCUUCAAGACUUAUAGAUAAGUCUUCGUUGGUUUAUGGUUAACAGCGCUUUCUUCUUUUGAUGUUUACAGAAAUAUCAUGUGAUACUAUGGAUCCAAAGCAGUGGUUUGACUGUGUAAGAUCUGUCAUUCAGCAACAUCCGUAUCGUUUGAAUGCCUGGAACUGCUAUUACAAAGUCAUUUCAAGGUAUACAGAGCGGUGUUUCAUAUCACUUGGAGACUACUGUCGACUCUGUUUUGUUUGCAGUAUGAAUAUCGUGUUAUUAUGUGCAGGCUAGGGAAAAGAGCGUCAGUUGUCCACCCGGUUUGGUUUGCAGUAUAAAUAUCUCGUAUGAUUUUGCGCAGACUAGGGAAAAGAGCAUCGAGUGAAGCUAAGUUCAUGCAUCACUUAAGAAGCAAGUACAGAGAUUGCGUACCGCCUAUUCUGAUAGCCGGUCACCAUUUCACCGUGACAAGCCGACAUCAAGAUGCUGCAAGAGAAUACCUUGAAGCAUAUAAACUAAUGCCAGAUAGCCCUUUAAUCAACCUCUGCGUAGGUAAGCAUGCAUCUAUAUUGUUCUCUCCGUUUUCACGAGUUAGCUAAUCGGUUAAAUAAAGUGUUCACACCUGUUCUAUCUUUUUUUUCAGGAGCUGCUUUAAUCAACUUAGCCCUCGGUUUCCGACUCAAGAACCGGCAUGAGUGUCUUGCUCAAGGCUUUGCGUUUCUAUACAACAAUAUAAGAAUCUGCAGUAACAGUCAAGAGGCGUUGUAUAACGUUGCUAGGGCGUAUCAUCACGUGGGUCUUGUGACUCUUGCGGCUUCAUACUACGAGAAGGUUUUAGCGGUUUACGAGAAAGAAUAUCCAAUGCCGAAACUCCCAAACGAAGAUCCUAAUGUUGCGGAAGAACUACGAGAAGGUUUUAGCGGUUUACGAGAAAGAGUAUCCAAUGCCGAAGCUCCCAAACGAAGAUCCUAAUGUUGCAGAAGAGCGUAAACCUGUUAACUGUGACCUACGCAAAGAGGCUGCGCACAAUCUGCAUUUGAUAUAUAAGCACAGUGGAGCGUUUGAUCUCGCGAGGCAGGUCUUGAAGGAUCACUGCACUUUCUAAGUUUCGUUCGUCUUGUAAACUCUACAACCAACUAUUAUUAUUGUCUUAAGGCUGGUUUAUCACUUUAUUGUGUAGUUUCAACUUCAUUAACUGAAUUUACUUGGAGUAUUAAUAUAUAGUUGCUACUUGCAAAGAUUACUAUUUCAAGGAUUUAUUUGUAGCGGUGUCAACUGUGCAGGUCUAACUUAAAACUCAUAAAACCCGUAAAUAUUCGAGUCCAAUCCACCUGGUUUGGAAAUAUUUUGGGUAUAUUUUAAAAUCCGGCUCAGUGCUAAUAGGGUUAUAAUUAAAACUUGUAAGCAUUUCUGGAGUUUUAAGUUUUUCGGAAGAAUUCAUUAAAAUAUUAUAAAUGUCAUUUUUACCAUUUUAAAACAUCUAAUUUUUAAUAAAAAUUGAUUAAAAUUUUUUGUAAGUGUUUUUUAUAUUUUUAAAACCAUAUUAUUAACAAGUUAAGUACAGUUUUUUUGUCAACUAAGUACAGUUAAUUAUGAUGUUUCAGUGAUGGACAUAUUUUAAGUUUGACUGGUUUAGCACAAUUUUCAAAUUAAUAGCACUUUAACAAUUUGACUGCGUUUAUCACAAAUUUUGUUAAGGAAAAUUUUAAGCCUAAUAUAUAAUUAAUAAUUGUCUAAUUUUGUAGGCAUAUGAUAUUAAUUUUCAUCAAUAUUUUGCUAAAAUCUUAUUGGCUUUGCUAUUCGAGCACCGUGGUUAGUACUAUCACUAUCCUUAGACUAGCAUGAGACUAUCUUCAACAAAAUAGCAUAGCAUAGUCUAACCACCAUGAUCGUUGUUAUUGUUGGGUUUUGCACUUGAAUCACGUCUCGCAAGAAGACAUGAAGAAAUGCAUACACACAACAUGAUAUAGGCCUGAUGCAAAAUGUUUCCUUGUAUAGUUGUAUUCAUUCGUUUAAUCAUCAUUAUUAAAUGAUAUAUUUAUAAUCAUCUUCGUUUAGCCAGCCCUUCUUCAGUGAUGAUCUUGAUUUUUAAUCCCUUUUGACUAUCUCGACUCAAAAAAUACCAUUGAGAAUCUCUCAUCCACAUACAAUGUGUUCAUCAUUGAAACAUCAUAAUUAACUAUCAUACCAUCCUUAAUCAUGAUCAACUGUUUAUUAUUGUUCAAUAACAAAAUUAUAGCAGGAUAUCAAGGUUUCAAGUUGGAACUUAUCCCUUUCUCAAAAAAAAAAUUGGAACUUAUAAAAAAAGGGGGUUUCAAGUUGGAGGAGUGGUGGCCAUAAAUGAUCCAUGCAUGUUCAUUUGGUUGAGUGUUCAAUAAUGCAAAAGAAAAAAAAAAGUAACUCGGCAAGUCUCAGCUCUUUCUGGCCUGGCCUUACAUGACUUGCAGUUUUCUCCUCGUUCUCUUCUUACUAAACAAGUCCCAUGUGGUUUGUUUUCACUGGAUAUCACCUCUUUUCACUUUAUAAAUUGAGACAAUGCCAGCGUAGCCUGUAAUUGUCCCCCGUGGCACUUAUCACCUGUCGUUUUAUUACUAGACACUUGUAUAUUUAUUUUAUGGGAUUGUGGGGUUUACGUCGUUUUAAGAGUGUUGCCUUUGCUAUACAUUUUUUCUUUCCGUGACAUUUCAUCUACUAAAGACGAUUGUCAAUUAUGAUCACCGAUCAGCAAGCCAUGUAGAUGAUAUUUCGAGAGAGGUUCCGAUGUAGUUCGUGAUAUACAUCAGAAGGUGUGUCAAGACGUAUGUCGUACGGCAAGAUGUUGAGUGGAGAAGUUGCUUACAAAGAGAUUGUUUAAGGUGAUUGCGUGUGUAAGUGGAGAUUAGAAAAAGAAAGAGAAUAUCUUGUUGAAGACAAAUGACGUUUUCCAUUAAGCAAAGAGACUUUGCUUGGAGAAGAAGUGUUACUUGGCGAGGAAUAAGAAGUUUCCUUAUAUGGGAAUGAAAGUUCAUUAAGGUGCAUUUAAUGAACUUGGAGAGCAAGUCUAUGGUUUAUAUAUAAGGAGAGACGUGCCCUUAUGAGAAAGAUAGCACCAGAGAUAAAAGUGAGAGAAAGUUUCAUUGUGUUCUUGGUGAGUGUCUGACGGAGUGCCUGACGGAGUGUUCCGUUGUACUUGGUGUUGUGACGUUGGUGCUGGCGUUACGUGUAGCGGAGUUGUCCGUUGUGGUGUGGUGAUCAAUCUGUACGUUGGUGUUGGCGUGCUCGUUGGUAUCCUUGGUGUGCAUUAGGUUCUGACGUACUCGGUGACGUACUUGGGUGAAGUACUUGGUGGCGUACCUUCGGAGACUUGGAGGUUGGAGCCUAGACUCAGGGGGAGUUUAGCUCAAGGUUGGUUAACCUUGAAGAGUUCAUGUUUUAGAAGAGAGCGGUGAUUCAAGAGGGUUGUGCUUGUAUUACGCGUUUGCGAAUUGGUUGUAAUUUGCUUUCUCAUUCUAGUGAAUUCGAAUAAUGGACAAGGUCCCGGGGAGUAGGAAACGAACCUCGUUAACAAACUCUGUGUGUCAUUUACUUACUGCUAUAUAUCCCUGACUCAUCCGCACUUACAAGUGGUAUCAGAGCGGGGCUCGAUAGAGUUAACGACUAGUUUCGAGUAGAUCAGGGUGAGUGACAGAGACUGCGUCAGGAAGUACGACAGAGUUUGUAAACCUGUCUUGAUGGAGGGAUAUCGAGAAGGGACGUCUAUGACAAAGCCACCUAGGCUUGAUUAAUCUAAUUAUGGAUAUUGGAAGGUCCGUAUGCAAGCCUUCAUUAGUGGUCUUGAUGAAGAGUGUUGGAGUAUAAUUGAGACUGUUUGGACUCCUCCUGUGAUACUUGAUGAUGAGAAGGUUGAAGUUCUUAAGCCGAGAGAGAAGUGGACUACCGUAGAGAAGAAGGCUUCAAGCUGCAAUUCUAAGGCGAAGACGGCGAUCUACAAUGCUAUUGAUGCGUGCUACUUCAAGCUGAUUUCUCAAUGUGUGUCAGCUCAGAAGGCGUGGAAGACAUUGGAGAACAUGUUUGAAGGUACUUCAAGUGUCGAGCGAACCAAGCUGGAUAUGUUAGCAUCUAGAUUUGAAAAUCUAAGGAUGGAUGAAGAAGAAACCUUGGCUCAGUUUAGUGCCAAGUUGUGUGACAUAUCUAAUGAGUGCUUUGCGCUUGGGAAGCAGUUCAAGGACAAGAAGCUGGUGAAGAAACUGAAGAGGUCGCUGCCAAGUGAAGUUUGAGUUAAAGAUUUCUGCUGUAGAAGAAGCUCAUAAUCUGGAUGAGAUGGCUUUUGAUGAGUUUGUUGGGAUUCUCCAAGCCUUUGAGUUGAGCAAGGCGUAUGGAGAUAAAGAUUAGAAGAAGGAUAAGGAUAAGGAGACGGACGAUCCUUAUGGUGUUGCUUUGAAAGUCUCACCUUCUGAAGAUCCUAUGGCGAUGCUGUCAAGAAAUCUUGCUGAGUAUCUGAAGCAACAACGAGGCAGAAGAGACAAUGGAAAAAGAGGUGGUUUGAGAAGAUCACCAUCAAAGCUACGAUGCUAUGAGUGCAAUGGGAUUGGACAUGUUCGGUUGGAAUGUCCAAAUUUACAGAGGCACGAUAAGAAGAAGAACAAUAAGAGUGACUCUGAUACUGAUUCAGAUCAUGGUGAGAAUCUGAAGAACUUUGUGGCGUUUACAACCUUGGGUUCUGUGAAGAAGUCUGCGGCGGAAUCUGUGUCAUCGUAUGUGUCAUCAUCUGUGUCAGGGUCUACACGUGGAGAUGAUGAUGUUGCUGAAAGUGAGGAUGAUGUUGAGGGUUUCGAUCUGGCUAAGAAGUAUGAGACAUUAUAUGCACAAUAGGAAACGAACCUCGUUAACAAACUCUGUGUGUCAUUUACUUACUGUUAUAUAUCUCUGACUCAUCCGCACUUACAGGCCAUUCCAGUCCAUGAGAUUAUAAAUUAUAAACAAAAAUCAUGAUAGUAUGAUCACCGUAAUAACAAAUCGGUUGCGAAUUACAUAAUCUAAACGUUAAAACAAGUUUUAUGCACACAAAAAAUAAACAAAACUCUGUUUGUAAAUGAACUCUAGUCAGCCGUCAAAGAUCAGUUCCAAAAAAAUCGUUCUUAAGUGGCAUUUGUUUUUUUUUUCUUUUUACAUCGAAAAAAUGCUAUUAUAUUACUUAAACUUGAACAUUUUUUUUUUGUGUGUUAUUAGUUGUUUUCUAACACAUCUCACAUUUCACAUUUUUUUGUAUAACUCAUAUUUCUUAUAUUAUAGAAAUUAAAAACUUUAUAUAACCUCUCCAUGGUACAUAUCACACAUCACACUGACAUACAAAAAUAUCACUCUCCAUUGUAUUACCAAAAAAAAAGAGAAGAAACAGCAUGACAACAAUAUACGGUACAAAUCCGACGGCAGCUAACGACCUAGCCCCAAAACUCGAGUACAUCACACGAACCAACAACCACCACCACGUAAGACCCGGCCUGGCCACGCGCCGUUCAUGGAAGCAAAUGCUCGACCUAGGCUCCUUCCACUUCCCGCGUAAGAUAGCUUCAGUAAUAACCAGAAUCAAAACCAACAUCGUCUACUUCCAAACAAACUACACCAUCGCCGUCCUCUUCUCCGUGUUCCUCAGUCUUAUCUGGAAACCCUUCGCUCUCCUUAUCCUGCUGGCCCUUAUCGGUGCGUGGCUGUUCCUUUACUUUCUCCGCGACGAACCACUCAUUGUAUUCGACCGUGAGAUCGACCACCGUGUUGUCCUUAUUGUCAUGUCCGUUCUCACUCUCUCGGUCCUUUUCUUAACUGAUGCGAAGCUCAAUAUUGCCGUGGCCGUUGUGGCAGGCGUGGUGGUUAUAUUGUUGCACGCGGCUGUUAGGAAAACCGAAGAGAUAUACCAAAACGAAGAUGAAACCAGUCCUUUACUUCCCCAAGUAUAAAAUGAUCUUCAUUUGCUAGAAUAUUUCACAUUUUUAGUUGUCUUUUCGUUUUUUUUAAAUCUAUUUUCGCUAAAAUCUUAUUACCAUUGCUUAUUAACAUUUAAUAUUUGUUUUCUAUUAUGUUCCCUGAUGACUACAAUAUUAAAACAAGGAAACACAAACUUAACACAACAAAAAAAGUGUUCUAUAACCACACAUAGUCGAGUGGUACAACAGGUUUGGAAAGGCGCUAAACACUUCAGGUUCCAAAUUUACUAUCUCAAAUAUACCUGUUUGUGUGGUCUGACCAUUUCCCAGGGGAUUAUAAAAAAAAAAACAAGUGUCCUAUAUUGAUCAGUAUGCGUCACAGUAAAAACUCAUUUCAAAUAAAUUUUUUUUCUAUAACCACUUAUUAUAAACCAUGCAUGAUGGGAACUAUGGGAUGGCCGUGAAAAUGUUAAAUUUCUAAAUCCGUUUUGUUAUCUAAGAAAGGUGGUUUCCUAACGGAACUUGUGGGCGAGGCCGGCGUAGAAUCUGAACUAUGAUCGUAAUUUGAUUGACCGACAAAAUUUGCAUACAAAAAAAAAAAAUGCUACACAAGUAACCACUUGAAUGUUUAGGCAAUGGGUGAGUCUGUUAGUAUUCCGAUGUAAGGGCCGUUAAGCUUUCAAUGGAAUUAUUAUAUCAAUACGAGUACAAAAUAAUCUACGUAUCAACCCUUCAAUGUUAGACAUCUUAUACAUUCUUUCUCGGGUGCAUGAAGAAUAUAAUACUAUAUUCGAAACAAAAAGAUCUCAGAUUCUUUGUUCUCUUCAUAAAUCACUUAACGAGAUUAAGGGGAACUUGAAGAGCAAGAGGCACCAAAGGCUCGUGAACAAUCCCAACCGAUAUCUUGCAAUGAUCAGAGCUCAACAUCUUCUCCAUCUCCUCUUCAUCUGAUGAUAUAAUCUCGUUGAUUAUUCCCAUUAGUAUUCUCUCCAUAGCUUCACCAUCGGUCCAAUCUCUAACCGUGGCCUUGACCAAGGUCCGGUUUUGACUGAUCAAAUCCCAAACCGGGAAAUUAUUCCUUGGCAUCAUGUAAUCUUCAGCUUUGAGUCUAAGACUCGGACAGUAAUCACCAGCACCAUCUCCAAGAUAGAUCAUCUUCAUCUUGUUUCCUUCUUUGGUAAAAGAAGCUUGAAUCCUCUCAAUUAUCAAACCCUAUAAAUAUAAAAUUAUUAAAACCAUUAAUUAACCGAAGAAACACACACAAGUGGAUCCGUAUAGAUUCAACACACGACAUGAGUUGAUAGUUGCAUAUAAAAUAUUCAAAUAUUAAUUGUAAUCCGUGCAUGUGACAUGGUAGUAAAGUAUACCUUGCACAUGUUAGGAGGGCAACGAGAGCAACCGUGGGAGGAUUUGGUGAAGUCAUGGUACGGAGAUACUAUUAACCUUCCUUGUUCAUCUACAAGUCCAGGAUUUGUAUUAAUCUCAGAGAAAUACUCACGAAUCCCGAGAUGUUCAAGGACCGUUUCGAUGAAUAACGUGUUCGCGUCGCUCACUAUUCUCAGCUCGCACCUAAAAAUAACCAAACCGUAUAAGUGAACGUGUACGUGUCUUUUCUUUAAUCAGAGCAUAUAAUCAAAAUUAAAAAUAUGGAAUUACCCUAACGCAUGAGCAGAUUUGAUAGCAGGGAUGACACGAGGAUGGAUGGGGAUUCUUCUCAAGACUUGUUUGAUUUCUUCAAUGGUUUUGCCAUGAUCAUGAAGCUCCUUCAUCAUCCGAGCCUGUUAUUAUGAAAACCAAAUAUGAAAUAUUGAUAUUGGGUUGAAUGAAAAUCAGAAAAUAUAGUUAGGGAUGGAUGCACAAACCAUGAGAGAGUUAAAAGGCAUUGUGGGGAGAAGCUGGUCGAACAAAUCAGUGAAGCCAAGUUGAUCGACGACCCAAUUAUCACUGUCCACGUCGAUGAUCGUCUUGUCGAAAUCGAAUACGAUGACAAUGUUGUUCUUGUUAGCCAUUGUCUGAGAAAGCUGAAAAAGAAUCUCGUGGAAAACCUUAAUGUAUGAUUGUUGUGGAAUGUUUAGAAGAUGAGUGUGAUUUAUAUACAAGUGAAAGAGAGAUACGAAUAGGGUUUUUUUCUCGGAAGAUGCCUUUGGAAUAUUACCUUGCGCGUAUGCAAAGAAAAAUUGAAAUUUGGUUCUUAUUUUUAUUAACCGUUGGAUGGUAACGAUUAAGGUCAAAUAUUGACUAAGUGUGCUGAUCGGACGGUGCUGACGGCUCUUAGUUUAUUUUGUGGGGUAUUUAUUAUUUUAGAUUGGCUUGUUUUUGACCCAAAAAACAAGAUUGGCUUGUUAAAAGUUUCCUUUUAUGUGGAAUUUUAGGCAGUUGAGAAGACGCGGACAUGAGACAAAAGAAUAUUCUACCUAUUAAUCCGUUUCUCUAUCUAUUUAUUAAAAUAAAAGUAAAUUAGUUACAAACAAAAAAAAGAGAGUAUGAGAAAAAAAUCAACCAUAAAAAAGAAGUUUAUGCAACAUUAGUAUAUAUAUACAUAAUACAAGUAUUAUAUAUAUAUAUAUAUGCUAUUUUGGGUAAGAAUAUAAUGUUUCAUUAUUGAGGGGUUUUGUUUGUUCAUGUGUGUAUUAGACUAUUAGUUUUGAUGAAUUUUCUCAACUAAUUACAUUUAUGUCGACAUAUUUUUUCUACGUUAACAUUUAUUACUUACUUGGCAAAAGGAUUUUGUUCUAUAUAGUAUAUAGAUACAAAAUUUAAACAAACGGAAAAAAGAUGCAUGCAUGGGUAGUGGCUUUAUCGAUUAGGUCACAAACUUUACCAAUAAAGUUAAAACCAAAAAAUAAUUAUACUCGGUUGGAAUAACCUUUAGAACACUGAAUUUAUCAAAAUAUUAAAGUCUGGAAUACUAUGGAAAGUGCAUCAGAAGGCACCAGCGAGUAGGGAGGAAAGCUGGCAGGAAUAUUGAGUGACAAAUGUAAUAAGAGGAAUAUUCUUGGAGUUAAGGAUCAUCAGAACCCACUUUGGUGGCCACAUCUUUCAAUACUCAUCAAGCUGAUCUCUUCGUUAUAUCUAAUAAGAAAAUAUAUUUUUAAAACAUUUGGCCGUCGAUCACCUAACAAGUCUUAACAUGACAACACAACACUGUAUAUGUGCAUAUCUCUAUCUAUUAAAUAUACAUAUUUUUCGAAUGAUCAGACGUUAUCAUCAGAAGAUCCGCAUCAAAAGAAGCUUCUACUCCUCUUCCUCACGUCUUUAGAGACCUACUCUAAUAUAAAACACGGAGGAAAAUAAAUUAUUGUCGUUGCAACUCUGUAGCACCACGAAAAUCCACAAUAGUGAUAACUUGCGUGUCACGCGAUCUACUAGUUGAAUGGUUAAUUACUUUCCUCUAUCUAAGGGUCGCGUGGCGUGGCCAUAUAUGUUGCUCUCUACACUGUUUGGAAGGUUAGGAUAAUAAAUUGUCUUUUAUAUUUUAAGAGGCAUUUUCACAAGUGUAACAAGAACUGUGUACAUGCUGAUAAUUUUUGCCUAAAAAUAAUUAAGCCACUGAUAAUAUAGUUCUCGUAACUGAAGAUAUGAAGAUAUACAAACUACAUUUUAUUGUCGGUGGCGGUAAAAAUCACAAAAGGGUGUCUGCAAAUCAAUUGAAAAGGAGAGAUAUAGGGAGCUAAAUGCGUUCAAGAAGAAGAUAUGACAAAAGAAUCAAUAAACAAAUUUGAAGCACAACCCUCCCCAUCGUUUCAUUAUCGUACUAAAAUUGCCACACAACAUAAGCUGUUUCUUAAAAGAGUAAUAUAAACAAAAAAAAUAAAAAAGAAUCUUUAGCAACCCAAAAGAACAAAAGACAGCCUAAGUAGGUUUCUCCUUUUCAGACAAUUACCCUUCUGGUAAAAAAGGUAUCUCCUUCUUUGCUUUCCCAAUCUAACAUUUGUUUUAUCUUCCAACUCCUGAAAAAUAUUCUGUUGCUUCUUCCUGCUUUGGUCUUGGUCACAGCAUACCUCUGUUACGACUACAAUGUUUCUGGUUACAUAAUCACUUUGGUUGUUAAACGAGAGAGCGAGAGAAAAGGGAGAAAAUGGAAAGUUAAAAUGGAGCAAGCUGGUUCCAUGUUUCUUUUCUUUCUUCUCCAGUUCAUCCAUAAUACAUGUACAAGCUGUUGGCUGCUGCACAAGCAAUUGAGUUCUCCGUUGGGUGCCAAGCCAUAUGCAGCAACUUAGUUGUGAAAUCGUGUGCGUUUCCGUUCGCAUCUGAUCCUGGACUCUCUGAUCCUGCAUCCAACACACAAAUUUUCACUCCAAAAGAAAACAGAAAAGGCUUGAAUGUGUUUUACUGUGACCACUACCACUAACCUCGUCUAACCACGCUUGUCAUAGAUCUGGAAGAUCUCGCAGGUGUCUGGAUUUGCCUCCUAAUGUAAACCAUUGAUUCACAAUUGAUCAACAUACACUUUUAUGACUUGGGUUUAGCUAUCAAUGAUCUCUGUUUUUCAACUUACCUCAUCGGGUUUUUGCUAGCUUCCAACGUUGCAGCUUCAGUACUUCCUUGUGACGCUCCAAAUACGCGGAACAGAUUGCUGGUUUCACGCAUGUCAUUGGUUCAUCUCUUAUAUAAGAUAGAAAAGUAUUGAAUUGACUACAAGACAAACAAUCAAACCUGUAAGAGCCUGUUGCUACCCUCGAUCCAUCACCACUCAGACAACACUCGAAUUUAUCAAAGAUGGAGUCAUUUUCAUAGAGAUCACAUAGCUGCAACAGGGUAAAAAAAUAAUAUGGUUAGUUUUCCAUACAAGAUUAUCAAAUUAUAGAUGCCCACAGAAAGAAGCUCUCACCCUUGGUCUCAGAUGUUCAUGAACCUGGUAAGACGCAACUGGACCAGAAUCCAUGUUUAUGUCCCACAGCUGAAACGUCAGAAAAGGCAGAUAUCAGAAAGAACUGUAGGAUACAACUAUAUUGGCAUACCAUAAGAAAAUAACUAUACACAUGGGAAUCAGAUGAUUUCCAACCUUGAGGGUCAUGUAAUCGCGACUAAGUAUGUAUCUCCCAUUCUUUGAGAAUUUAAUAUCUGAAAUUGAGGCAAUUAUCUCUGUGAAAAAUGAUCUUGAACCAGGUGCUUCCGGUUCUUCAAACCUGUGAUAGGAAGUAACAAUUGUCAGUGGUCUGACACUUUUAGCCUAAUAAUCUUCACUUCCAUGUCAUUUACUACAAGAUAAGAGAAAGAUUUGAAAUGAACCUACUUAUUUAUAUCCCUUGCUUACUUAGAAUUUCAACUUAGUUUAAGCACAUAUCGCAACCCGCUCUGUCAAUCCAGAAAAACACUACCCUUUUCGAUAAAAGGAUGAGGAGAAUAGAACUUACAAUUUAGUAUGAGAAUCGCACAGAGCUGAUUGCCUCAUAUCAAUCAAACGGAUGGAGCCUUUUGAACUGCUAUAUGCGAGCAUAUUACAAUGGAUUGGGUGGAGCUCAGCUGAUGUAAUAACCUCUGCAGAGACCAUGUAGCAUUCAAAAACAUACCAGUUAAACUCAGCUGAUGUCAAAAGAAGAAAAGUUCAAAUAAGGACGUUAUAACUUCUACCAAAAUAAUGGAAGAAAGCAUACCAGUUAAGUCCUCCAUGUUUGUGGGCUUAACAUCAACAAUAUUGAAACUCUGGUUGCUGACUUCCAAAUUCCAGAGAUUGACUCGCAGAUCAUCAGCCGAAAUAAAGGUUUCUCCAUCGCUUCAAAGAUUAAGGAAAUGGUACAUUAUCGCAAUGCAGAAAAAUCAGUGAACUGUAACGCAUGCAUGUAUAGGUUGUGAAAUUUAAAUUAACGAAGUACGAUAAUGUGAAGGGUAGAACGAUAAAAUUCUAAAACAUAUCCUAGAUUUUUUCCCGGGAUGGAAACUAAAGGAGUCAAGAAGUGGUUUAAAAGGUAUCGAGAGCAAAACAUAUAACUCGUGUGAAAACUUAAGAAAGAGAUUACCUGCUAUUUGAGAUUGAAUUAAUAUGGUAAUCGUGAGCAUGCGCAUACACUCUUCGGCAUCUAGCCACAAGGUUUGUCUCCUGGCUAGUCACCUAGAUUAAAUAUGCAGAACGACCAUUAUUCCAAGCCAAGUAACAGUUGAUUAAUGCAUGUCACAAAAAUUUGGUACUGAGCUUUACUUACGACCAAGGGAAACAAUGACAACUAGUACACUCCCUACCUUUCACAACUAAAUAAUAUGAAAACAUGCACAACCUACAGUCUUAAAGUACAAAUCAACCACAUAGAUUACUGGAUCCACUCUUUCUACUGGGGAGAAGCUCCGGCCAUGGCAGGUUGGAUAUCUAUAUGCAUUUAGUCUUCAGAAUCCUGAAUCUAUAACUCUAUUUGACACCAAAAAAAGAAGAAGAAAUAAUAUUGCAUAGAGUACAACUACCAAAGGCAAACGCAGAGAUGGAAUGCCUCCUGGCGGGAAGGGAAAGUCCUUGCUCAGGUAGUCUUGUGGUUUAUCGGCAUGUACUCCAUUAGCAAUUAAUGGAAGAGGGCUACUUGAACCUGGAUCUUUGGACGGAUCAAUAUUCAUUUCAGAAAUUUUCUUGAUCUUCUUCUCUUGUACCUGUUUGAUCAAAAAUGCAUAGAGGGGUAAGAAACUACUCAUCCUGUUUUUAAUGGAGUCUUGGAAGCAUAACCAACAAGCUUCUAGACCACUUUCACGAGUGAGGCUGAGACCUAUAAUAAUUGGAAACAAGAUAAAAGGCCAUCCAGAUCUCGCACCUUCCAAUAUUUGAUGGUUUUAUCAUUUGUGGAAAGCAGAAACAAUGCACCAUUUGCUGGCUGACACCAUCUGAUUUUGUUGAUUUUUUCCUCUAUUUCCAAACUCUUGAGAUAGUCGAACUGAAAGAGAUUGGAGAGCGAGUUUAUUUUUUUUGUAGCACUAGCAUCACACUUAUUUGUAAGUGAAAUCUGGUGAUAUCUUUCAACGUACCUCAGGUUCAUGACUCUGAAACUCUGUUUUGUAUCGAAACUCAGGAUGCCUAACUGUGUAAUCCAUCUGCUCAGCAUCCCUCCUGGAUCCACCAUUCUGAAAAUAACAUUGAAUAAGAAUGCAUUACAGCACAAAAACAGACGAUUGAAGUAAAUCUCGCAGAAGAAAAAGGGACGCACAUCUUUAGUAUCCGUCCUCUCAAAAAGAACUACUCGGCCCCCACGGUCACCAGUUGCGAGAUGGUCUCCACUUUUAUCAAACUCAAUGGCUGAAAUGAUGUCAACUGCGGAAACAAAUUCAUGCAAAAAAAAAAAGAAUCGUCAGAUAAACAGGAGGAAGAAUAUUCUACUCCAUAACAUAGAGAAGGUGAAACAGUGAAGUAGACUACUACAACAAGAAGAGAAAUGCCGAGACACAGCAAAUUAAAUUUGUCUGAAAACCAUCUUGCUACAUUAGUACUCCAAAAAAUCACAUCAGCCAAAAAAGAACCAGCUCAAUAUUACAAAUUCAAAUAUAACUCAUGAACCAAAAAUGCAUAACAAAUGAUAACCCUACACACUUCCAGCUCGACAGACAAUUCAUCAAACGCUUUCCUUUGAUUUUUUAGCAAAGUCGAGAAAGCAUUCUAAUCAGUGGAAACAGUAUGGAAUAGAACAGACAGAAGCUUAGAUCACUAACAGUGCAAUCAAAGACAAAGUCACAUAGAUUCAUUCAUCAAUGGGGCCACUAAGCAGUAUAGGAAGAAGUCAAUAAUAAUCCCCCUAUCAUCCAAAUCAGAUCCAAACCACAAAAUCAAAAUCCUUAGUCCUCAAAUAAUACCCUCUGGAUCUAAAACUCUCUAUCUCCUCGAAAACACUUGACAAUCUCUAACGAGGUAGGCAAUUAUUAUUUAUUUACCUUCAUGGACUUCUUCUCCGGCGGUUCGCUCGCCGAAGACCUGAGAGAAUCUCCACUCUAGAGACGGAGGAGGACCACUAGCAGCGGCGGAGGAAGCAGCAUCGUCACCUCCGUUCAUUUUUCUUUCUUAUUGCGAAGAUAAUCCAAUUAAAAACAAUCUGAGCUUCCAAAUCUUAAUCACCGAGUCGAAGAUCGCGUCAUCACUAUAACACAUUCCAUUCCAUAGCUUUCUUCAUCGGUUUCGCGAUUGGAAGCACUUGAUCGAUGAUUGAUUUCGUCUCUCUCUCUCUCUCUUUCUCAAGGAAAAAAUGGAUUUUCGAUUCUCUCUCUCUCUCUCUCUAGAAAAUGAAGGAGCGAGAGAAGAAAAUACGCCUUCCUCUUUGUCUCUUUCUAAAAGGAUAAAAUUGGAAUUACGAUCCUUUUUUUUCUUUCUUCGGGACCAAACGAACGAAGGAACAAAUCGUAUUAAGUAAUGUCUAUUACUAUAAUGUUUUUGUCCCGAUAUCAAUUUUAUUGUUAGAGUUACUGGCUGUGACAUUCUUUUAUCCGAUCAGUAAAUUAUAAAUGGACGGUGACAUAUGGCUUCGCGUAUCAUUGGUCAGUUGUGGAGGUGCGCUUGCCACUGUUUGUAUGAUGGGGAAUAUUUAUAAAUAUCAUUAGUGCCAUUUCUAAUUAAUUAAUUUCCCCAGUUAUCCUAAAAUUCCAUUUGCAGUUUUGCACAUUGUUUGCUUUCUGCGAAAAACUUUUAUUAUAAAACAAUAUUAUAGUAGGAGAUGCUCAGAACAUUGUACUUAGAAUAAUACUUUCUCUUUCUUAGCAAGAAAAUAAUCGUUUUCUUACGUAAUUUCUUUAAAAUGAAUACAUCUGUAGGGAGACUUUCAACGCAAGCGGUAGAAAAAGAUUGAACCAGUCUAAAGCCAGUAAUAAAAUGUAAAUAAUGAGUAUCAGAUUAGUCUGAAUGUCAGUGUUUUGGAAACUUAGGAUAUAAACGGGAUCAUGAUGUAUUUGUUGUUUUAUCUAGAGUUCACAAGUUUUUUAGAGCCCAAUACAAUAGGAUACAGAACAAGCCCAAGUUAAUAUAGAAUCCCAAAAACUCUAAACACAUGGGUUUAUUGGCACAUCUUUAGGCUCCUAAAUAUUGCAUUAUGCUUGUUAUUUACCUUAGUGAAUGGGGCUCUUAAAAAACUUAUAGAAAGCAGAGCACGUUUUUCAAAUAUUUUCAUUAACACUAUCAUCAAGGUACUGGAUUUUGCAAUAUAUGGUUUGAUGUUUUAAUCUCUUACUGUGAGUGAAAAUAUCUAUCACAUGCUCUACUUAAGGAUACUUAAGCGAUACUGGAAUGUUUAUGGAUGUGUAAGUGUCAUUCUCUUGGUUAAUGUCAUGUUUAUCUUGUUUCUUGAUAUAUCCCAGAAAUGUGUGUGUUCUAGUUUUAGGGUCUAGGUUUUAGGAUGAAAAUCGUUCAACCUUUUUUUUUAAAACGUACUUUAUUCUUCCUUUCUCUUCCAAAAGGGACAUUGUUUCCAAAACUACAAUUUAAAGAAAAAACAAAUAUAGUAUGAACGAGAAACCAAGAUGAAGAAUAAUAGAGAUAGACACAUGUGAAACGAUCAGGGGCGGAUCUAGGAGAGGCAUUAGUCGGGGGCAUAAAGAUAAGGUUUGAGUUAGUCGGGGAACUUUCAUAAAAUUGAGCUAGAUUUAACACAACUGUUUAAAGAAAAUCAAAAUUUAGUACGGGACACGUGACCCCGUUGGUCGUAACGUACGUCCGCCACUGGCAACGAUGAUAUAGUUGUGACGAGUUCUGGUCCUCUGGACCACUUGACCUUUAAGGAUCAAAAUGAAGAAACCAAAGUUGAAGAUAUGUUUCAGACCGAGUUGUAAUUGUUUGAGCACGCUGUGCUCUGGACGUAGGAACGGUGCGGUCAAGACCUAUUUACUUAGCUUUCAAAAGAACCUUGAAUUCCUUGAUGAGAAGAUGAGAUGGUUUACUAGCUGAGGUGUGCAGUCUCGAAUUUUUUCUCUUUUCACAGAACAUAAACUAUAUAUAGCUUGAACCAGAAAAUAACAAAUGGUUCUAACCUUGGCGUUUGGAGAUAAUGUAGAAAGCCAGUUGAUCGUCGCCUCGAAAUGCAUGCACUGGACUGGAGGAGUGAAUGUUGUAUUAUUGAAAAAGAAGGCCCAUACCUCUUGAGAAUAAGAUCAACCGAAAAUAUAUAUAUGGUCUCGAUCUUCAUCUGACGCAUCGCCACGAAGACAAGUUGACACAAACAUUUAAACCCCACUGCCGAAGUCUAUCCCGCGUUGGAAGUUAAUACAUAUAUAAUGAUGAUUGUAUAUAGUUUACAUACACAUACUUGUAUAGUGUAGAUGUUAGUGUAGAGUAGUCUAAUGUAUGAGUAUAAAUACUCCUCCUUGUACAGAUUUUAAUCUUAAUGAAGAUAUUUUCAUAUUAGAUUAUGUUAGUUAAUAUGGUAUCAGAGCGUUUGAGCUGAGCUCAACCUCCGAUCUUCUUCAUCGAUCGUCGAUCGUCGCUUCCGAUCAUCUCCGAUCAUCGUCGAUAUUCUCCGAUCUUCAUUCCUCUCCAUCUGACCUACAUCCGCCUUCAUCUUCCAUCGUCUUCCGCAUUUUUCAUCAUUCUCAUCGUCUUCAUUCAUCUUCGAUUCACCUUUGAUUCAGCCGGAUUUAAUCUUGAUUUCUACUUUCCUUCACUCACUAUGGGAAAGAGAAAGUGUAACUCCAAGUAUUGAAGCGCUACUCCGGAUAAUCAAUCUCCGACUCGUCGCGAUGGAUCUCCUCAAUCUAUUCCUCCUCGCGAAGCGUCUGGAUCUUCGAAUCAAGCUCAAAAUGUUCAGAAUCUUGAACCUCAGGCUCUGAUUCGUCUCUCUAAACCGUUUGAGGUAUCAAACUCUCCUGAUAGCAUUCAUAGUCCGUACUAUCUGCAUAGCUCUGAUCAUCUUGGCUUAGUACUAGCAUCUGAAGCUUUAGACAGAACGAACUAUAAUAUCUGGAUAGUUGCUAUGACUACUAGUCUAGAGGCGAAGAACAAACUUGGAUUCAUUGAUGGAUCUAUUGCUAUGCCUGCUGAAACUGAUCCAUAUUAUAAGAUAUGGUGCCGUUGCAACAAUAUGGUGAAGUCAUGGUUGCUCAACAGCGUUUCUAAGAAGAUAUACACUAGUAUACUCUACUUCAAGGCAGAUGCAGACAUUUGGAAGGAUUUACACUUUCGUUUUCACAAAUCCAACCUUCCAAGACUAUAAAAGCUGAUGCAUCAACUCCACUCUCUCAGGCAGGGCAAUAUGGAUCUAUCUUCAUAUCACACUCAAACUCAGUCUUUAUGGGAAGAACUGAACAGCCUACACGUUCCAGCUCGAACUGCGAAAGGUCUUCUUGCUCAAAAUGAGAACAACAAGGUUAUUGACUUUCUCAUGGGCCUCAAUGAUAGCUAUGAUCACAUCCGUAGUCAGAUUCUCAUGAAGAAGACAUUACCUUCUAUGUCUGAAGUCUAUAACAUUCUCGAUCAAGAAGAUAGUCAGAGGUCUGCUCAGAACUCUUCUCACACUGAGCCUGAUUCAAUCACCUUUCAAGUUUCUUUCAACCCUAACUACGGCAAGAACCGUUCAGUCAGCACUCAUUGUGGUGGUUAUGGUCACAUUAUUGACCGCUGCUACAAAUUGCAUGGAUAUCUCCCAGAAUUUAAACCCAAUGGGAAGUUCUAUCCUAAGAAGACUCAAUCUCAGAGCUCUCAAGUAGCAGUAAAUGUGAUCACUAUUCUGACUGAACAUCCGGAAGUUAUAGCUUCUCCAGGAUCUUCUUCUCUCACUCUGGAACAGAUGUGUAGAACCUAAAAUCUACACUAAGUAUUUGAUAGUGAUCGGGAGUUCAAUCUGGGGAAGAAAAAGGAUGUGGACAACGAUAUCCUUAGAACACAACGGUAUAAUCAAGUAUGAGUCGGCGAAAAUGGACUAUAUUCGCAGGUCGAAUAUCAUAAAGAUAUCGGGAAAGAGAAGAUCGUGACUGAACUCGAGAACGAGCUGCCUACGUACCCGUCGUGGGAUCGAGUCUAAACGUAGUUCGAUUAUCAUCAUCUCGAAAUGGAUUUUGGUUUCAUCGGUCUUGAGCAAGAUGUCGGGUUUGUCGGUCCCGAUAGAUACAUCGAGUUCGUCGGUUCUCAGGAGAGACAUCGAGUUCGUCAGUUCUCAGAAGACGUCGGUUUUAUCUCUUACCAUCUCGGGCGAGAUGUCGUUUACCUCCUUUAGAACGAGACCCCAUUCACGAAUGGGGAACGAGUUGAACUCGAGACGGUCGAUUACAAUCUCGUUAUAUCGUUUAUCGUACGAAGGAUAAGUCUUGUUCUUCAACAAACGUGGAGACGUAUUGGAGUGAUAGAGAAACGUGUAUGAUGAUGUGUAGUAAACCCUUUGUCUUAUUGAUCUAUGUUAACGCAUGGAGCCUGGAUUUACUAAGUGCACACGUCUCCUCCUUAAUAAUAAUGGUAAUGGAUGGUGUUUUAUUUGUCGUUGUGAGCCCCCGUAAGCUCUCUUGGAAGAUGACCUUAUAAAUCAAUUGCUUUGUCUUUUUAUAAGGGUUUCAAGUUGUUGCACGUGCUUCCUAAAAUUCAGUCUUUGACCUCUUCUUACGUCCAUGUGAGUCCGAGAAAUCGGUAACUAACUUUUGACUUCGUCUUUGACGUUUAAUAACAACACGAGACUUGGUGAUGAAUUAUUGUCCCACAAUAAUUUCUAUAAUAACAUAUAAUUAUAGUAGGAGUGAUUUGGUACAAAUCAUGGUCCAACAAGAUGCACCAGUUCAUUGCUCACUUCAGCUCACUACUUCACAAUCAGAGCAUCACAUCAUCAAAAGACGGACUUCUUCCUUCGUCUUCAGCUGUACCAAAGGCUUGCAAAGCGAAUGGUACUUUCCUACCUCUAUACACUUUUUCUCUUAUUGGCAUGCCUUCAUCUCUUUCUUCUGGAAAUACUAUAGUUUCGAGUGAGCCUUGGGUUAUAGAUUCAGAUGCUACUCACCAUGUUAGUCUUAACAAAUCCCUUUUCACUUCUAUUAAACCCUUUAUCAAUAUCUUUGUUACCUUACCUACUGGAAACUCAGUGAGCAUUAUUGGAAUAUGUUCUAUUACUCUUAGUGAUAACAUAACACGUAAAAAUGUUCUUUACAUUCCUCAAUUUCGUUUCAACCUGUUGAGUGUUAGUUAUUUGACUAAGGAUACUGAAUCUAUGGUUGGUUUCACUGCAUCUGAUUGUUUUAUACAGGAUCUUACACGAGAGUUGAUGAUUGGUAAGGGUACACAAGUUUCCAAUCUAUAUGUUCUUGAUUCAGGUUCUUUAAUUUCUGCUUUUCUUAAUAAUCAGAACAAUGUUGCUUGCUCUGCUGUUGUUGACAAUCAUACAUGGCAUAAUCGUUUAGGUCACCCUUCUAUGGCUAAGAUUGAUACAUUGUAUGAUCACUUAUCAUUGAAUAAAACAGAGAAUGUGUCCUAAAGCUAAACAAAAAUGUGUUCUUUUUCCAUCAGAUAAUCUUAUUAGUAAGAACACUUUUGACAUGAUUCAUAUUGAUGUUUGGGGUCCCUUCUCUGUUAUUACUCAUGAAGGAUAUAAGUAUUUGUUAACCAUAGUUGAUGAUCAUAGUCGUGCCACUUCGAUUUAUCUGUUGAAAGCUAAGUCUGAUGUUUUAACCGUGUUUCCUGCUUUUCUCACCAUCGAUGAAACACAAUUUCAUAAAACUGUCAAAGCUGUUAGGUCCGACAAUUCUCCUGAGUUAUCAUUUACCAAUUUAUACCGCUCAAAGGGUAUUCUCUCUUUUCACUCCUGCCCUGAAACACCUCAACAAAACUCUGUAGUAGAGAGAAAACAUCAACAUCCUUAAUGUAGCUAGAUCUCUUCUCUUCCAGUCUAACGUUCCUCUAGCUUAUUGGGGUGAAUGUAUCUCUACUGCUGUCUUUCUUAUAAACCGAAUUCCCACACCUGUCUUAGACAAUAAAUCUCCUUAUCAAAUCUUAAUGGGAAAAAAACCAUAUUACAAUAGUCUUAAAAGCUUUGGGUGUCUUUGCUAUAAGAGUACGUCCACACAGGGUAGAAAUAAGUUUGCCCAUAGAGCUAAAACAUGCGUUUUCUUAGGAUAUAGAGUUCUAGAUCUUGAAACUCAUAGUAUUUCCAUUUCCAGGCAUGUCAUAUUUCAUGAAAACAUAUUUUCUUUUGUUGCUUCCUCACUUUCCAAUACGGCAAAAACUUUCUUUCCACGUCUUGCAAUGUCUGAUGAUAAUGUACCUUCUGUACCAUCAUCCUCUGGUGAAACAUCGGCACCUGCCACUUUACCUUCUGAUGUAGGUUUGUCUUUCGCAACUACAUCUUCUCGCAUUCGAAAAAGACCUGUUCACUUGGAAGACUAUUUGUGCAAUUCUUCUCAUUCUCUUUAUCCCAUUUCAGCUUUUCUUUCUUAUGAAAAAACUCUCUUCUGAACAUUUUGCUUUCAUCAAUUCUACUGUCAAUAUCACUACUCCCAAAUCUUUCAAUGAAGUGAAGAAGUCCAAAGAGUGGUGUGCUGCUGUGGAUGAUGAAUUUGUGUCUUUAGAACGUCUUGAUACUGAGUUUCAUCGUUUCAUGUCCAAGAUGGGUUUUCUCAACAUUUUAAGCCAUCUUGAGGGAGACUAAUACAUAUAUAAUGAUGAUUGUAUAUAGUUUACAUACACAUACUUGUGUAGUGUAGAUGUUAGUGUAGAGUAGUCUAAUGUAUGAGUAUAAAUACUCUUUAUUGUACACAUUUUAAUCUUAAUGAAGAUAUUUUCAUAUUAGAUUCUGUUAGCUAAUAGAAGUCUGUUUAAAAAUAAAAAUCGUUCAACUUGAACAUGUGAUUUAUAGUUUUCCUGAUAGAAGCUAAAUUUGGAUUGUCACGUUGGGGAGUUUAGGGCUUUAAUCAAUCUUUAAGUGGGUCUUGUUAACUUAGAGACUGUAUGCGCAAUCUGCAGACUUUGUUGUCUUAUUCCAUAUGAUAAUCUUUUAAAGUUUAUCUCUUUUAUUUUUGAAAACGUCCAUUUUAAAAGAGUUUAUUUAUAUUUCAAAAAUAAACACAAACGAAAAUUAAAUGAUACGUAGAAGAUUAUAGAUCAAGGACGGACCACUCUCUAAAUCCUAUGUUGUAAAUCACAUUUUCUUUGUUGUUAUCUAGAUGGACGGCUCUCGUAAACUAUUAUUCAGUAGGGUUUGGUGACUGAAACAUACUAUAUAAAAGAUCAUAUUAAAUUCGUUUGGGGCCGGCACGCGCAAACGUGGCGACCAACCAACAUAAGAUCAAAAUGGAUAAAAGAAUAUUUUUCUUGGUUUCGACUUUUGAAUUCGUAUUGCCAUGUGCGUAAAACGAAUUAAAUUAAGGACGCCAAGGGUUAUAUAAUAUGUCAUCGUGCACAUGGAAUGAUUGCGUUUGGUGGAAUAAUUUUUUUUUUUUGAACAUUUUCGUAAAAUAAUAAGGUGGAAUAAAUUAAAAAUUAAGUUUUGAAAACUUUUAGAGUCAUUUAGCCCGAUAUUCAUAUUCAGCUUGGUAAUUAGCUAUUCAUGCAUAAAAAACAAUAUUUGCGUAUCCGGUUAGUGAGGGAUGAUGAAAUUACCUUUAUGUCCAUGCGAAGUGAGAGAGUCGCUAGAAGUCUAUGCUGUAGGUAGAUUUAGGUAGGGUAGUCUUGUGUCAGUUAGUAUGUCAAUUUGUGUCAGAUUCAUAUUGUGUUCAAGAUACAUUAAGAGAUUUGCUACAUACAACUUUAUAUGAUAUUUGAUUCCUUGUUUCACUGUAUUUUCUUGGAUCUUCUUUUUUUUUGCCACGAUUUUUGGGUUCUUCUUAUGUCCUUUUUCUUUUGCUAAAAUUUGGAUCUUCUUAUUUCCUUGUUUCACUGUAUUUUUGGGUUUGGUUCCUUGUUUCAUGAUGGAACUUGGUUAUUUGGUCCAUUGUUUUAUCGUAUUUCUAGAUUUUUCAAUCUGAGUCUCCUCCAUACUGCGUCACCUCCGCGUCUUGUCGAACACUUCGAUGUGUCUCUUCGUCCAGAUCCGCCGUUCAUCGCCUUGCUCAUCUCCCGCGGUUGUCAUGCUCUGGAUUUGGAGUUGGUGGCUUUCACCGUCGCGACUCCAAUUGGUCUUCAAAAGCUCGCUGAGACAACAAUGGCCAACUUUGGCUCUUUUGCAUAUAUGAUCCUAAGAUUUUUCAUAGUUUUGUUUCUGACUCCGAACUCUUGCAUUGUACAUAUAUUUUCUCGAAUUAAUCCCUAGCGUUUUGAUUGUACAUUCUAGACCUCUUCACAAAUGAAAAAAUGAUCUUUGAUCUCUGUAUAGUUUGUAUUUUUGACCUGAAACUUACUAAGUUGAAGAACUAUCUUUGAAGUUUCAACCUAAAACUUCAAAUGUUCACUUUAGCCUCUAUCAAUGAAAAUAAACCUAUAAAUGCAGUAUAUACACCUAAAUGCAUCAUAAAGCCACUUCAAUGAACUAAAAUAAGAUGAUAUACAUAUCAAGGUAUAUCACAGGUUAAUUUUGGCUAACAAAUGAUAUUGUUGGCUAUUACAAGCUUUAUCCGGAUUAACUUCCUAAUACCCAGUUAAAACUCACACGUACAUACUACUUCAUCUCUUAUAAUUAAUCAACUUGAGAACAUGAUUUGUAAUCCAGUUAUAAUACACAUUGAUAUUACAAACAAAAAAAACCUAUUAUCCGACUAUUACUGUCAUAAUCCAGAUUAUCUAUUUAUUAUCCGAUUAUAAAACUCAUUUAUAAAUAUUUUUGUAGAUAUUAUGAUAAAACAAGACUAUUUUAAGAUAUUUGAGUAGCUUAUAAAUUACAAUACCAACUCAUUGUCGUUUAGCAUCCAAAUUAAAUGGUUCAUACACAAAUUGUAUAUUAUGAAUUAUUAGCCAUUAACAAACUCUACAAAUAUAUGGGUAAAAGGUAGCCGGAUUAAAUCAUAGUUAGCUUCAGUAAAUCAAACAAAAUAUCUGGAUUUAAUCAAAGUUACCAAAUUUACGGUUAACCAAAAAAAUAUGUUUGUAAGUCUUAGUAAUCGUCAUUGCUAUCUGGAUUAAAGAGGAAAUCCCUAGUAAUUGUUGUGGAUUAGCCACCGUCUACAGUGAUGAGAUCUAUAAACCACUAAUCAUAUAUUGAGCCAUACGAGAGAGCCAUGAGCAGCACGGCAGCUUGAUCUUCCUCUCCAAGCUUAUGUCGCUGCUUCACGAAGUAAAAAUGGAUAUAUCUUGCAGUGGUAUUGUGUUAUUACCAUUUUUGCAAUAAAAUUCAUGAAUGUGUCUAAUAACCGUACAAUAAAAAUAAUCCGGAUAAAAAAGAUAAUAUCUAGAAAAUACAUUAUGUAUUUGUAUCAUCAAUGCUUAUUAGAACCGGAUAAUACAUAGUUGAUCCGGAUUAUGAAAGACAGUUAAAAAGUCUUUAUAAAUUGUAUAAAUUAGAACAAAAACUGCAUUUUGUAGAAAUUGUAUAGUAUCUUGUAUCCCAUUCUUCCGUUAUUCCAGUACCAUGGACUAGCAAUAGCGGAACUAAGAAUCUGCACUGUCCCCUUGCGAAAUCAGAUGCCAUUACAACUUGCCUACCUUCUUAGCCGCUGAUCCCUACUACAACAUCAUCCAUUUGGAUCAUGGAGACAUUGGCACCUGUCAAAACCCAAAACAAAGAGAAGGUGGAAACAAAAUAAGAACCUGGUUGCUGCUUAGAAAGAAUCAAGAAGACUAAUUUUCAGAGAGAAAUACUGGUCUCAUUACCAUCACCAAUGGCAACGGUCAUGUCAGAAGUCCGGUUCUUUACAAGUGCAACGAUUUUAGUUUCUGAAAUGGAGCAACACGGUAGCAGAGUAUGCAGAGCAUUUACAUGCCACUUGGAAGAGCAACACGGUAACAGAGUAUGCAGAGCAUUUACAUGCCACUUGGAAGAACUGCAUAGUAAAAAGAAAAAAGAAAAGAAAUACAUAUGAGACUGGUACAGUCAAUAAUGAAGGCCAUCCUUCCCUCAUCACUUGCAAUACUGACAUUUUCUUCUUCUAAGCUCCUCGGACACGAAUUCAAUGAGUUACUAGUUUUUUUUUAUGAUGAGUUACUAGUUGUUACAAUUUGCCUCAUGUUUCUAGUCAGAAGCCUCGAUGAGAAUCCAUAGGAUAUUGGAGUUUCUUGCUUGUCACUUGUCAAGACCCAUACAUUAAUCCCUGCAAUUCUGAUAUAUUCGAGUGGGGACUUUCUGAGAUGUUAGCGUUCUGGCUCGCCGUUUCUGUACACCAUGGCGGCGAUGGAUCUGGAGGAGGUGAGAGGGGAUCUUCAAGAGGAAGAGGUACCUGGAUCGCGUAAAACUCAUAGAAGCUUUUUUUUUUAUUUGAGUCAGCUCUUUCUUGAGAUGAAAUUUGCUCAGAUCCUGGUCAGACAGUUAGGGGAGGAGAAAAGGAGAUCCGAAUCGGGAAAUAUAAUAGUAUGAACCGAAUCAAAAUCUUCACAAAGAAGAAAGAGAACAGAAGUGAGACAGUGAGAUGAGAGAGAUGAUGUAAUUACAAAUUUGAAUAUUGUUUAGCCUCCCACUGUUAACCGGUUGCGUGUAAUAGGGUAGAGUAGCGUAAUAAUUACAAGAUCAUAGACUUUAGAAUUUAGUGUGUCAGACUCAGCUCAGAGUUAUGGUAGGGGCAUCGUGGGUAAUAUGAAAUGUGUACAUUAUUAUUUUCGCAGCUAUGCCGUUUACUUAAUUAUUUUCUGAUUCCUAGCCAUAUGAUGCAAAUACUCAAACUUUUAUUUUUGAAAAAGGACCUAAAUUAAGCUUCCAAGAUGAGUACUCAAUCCCUUUAUGAAAGAUUUUCUAAACUUAUUUUUGUUCUAUAAAAUAGAUUAUACAUAUAUUAAAGUAUUUUUUUUAUAUUAAAAACAUUAUUAAAAAAUUUGAAUUGAAAAUAUAUCAUUGAUUAAUAAUUAUUAAAAAGUGUACAUUAAAAAUAAAUAAUAAUUUUAAUUAUAAACGUUAAUUAAAACCUUAAUCUAUGUGAAUACUCUAAAAAUCUUUUCUAAGGAACAAAAAUAUAUAUAACUGAAUAGUUUUUAAAAACUUUUUUUUAAAAAUGGUUUGAAGUGUCUCAGACCGAAAUCCAGACUAAUAUUUAGGAAGUCGGCCAACUGGUGACAAUCAAGCUUGAUUGUUGUACGUGAGAGGUAGAUACUGUUGCCACCUGAUUGAUAAUCUGAAAGGUAGAUUUCAAAUUUAAAAUGUUUACACUUUUCCAAACCCGCCUUACUAUCCGACCAUACCGACCUGGUUAUUCAAAGAAAGUUAAGAAAGCAGGUUAUCUUAUUUCAUCAAUACCACUAGCUUAUAAUGCUUACAUUUUAUAAUCAUGAUAGAAAGCAUAAUCCAAAAUAAGAAUAUGUAAGUGAUUUAAUAAGAUUUCUAAUACUGUUGAGCGAGGUUCAUUAUUUCAAUGUUGUAACUGCCAUGGAAUAUCAAAUUUUAUUUUUAGAUCAGGCCUGAGUUUUUUUGUUGUUGUUGUCUAGAGAUUUUCUCAAACAAGUUUAAAAUGAUCUAAAACAUGUUUCAACAAUUUAUUAGUAAAUUAGUAAAUUAAAAUUUUAGAUGUAGAAGACAUAUACAAUAUGUACCUAGAUUAUCAUAUAGUUCUUCUUUUGUCAACCGGAAGAUUGAAACCUAACCAAUUAAAGUAACCGUAUAGGACGAAAUGUCAAAAGAGAAUUAAUAUCAUGGCCAAAGAAGAGCCAUUCUGAAAUAAAAUUAAGAAAACAAAAACGUGGGAAAUACAAAAUAAAACUAAUUUCCAGAAAAAAAGGAAGAAGGAAGAUGACAAGUCUCCGAGUGGAGAGGGUGACGAAACAGCGUUGAAGUCGCGAAUUCGCAAAGUUAAGUUCACAAUCUCUGACAUUCAUGUUAAAAAAGCGCGCUUUUACAAAACUCCUAGUCUCUUAAAUAAUGCCAUUGCCAUAGCUUCCGAUCAAACGUUCUUAUUCAGUCCCCUUCAAAAUCAAGUUCUCACCUUUUAUAUUCUCUUGAUCUUUGUGGGUUUAGUGUUGGUGAGGUGUCAGAGUAAUCAAGUUCUCACCUUUUAUCCUCUUUCUCAUUCUGGGUCUGAGAGUUUCAAAUUUUCAGUCUUGAUUCGUCUAUUGAGAGAUUUCAACACAGAUGAUGAAUCUUGGGUUACUUGGAAUUACUCUGCUUUGCUGUCUCUUUGUCUCUUUCCGUAUAGGUUCUGUCUCAUGUCUAAACUCGGAUGGUUUGGCUUUACUUUCGCUUCUCAACCACUUCGACAAAGUACCACCUGAAGUCAAUUCCACGUGGAAGAAGAACACAUCUGAAGCCACUCCGUGUAAUAACUGGUUUGGUGUCAUCUGUGAUGAUGAUUCAGGUAACGUCAAGACUCUUAAUCUGAGUGGGUCUGAGGUUUCGGGCCAAUUAGGCUCUGAAAUAGGGGAGCUUAAGAGCUUGAUCACUCUGGAUCUGAGUAACAAUAGUUUCUCUGGUCGGUUGCCUUCCAGUUUACGAAACUGUACUUCACUUCAGUACUUGGAUUUGUCUGAAAAUGGGUUUUCCGGAGAGAUUCCAGUUACUUUUGGCAGCUUGAAGAAUUUGACUUAUCUGUAUCUCACUUCAAACUUCUUCAGUGGCGAGUUGCCUGAGUCCUUGUUCCAGCUUCCCUUGUUACAAGUGCUGAAUCUUGACCGCAACAAUCUUACCGGUCUGAUUCCUGCAAGUGUUGGUGGGUUGAAAGAGCUUUCAGAUCUGACCUUGUCUUAUAAUGAGUUGUCUGGUCCCAUCCCUGAGUCCAUUGGGAACUGCAGUAAGCUGGAGUAUCUGUACUUGCACAAGAACAAGCUUAAUGGUUCGUUACCGGAGAGUCUCAACCUGCUCAAGAAUCUCAGCGAAGUGUUUGUCAGCAACAACAGCCUUGGAGGGAGGAUUCGUUUCGGUUCAAGCAACUGCAAGAAGUUGGUGACUUUGGAACUGUCAUACAAUGAUUUCGAAGGUGGUGUUCCUCCUGAACUUGGCAACUGCAGUAACCUUGACUCUUUACUCAUCAUCAAAUGCAACUUGACUGGUAAUAUUCCAUCAUCAUUGGGUAUGUUAAGAAAGGUUACGCUUAUUAACCUCGGCGACAAUCGUCUCUCUGGGAAUAUCCCUCAUGAGCUUGGGAGCUGCAGCAGCUUACAUACUUUGAAGCUGAAUGGCAACCAGCUCCAAGGCGAGAUACCCGCUGCAUUGGGUAACCUAAAGAAGCUACAAAGCCUGGAGCUUUUCGAGAAUAAGCUGUCUGGGGAGAUUCCUAUCAGCGUAUGGAAGAUUCAGAGUCUGACACAGAUGGUCGUUCACAACAACACUCUCACCGGAGAACUACCAGCUGAAGUUACUGAGCUGAAGAAUCUUAAGAAGCUUUUGAUGUUUAACAACAGCUUUCAUGGAGGGAUACCGAUGAGUUUAGGUGUGAACAGAAGCUUGGAGGAGGUGGAUCUUAUUGGUAACAGUUUUACAGGGGAGAUACCUCCCAAUCUCUGCCAUGGACAGAAGUUAAGGGUUUUUAACUUGAAUUCUAAUCAGCUUCAUGGUAGCAUUCCACCGUCUGUGGGUCAGUGUAAGACCCUCGAGAGAAUCUGGCUUGGAGGAAACAAGCUUUCUGGUGUUCUUCCUGAGUUUCCUGACACACAUAGUCUUGAGUUUGUGGAAAUCAAAGGCAACAACAUUGAAGGAUCCAUCCCUCACAGCUUGGGAAGCUGUAAAAAUCUCCAGACAAUCAUCCUUUCUCAGAACAAACUCACCGGUCUGAUACCUCCAGAACUGGGAAAUCUACAAAACCUCCAACGGUUAUAUCUGUCACAUAAUCACCUAGAAGGUCCUCUGCCAUCUCAGCUAUCAGGCUGUGUGAAAAUGCUGGAGUUUGAUGUCGGGUCCAACUCAUUGAACGGUUCUGUUCCAUCGACUUUCAGCAGCUGGAAAAGCUUGACUACUUUGGUUCUCAGCAAUAAUCGGUUUUCAGGAGCCAUUCCACCGCUCUUGGCAGAGUUUGGCCGCCUAAUAGAUCUCCAGGUAGCUAGAAACGCUUUUGAAGGUAAGAUUCCUUCCUCUCUUGGCUUGUUAAAGCACCUGAACAGCUUAGACCUCAGUGGAAACAGAUUCACCGGUGAGAUUCAAUCCUUUCUGGGAGGUCUUGUCGUUCUCGUAAGGCUCAACAUAUCCAACAAUAAGUUGACAGGGAACUUAUCCGUUCUUCAAAGUCGUAGUUUCUUUCAGCUUGACGUCUCGAAUAAUCAGCUCACUGGUCCUAUACCGGAAAUGCUGAUAAAUAGUUCAUCAGUAUUUACUGGAAACCCAAGCCUCUGCAUUCAACCUUCUCACUCAGUAAGUGCUGUGAUCCGGAAAGAGUUUAAAACUUGCAAAGGUCAAGCCAAACUUAGCACCUGGAUGAUUGCCCUUAUAGCGGUUGGUUCCUUUCUAUCUGCAUUGGCUUUGCUUUUUGCUUUAGCUUUUGUUUUUCUCUUCUGCAAACGAGGAGUCAAGACAGAAGAUGCUCCUGUCCUCGUCGAUGAAGAAGAAGGCCUUUCCUUACUGCUUAACAAAGUUCUCACAGCCACUGACAAUCUAGACGACAAGUACAUCAUUGGAAGAGGAGCUCAUGGAGUUGUUUACAAAGCCUCAUUAGCCCCAGGCGAAGAAUACGCCGUGAAGAAACUCAUCUUCGCGGAACACGUACAUGCAAACCAGAAUAUGAAGAGGGAGAUCGAGACGAUCGGGCAAGUUAGGCAUAGAAAUCUCGUUCGGUUGGAAAGGUUUUGGAUCAGGAAAGAAAAUGGCCUGAUGCUGUACAAGUACAUGCCCAAUGGAAGCCUAUACGAUGUUCUGCACAGAAGUAAUCAAGGAGAAACAGGUCUUGACUGGUCUACAAGGUUUAACAUAGCUCUUGGGAUUGCACACGGGCUACAGUAUCUACACCAUGACUGUCAUCCACCAAUCAUCCACCGUGACAUCAAACCAGAGAACAUACUCAUGGACUCGGAGAUGGAGCCGCACAUUGGAGAUUUCGGAUUGGCUAGGAUUCUAGAUGACUCUACUAUUUCAACAGCCACCAUCACAGGCACCACUGGUUACAUUGCACCAGGUACAUUUAACUUCUCAGCAUAACGUUAUUUAACAUUUUGUUUUACUGUUGGUUUUAAUUUAUUGUUGCUAUCAAAACAGAAAAUGCGUACAAGACAGUGAGAUGCAAGGAAUCAGAUGUUUAUAGUUAUGGAGUUGUUUUGCUCGAGCUGAUAACGGGAAAGAGAGCAGUCGACCGAUCUUUCCCUGAGGAGACUGAUAUUGUGAGCUGGGUCAAGUCUGUGUUAAGCAGCUACGAGGAUGACGAUGAUUAUACUGUUAGUCAAAUCGUUGAUCCAAAGCUUGUGGAUGAGCUUCUGGAUACAAAGCUUAGAGAACAGGCAAUUCUGGUUACAGACUUGGCGCUUGUGUGUACAGACAAAAGGCCAGAGAACAGACCGUCAAUGAGAGAUGUGAUGAAAGAGUUGACUGAUGUGAAAGAUCUUGUAAGAAGCACUUCUGGUUCUGUUCAAUAAUUUUGGGUUUGACAGAUUUAUCAUAGCCACUAGUACUGAUUUAUUAUAAAUUAGCAUUGAGUAACAUUUGAAGAUCUGAGACAACAUAUAUGAUGUAUCCAAAAAUGCCUUUUAUAUUGCUUAAAUGAAAAUUGAGUAAUAGAGUUACAACAACAAGAGAGGCUUAUACACAUUUUCUUAUUUCAAUAUGUUUUAGCCUGUGCUACCAUUUAGCUCACCAGAGAAAGCACUAACAUAAGAUGUGAAGUUGGUUGGUGCCUGCCAUGAUGUUGAGAUCCCCCGAACCUUAAGUCUUUGCCUUAGAGGUUGGCUUUCUAUGGUUGCAGUAUCAUCUGCUCUCUGCAGCUCUGGUAACAGGGAGAUAGAGAGAUCCAUAUAAAGGCUUAACCAAUAUCAGUAAUGCUUGAACAUAAUUGUGGACAAAGCUUACUAUCUAAAUCAUUUCUCUCUAUAGCUCUUAUGCCUCUUGAUAAUCUUUGAGAUCCACCUUAGGCUGAAUUAUUUUGUCUUAGAACGUUGCCUUUAGCAGCAAAGCUCUGCUUGGCAGUUUGACCCAUUCCAUACUGUGUGUUGGGCCUGAAAGAAAUGAGAAGACGUCAGUUAGUGGAAGCACAACAAAAAGGGCAUAUUUGGGCCUAAACUACAGCCCAGCCUAUUAAGCAUACAAUUUUUUUUUUUUUAAUAUCUAGAGACAUAAUUUUCGACGUUAGGUUAGGUUUUGUCCAAUCUUUCACUAAUCUCCGCCUCGUGAGUAGAUGAUGUUAGGGUUGGCAACUCCGCCUCUAAGUUCUCUUCUAUACAACACGGUGAACCAUUAAUCUCCUUCUCCCGAACGGUUGGGUAAACGUUUAUCUUUGUAUAUUAUUAUUUUUCUCCUUUUCUCGCUAAGCAACCUGUAUUUUUGUUUUGAGAAUCUCACUUUUAGCCUUUUGGUAGGCACCACCGCACCAGACAGGAGCAGUGAAUCACAAAGAGAUCUACUUUGAUUGGUGGAAGUGAUAAUAGAUGCAGGAGAUUGUUUAAUUAGGUUGGUGAUUAAAGAGUGUUGAUAUGCCUUGAAUCUGGAUGUUACAUCUAAGCGAUGAAUGUUACAUCACGUAAAUCAUACCCGACUCAGUUGCAUCAAGAGCGUUGCAUCAAGUUAUUAUGGAUGUUGCAUCUGAUCGUGGGCUUAAGCCCAUGAGUCCGUUUAGUCUAGGGUUUUAGAUGCGAGAUGUUACUAUAUAUAUCUUGUAUUCGAAAUAACCCUGAACUUGCACUCUGUAAACUCAAUAUCGCCUCCAAUAAUAAGAUCUCUCUUUGCCCGUGGACGUAGCCAAGUUGGUGAACCACGUUAAAUCUAUGUGUCGUUGUUACAUCGCUUUUAUUCAUCUGUUUCCGCAUCUGUAUGUGUCGUUGUUACAUCGCUUUUAUUCAUCUGUUUCCGCAUCUGUUUCUUCUCACAAUUGUUACAACAAACUGGUAUCAGAGCUUCGGGUUGUGAUCUAGUGAGAAGAUGUCUGGAAUAAGAGCGAAGAUCGACAAGUUUGAUGGGAGAAAUAGCUUCAGUCUUUGGCAGAUUAAGAUGCAGGCGUUGUUGAAGCAACAAGGCAUCUGGGGACCAUUGUCAGAGAAGAAAUCUGAAGCAGCUGAUUUGGAGACUCUAGAAGAGAAGACGUUCUCAACAAUUUUGUUGUGUCUAGCAGACGAGAUCAUCAUCGAAGUGUCGGAUGAGAAAACUGCUGCUAGUUUGUGGCAGAAGUUGGAGAGCUUGUACAAGACAAAAUCUCUAACGAACAAGCCACUUCUGAAGUAACGCCUCUUUGCCUUGCGUAUGCAAGAAGGUAUUGAGCUUCGCGACCAUCUUGACAAGCUGAAUUCGAUAUUACUGGAGCUGUGUAACAUCGAUGUUAAGGUGGAGGAUGAAGACGCAUCACUAAUCCUGUUGGUAUCUCUGCCGAACUCCUUCGAGAACUUCGUGCAAUCGUUCAUUGUUGGCAAAAAUACAGUGAAACUGGAAGAAGUUAGGUCGGCGCUUCAUAGUCGGGAAUUGCGCCAUAAGACAUCCAGCUCAGGGACAGACAAACAAGCAUCGGGGUUGUUUGUCAGUGGUGUGAAGGGACAUCGGAACAGAAGGACUUCGAAAGAUAGGAAGUCGUUUCCAAGAGGUCCUAAAGCAUCUGAUAUUUGCAACUAUUGCAAAGAGAAGGGACAUUGGAAGUCAGACUGUCCCAAGAUGAAGAAGCAUCAAUUUGGGUCUGUUGCAGUAGCCAAGGAUGAAACCAAGUCUGACGCAACAUCGCUCUUGUUGUGCACGGACACACACACUCUUCUGAUGUGUGGGUUCUUGAUACGAGAGCAUCCUACCAUAUGACACCGAGGAGAGAGUGGUUUUCAGAGUACACAAAGGUACUUGACAGCAAGAUUAAGAUGGCAAACGACUUUGUUUGCAAGAUUGUUGGGAUCGGCUCAAUCAAGCUCAGGACACAUGAUGGUAGAUUAUGCACAUUGAACAAGGUUAGGCAUGUUCCAUCAAUGACAAAGAAUUUGAUAUCCGUGAGUCUUCUGGACAGGAAAGGGUUCAAAUAUUUGGGUGGCGAUGGAGUUUUGAAUGUCUACAGGGGUUCUGAUGUGAUUCUGAAGGGUUUCAUGAACGGUACUCUGUAUUUGCUGAAGGGUACAACGGUUACCGGUUCAAGUUCUGAUGUGAUUUUGAAGGGUUUCAUGAACGGUACUCUGUAUUUGCUGAAGGGUACAACGGUUACUGGUUCAGCAAAUGUUGCAUCGCCAGAGAUCCAAGAGGAAGAUAUGACUAAGCUAUGGCAUAUGAGGCUUGGACAUAUGGGUGAGCGUGGGAUGCAACAUCUGUCGAAGCAAGAUAUGCUUCAUUCUGAUAUUAGUUUGGAACUCUGCUCGAAAGAGUUUAAACAAUUUUGUAAGGAUGCAACAUCUGCCAAGCAUCUUACAGGCAGGGGAACACCACAGCGGGAUGGUGUUGCAAAAUGGAUAAACCAGAUAAUGCUAGAGAGAGCGAUGUGCAUGCUCUCGAGUGCUGAUUUAAAGGAUGUAAGAGUGAGUACAAGGAAAUGGGUUCUCUUGGUUUUCUUAUGUUUGACAGGGUAAAGCUUCUUUGAGUUCAAGUGAUCCUACAGGAUUGGAUUCUGUAAGGGAUGAACCAGAGGAAGGGAUGGAGGAUCAAGAUGAGUUCUUCAUCGAAGACUUUGAUGCUGCUGCAUUUGUACGGCAUGACAUUUUCGUGAAGACCCCUCAGAUUUUGAGGGCAAUUUGCUUUAUGCAGCUCGUGACAGGACUAGGCAGCUCAGAUCAUUCAAGGUCCUCGCUCUCUCUCUUACUCUCUUAUGUUUCUUGUUUACCAUAAUCAUCAGACAAAGGAUAAUGGAUGCUUUAACUUCGUAAAGAAUAAGAGAGAAGGAAUAUGAGCAGCUUGCAAUAUGGUUUGGAGAUGCAAACAUGGGUGUUGAUGUGACGAACAGUAAGAAACAUGCGACAACAUAUCCAGACCCUAAAAACACAGCGUCAAACCUGCCAUUUGCAUCAGACGAUUGAGACACCUUCUAUGCAGGCUUGACUGUCAUGUGAUGCUUUAAAGUUUGAAGAAUAUUAUACCAAGAACCAAUCUGUUUCUUCUAAUAUGAAAAACAUUAAAUUCUUCUUAAUGCACCUUCUAGUUUCCUUUACUGCUCUAAACAAUAGAUUUGUUCCACUUAAGACGCAGGGAACAAGCAUGUUGAUUAGAGGAAGGCAUCUACAGUUCAUUCUUCUGUACAGUAAAACAUCUUAAUACAGAAACCAAUCCAAUUGGGGCAAACUCAUCGACUAAGAAAAUAACAUGACAGCUCUGAUUCUAAAGCUAAACACUAUCUUGACUUGUCAGCUCUAAUUACCAGUAUCUGAUCCACGUCCAGAGGAGCUGUCACUGUCAGAAUCUGCAGAACAAAAAAGAAAACUGAUGUGAGUAGUGAUGCUGAUAAUGGUGUGAUAAAAAGAGCUGACACAGAGUUUCAACAUUUACCACUAGAGCUAGAUCCUGAGUCACUGCUGGAACUGUUAGAACUACUUGAUCCACCUGCCUUGUUUUCUUGCCGAACAGGAGAAGAAGACAUGCGAAUAGCUUUCCCUGGUUAGAAACAAUCAUUAUAUAUAUAUUCCAUUGGUCUUUCCUUUUCGUGUGAAAAUAAAUACUAACUACAUCCGAAUUUGGUAUGAGCUAGUGACCUAAAACCUUACCUGAUUCAGUAACUCUCGAUCUUUCGGUGCCAGUUGCCUGAAACGAAUGAUUAUGAGGCAAAAUCAAUAAAGACCUGAAAUAAAUAACAUUUGGCUAAGGAAGGAAAUCUUUACCGGUUCUUGGAUAAUGUUGUGAGCAGAUUCAGCAUCUCGUUCUGAACCAAACCCCUGAUCCUCCUCCUUUUUAUUGCUCAAGCUCUCCUUAUACCCAGUCACAAAACUAUAAAGCUCCCAAAGCGUCUGGAUGUCAAGACUAUCAAUAUCCAGCUCAAUCUCAUCAUCCUGUUGAGAGAGUUCCGGAUUACCCUUCUUUACAAUCUGAACAACUGUCUCUAGUUUGUCAUAAGGCAAGUUUCAUUGAGUCUCCGUUUCUCAUCCAUCGUCAGGUCCCUAAUAUCAACAGGCGCCUCCUCCUCAUCUCCUUCAGGCUUCUCGAGGGCAGUAGUAGUGACAGUUUCAGGUUCCGUCAUAGAUUCAGCAAUCUCCAAAGUCCUAUUUUCAAGCAUUGCAGGCGGAGGAGACGGAGGAGGAGGAGGAGACGGGGAAGGUGUAGGAGCUGGUAAAGGCUCAACAACAGGAGCAGGACGAGGCAACACAACAUCACGAGCCGGUUUGAUCUCCCUGUGAAGAUUAUGAUACUGCACUUCAAUAGGAGUCGGUCUGGUUUUCAAAUUGAAAUCAGUCGUAGUGAAUUGUAGAAAACCCAAUAUCUACAAUUGAUUACGACUAAUAAUAUAAUGGAACGAGUUCUCUGUUGUAACAAUUGUGAGAAGAAACAGAUGCGGAAACAGAUGAAUAAAAACGAUGUAACAACGACACAGAGAUUUAACGUGGUUCACCAACUUGGCUACGUCCACGGGCAAAGAGAGAUCUUAUUAUUGGAGGCGAUAUUGAGUUUACAGAGUGCAAGUUUAGGGUUACUUCGAAUACAAGAUAUAUAUAGUAGCAUCCCGUAUCUAAAACCCUAGACUUUAUGGACUCAUAGGCCUAAGCCCACGAUCAGAUGUAACAUCCAUUAUAACUUGAUGCAACGCUCUUGAUGCAACCGAGUUGGUAUGAUGUACGUGAUGUAACAUCCAUCGCCUAGAUGUAACAUCCAGAUUCAAGGCAUAUCAACAAAUCUUCACCUUGAGUUGAAUCCUCCCAAUAACAGAUGUACCAGAUGCACCUUCAAGUGCCAGAUGUACCAGAUACGUUUUUCUGCGCCAGAUGUACCAGAUGCGCCAUCAGCGCCAGAUGUACAAGAUGCAUUUUCAAGUGCCAGAUGCGCCAUUAACGCCAAAUGUACUUGAUGCGUUCUUCAACGCCAAAUGUAUCAUCGCUCUCUUUGCCUCAGAUGUCCCUUCAGCCCAGAUGUGUUGCUAUGACGAACCAGACACCCUUUAACGACCAGAUGCUCAACUAGAGCCAGACGUUCGUCAUCAGCCGGAUAUCCCAACGGACUAGAUAUCCCAACGGACCAGAACGUCCAAACGGACCAGACGCCCCAACGGGCCAGAUGUCCCAAUGGACCAGACGUCCCAACGGACUAAAUGCCCCAACGGGCCGGAUGUCCCUGCGGACCAGAGGCCCCUUCGGGCCAUAUGCCCAUUAGGGCCAUACUAACAGUUUGAGAUGUUUAGCAAGUCUAAGCAAUGCUUAAACUUGCUGUGAGGAACCAGCUUUGUGAACAUGUCAACAGGAUUAUCUGCAGUUCCUACUUUCUUCACUUCAAUUCGCUUCUCAUCUCUCAAGUAGUGAUACCUCACAUCAAUAUGCUUCGUUCUCUCAUGAUGAACCUGAUCCUUGGCUAAGCAUAUAGCGCUCAAACUGUCACAAUACACAGUAGCCUGAUCUUGAUGCAAACCGAGUUCAUUAACCAAUCCUCUAAGCCAUAUUCCUUCAUUCGCAGUUCUGUCAGCACCAUAUACUCUGCCUCAGUAGUAGACAAUGUCACUGUAGACUGUAAAGUCGCCUUCUAGCUAACCACAGAGCCGCCCAAGGUGAACACAUAACCGGUCAUAGAUCUUCUGCAGUCUACAUCUCCAGCAUAAUCAGAAUCGGAAUAGCCUGUUACCAAUCGCGGAUUGUCGCAUCCAUAGAUGAGACCAACAUCAGAUGUACCCUUCAGAUACCGGAAAAUCCGCUUCACAGCUGCCCAAUGCUCCUUCCCAGGUUGUCCCAUAAACCUGCUAACCACACUGACUGCAUGUGCCAGAUCUGGUCUUGUGCAGACCAUUGCAUACAUCAAGCUUCCUACAGCGCUAGCAUAAGGAACUCGAGACAUAUACUCUGCCUCUUCUUCAGACUGAACCUCAUACAUGGUAAGAUGAAGAUUUGAUGCACACGGAGUACUAAUAGGUUUACAUGAAGACAUUUCGAACCUUGUCAACACCUUAUUAAUGUAGGCCUUCUGUGACAAGAACAACUUCUUCUUCCCCCUAUCUCUGAAGAUCUCCAUCCCUAGAAUCUUCUUUGCUGCACACAAAUCCUUCAUCUCAAAUUCAGAACUCAGAAGCUCCUUCAGCUUCUUGAUGUCACACAUCUUCUCUGCAGCUAUCAGCAUGUCAUCCACGUAGAGCACCAAAUAGAUGAAUGUGUCAUCUUUCAAUUUUCUUAUGUAGACACAACAAUCAUAAGGACUUUUGAUGUAGCCCAACUUGAUCAUAAAGCUAUCGAAUCUCUUGUACCAUUGUCUGGGAGACUGCUUAAGUCCAUAAAGGGACUUCCGAAGCUUACACACAUAGUCUUCUUUUCUAGGAACUCGGAAACCAUCCGGCUGAGUCAUGUAUAUCUUCUCCUCAAGCUCUCCAUGAAGAAACGCAGUCUUCACAUCGAGUUGCUCAAGCUCCAAGUCCUGACGUGCUACCAGCGCUAGCAACACUCUGAUGGAAGUAUGUCUGACCACUGGUGAAAAUAUCUCAUUGUAGUCUACUCCCUCUCUCUGACUAAAACCUCUUGCAACAACCCGAGAUUUAUACUUAACUCCUUCUGUCGGCGAUGCUCCAUCCUUAAUCUUGUAGAUCCACUUGCAUGUAACAACUCUUCUCCCUGGUGGUAAUGUGACCAAAUCCCAUGUAUGAUUCUUCUCAUGAGACUCCAUUUCGUCUCCCAUUGCUGCAUGCCAUUUCUCAUACUCGGGACAAGAAACAACUUCCAUGUAAGUGGAUGGUUCAUACGUAUCCACUUUCUCUGCAACCUGAAGUGCAUAACCCACCAUAUCAUCAAAACGAUAUCUCUCUGGUGGCCUGACAUCAACCCUUCUUGGUCGAUCCUUCGCGAUGCUACGCUUCGUAGCAUCAUGCGGUUGAGUCUCUGUAGACUCCAACUGAACUUCUUCUACAUGCUCCUCUUGAUUUUCUGUGUGUUCCUGCACAUUGAUCACGUCAUGAUCAUCUCGCAGCUCCACCUGUUUAUCAGUGCUACCUUUCUCUGCUUCAGAACUGGACCAUGAGCUUCUAACCAUAGAUGCUUCAUCAAAAACAACAUUCCAACCUUUCUCUGCUUCAGAACUGGACCAUGAGCUUCUAACCAUAGAUGCUUCAUCGAAAACAACAUUCCUGCUUAGAAUCACUCGGUUUUCUGAUGGAGACCAGACCCUGUAUCCCUUGACUCCAUCGCCGUAGCCCAUAAAAACUCCCUUCCUUGCUCUCGGCUCUAGUUUACCUUCACUUACAUGAUAGUAAACAGUGCAACCGAACACUCUUAGAAGUGAAUAAUCAGCAGAUCUACCUGACCACACUUCAGAAGGUAUCCUGCACUCGAUGCCUGUGUGGGGACCGAGAUUUAUCAAGUAACAAGCCGUGUUGACUGCUUCAGCCCAAAACCGCUUCUCCAGACCAGCAUUCGAGAGCAUGCACCUUGCUCUCUCUAGCAAUGUCUGGUUCAUUCGUUCUGCUACACCAUUUUAUUGUGGUGUUUCUCUGACUGUACGAUGCCUUGCAAUCCCCGCAUCCUUACAAAACUGAUUGAACUCUGCUGAGCAGAAUACUAGACCGUUAUCAGUACGAAGUCGCUUCACUUUCUUCUCUGUUUGAUUCUCCACCAAUAUUUUCCACUCCUUGAAGCUACUGAAUGCUACUGCACUUCAAUAGGAGCUGGUCUGAUUUUCAAAUUGAAAUCAGUCGUAGUGAAUUGUAGAAAACCCAAUAUCUACAAUUGAUUACGACUAAUAAUAUAAUGGAACGAGUUCUGUAUUCCAUAUAAUGAUUUAUUCAUCAAUUCCUUUUGAACUUUAUCAAAUUGACCUACGUUAAGAAAUUUCAUGUGAAUGCUACAUCUGGUCUACCAGUUGGAUGACAAAUUUUAGUUUGAAUCCCAGCUAAUAUAUAUAGAUGCAUGAGUUUGCAUUUUAGUAAAGACAAUACGUGUGUUUUAGUACGCGUGCAUUUCAGCAUCUUAGCGGCUUAGCGCAUGUGUUUCCGCUUGUACUUAUCGACAGCUUUUAAAAAUUGUUUCUCCUAUCUUUUCAAAAAAAAAAAAAAAAUUGUUUUUCUCGAAANNNNNNNNNNNNNNUAUCGACAGUUUUUAAAAAUUUUUUCUCCUAUCUUUUAAAAAAAAAAAAAAAAAAUUGUUUCUCCUGUAAAUUACUUCUAUCUAUCAUGUACUGUUUGUAUUUUUCUAGAAUGAUUAAUCUAAUUGAUUAUUGACAUGUUUGUUUUGUUUUUCGACAUGCUUUGUUUCUCUUUAUCAACGAAGAAAGAAAAAACAAAUUCUUAACCGGGCCUCGUGGUCUGGUGGUAAAGGAACCUCGGCUGAGGUGCCCGCCAUCACGAGUUCGAGUCCCGGCCACAGCGGAUUUAACAUGGUUUCCGUUUGGCCUCCAGGACCUUCCUCGCCAGUUCCGGUUGGACGCGGUGGGAUAGUCGGACUAAGGUCCGGAUACCUGGAUUAUCAAAAAAAAAAAAAAAAAAAAAAAAAAAAAAAAAAAAAAAAAACAAAUUCUUGUUGUGUUCUUGGCAAAUUAUUAUCCAUUAUCUAUCUAUCUCUCCAGCAAUAUGCGAGUAUCGGUUUUACAUUUGAAGCUGUUGGAAAUUUUAUUCUAAAAUUUGUUGUAUAUACAUAUCAGAAUAUAUAUCUCGAGUUUACACUUGUGCGUUAAAAUGUGUAUGGUUCGUGUAAUGGCUUUCUUAAAUAAUUAUCUCUAGUAUACAGUGUGCGUAAAAAUGUGUAAGGUUUGAGUGUAUUAUGUGUAACGUUAAAAACAAUACCGUAAUUGUAUGUGUACAACUAUGAAGAAUUUCUCAAACAAAAAAAAACUCAUGACUAUGAAGAAAAAAGAAUUGUAAAUAGGUGCUGCAGAUUAUAGUACUGUGCCACAAACUACUGUUUGGGAUAUUGACCUUUUCCAUUAUUCAUGUUCUACGUUUCUGUCUAAACGUUAUUAAGUAUAAUGAAUUUGCUAGAUAUGAUACUGUACUAGUAAUAACAACAAAUUUCUCAAACAUAUAUGUGAAACAGAUUUUUUUUUUUUCAUUCAAUGACUCAAAACAAAAGAACAGUCAGAAGUUUGGUAAUUUUUGGAAUGUUUAUCUCAAACCAUUCAAAUUUUGAAAGUUAUAUAUAGAUAUAUGUUAUAUUAUUCUAAUUUAAAAUAGAAGAAAAAGAUUUUUUAUGUUCAAGUCAAAAAGUUUUAAGGCAAAACUGGUAAUACCAUUAAUGGCUAUUAUUAGAUUCAUUGAAUAAUACAAAAAAAAUCUAAGGUUGUUUAUGAUUCAAAACCUUAGACGGUUAAGAUGAAUUAAGCUAGAUCUAAAGGCUCUUAUUCUUCUUGUAGACAACACCCUAUCAUGUUGAAAUCCUUUUAAAUAGAGGCUCUCUCUUAUGUUGUUCGUCACUACCAACUAUCAAUAAUCAGUAUAUUUGUUACUUCAACAUAUUCUAUCAGUAUAGUUUUCCUGUUUCUCCAUUUACCGAUCUCUCUUGUUUCUUCUUUUCUUUUGAAAGCUGAGCUACUUCUCAUCAUUUCUUGUCUUUCAAAGGUAUUUGUUACUUUUCUCUUUAAUAUAUAGUUCAUGUUGAACUUGUUAUAUAAUUUACUUAUCCUUUUUGUUUAUUUUAUGUGUAUUUAUUUUUGGUGAUGUUAUCAUUGAGACUAUAUUUUGUAAAAUAUGAUUUAAUAAAAAAAUCAGAUUAAUUUUCUCUUAUCUCUACAUUUUAGUUUUAAUAAUCAUCCUACCAUUGACUAUCCUUUAUUUUUUUAAGAAAAUAAAAAGUAAAAUGAAAGGACUAUCGUUAGUACAUUGCUGUUAACUAUAACUCAGAUCUGAAUAUGUUGGUAUGUAGUUUAGUAAUUAUUAUGCGGUUCAAAUAUUGUGAAGAUAAGAUCGAACAUUGAACUUGUUCUGUGUUUUUAACCAUGCGUCUGUAUUCGGGUGGUGCGUUCCGUGGAUCUCAAAAGAUCCGAGUUCGAAUCCGCACCACACCAGAUUUUUACAGCGCGUGGUCACCGGGACUUUCACAUUCUCUUUCCGGAGAAUGGUUUACCAUUUUUUUUGCUCUGUGUUUUUUUUCAAGUAGACCCUAACGAUCAUUUCUAAUCUUUUAUUCUUGAAGUUUUGAGAUUAAAAAGAAAAAUAAGACUUGAUAAAAAAAAGACAAAAUAAGAAAAAAAAAGAUUUUUUUAAGAAAAAUAUUAUAUUUUAUUAAAAAAAGUUUAUUGAAAUUGUACUUUUCUCAAAAAGUAAAUUUGAUGUUUGUGUUAUGAUUUUAUAUAUGUAGAGCUAUUUGUUUUGAUAAUAUUUUCUCAAAGCAUUUAUCACUGAGAUUAAAAUAAAAAGGAGACUUAGCAGUUGACUUCAAAACAUUAAUAAUUAUAGUUAUGUGGUUGUUUAAUGAUGAUGAACUUUUGAUAAUUAUUUUUUCCUUAAUGCAGGACUUACUUUUGCAAUGGAUGAGUCUACUCCAAUCGAAGCUACACCGUUCAGCUAUCUAAUCCCGAGCUUUGCUGACGAUGAAGACAAUCUGAUGGAGAACAUCUCAUCACCAACUUUCCAAGGGGUUACACCACUUCAAACCGUUGAUGAUGAGACCCCUUACACAACACCACCUCCCAUUCCUCAAGCCUCACCGCUUCAACCCGCUAAUGAGGAAAACUACAACACACCAACACCCUCUCAACCUCUAUUACUGGCCACACCACUCAGCUUCGUUCCACCAUCUGAUGAAUCCAACAUUGUUGAUGUCGAUCCCAGCAUAGGUCCUAUCAAAAGAGGACGAGGCCGACCAAAAGGUUCAAAGAAUUCAAAGCCGUCCAAGAAGAAGCUGGAAACGUCUCAUCCCAACAAUGAAGUGGUUGUAUCUGGUCAAAAUGAUGAAACUCACAACAACACAUCAUUAUCCCCUCAUCCUCCUCUAGUGGCCACAAAUCUUCAAGCUAUUGUACCAUACGAUCACUCGGACAACAACUCUUUGGCUGAUGAUGAUGCUGCUCCGAGUAGCGAUGCUAUUAAAAGAGGACGGGGCCGACCAAAGGGUUCCUCUGUGAAGAAGCUGAAACCCAACAAUCCCGACGACAAAAUGGUAAUAUUUUGUCCGAGUUUUGACUCAAUGAUAACCGAAGAGGAGAAAGAAAAUGGGAAUGAAGAGCUGGUGGACUCCGUUCGGAUGCGUUUCAACGCCGUUUGUCGUCGCUUAGGCCACGUAAGCAGUGAGAAAGCUGUGGUCACAACUGCCUUCAGUAUCUUUAACAAACAGGGUGUCAGGACUAACAAGAAGAAGAGAGUCGGUCCGGUUCCGGGAGUAAAACCAGGAGAUAUAUUCUACUUCUGGGGAGAGAUGUGUUUGGUUGGACUUCACACUCAGAUGCCUGCCGGUAUCGACUAUUUACUAACAAAAGAUGGUGCAGCAGAAGGCUUAACAACAAGUGUCGUUACAUCAGUAGGACACUACAACGACAGAACGGACGAGCUUCAUACUUUGGUUUACACCGGGCAAGGAGGAACGUGUAAGGAUGGUAAACCUAGAGAUCAAGAGCUUACAAGAGGAAACCUAGCGUUGGUCGCAAGUCAGAAAAAAGGAAAUGAAGUUAGAGUGAUUAGAGGUGUAGAGGAUCCGAGCGAUAAAAAGGGGAAAGUAUAUAUCUACGAUGGUCUCUAUGUGGUAACCCAUUAUUGGAUAGAGAAAGGGACCACCGGCUUUAAUGAAUUCAAGUUUAAUCUUGUGAGACAACAAGACCAGCCUCCUGGUUUCGCUACGUGGAAGUUAGCUGAAGAAUUGAUGAAGUGUGGUUCGAGUAAUCAGUUGAGGAAGGGUUUUGUGUUUGGAGAUAUUUCUCUUGGAUUGGAGGCGUUACCAGUUCCGAUCGUGAACGAGGUCGAUGAGAACGACAAGGAGUGGCCUCUAGACUUCAACUACAGAGUCUCUUCCAAAAAUUUAAGUAUGAUGAUCGUUCCAAACCAUCAAUCUACUGGAUGCAACAACACUUGUAAAGGUGGUCAGUCAUGUGGAGAUCCGAUGUGUUCUUGUAUUCAAAGAAACGGCGGCGAGUUACAGUAUGAUAACCGCAUUUUACUAUAUCGCAGACCGAUAAUUUACGAAUGCAGCGACCUUUGUACUUGCCCCGCGGACUGCAAGAACAAAUAACCGCAUUUUACUAUAUCGCAGACCGAUGAUCUACGAAUGCAGCGACCUUUGUGCUUGCCCCGCGGACUGCAAGAACAGGCUAACUCAAAGCGGGUUGAAGCUCCGGUUGGAAGUGUUUAAGACGAAGAGUUGUGGUUGGGGGUUACGUUCGUGGGAGCCCAUACGAGCCGGGACUUUUAUCUGCGAGUUGAACGUGUAAGGAUGGUAAAGGGUUACGUUCGUGGGAGCCCAUACGAGCCGGGACUUUUAUCUGCGAGUUGGUUGGCACAGCUAAGGGAAGAGAUGAGAUUGAAGAAGACGACGAGUACGUCUUCGACACCUCUCGAGUUUACAAAACGUUUAGGUGGAACUACGAAACACAGCUAAGGGAAGAGAUGAGAUUGAAGAAGACGACGAGUACAUCUUCGACACCUCUCGAGUUUACAAAACGUUUAGGUGGAACUACGAACCAGAACUUGUGGGUGAAGACUGUUGGGACCAAGUCUCUGAAGUUUAUAAACUUCGGUCGGAAAUCUUGGUCAGUGCGAGAGCGUUUGGUAACGUUAGUCGGUUCAUGAACCAUAGCUGCUUGGCUAACGUUAUGUGGCAGCCUGUUGAGUAUGAAAAGGAUGGCCAACCUUUGGUUCAUAUUGCCUUUUUUGCAAAGAGACAUAUACCUCCGUUGACAGAGUUGAGAUACGAUUAUGGAAUGUCUUAUGAUACUGGAGAGAUCGAUGAAGGUGGAAGCAGGGUUUUUACAGGUAAAAGGGCUUGCUUGUGUGGUUCGGAAAAUUGUCGUGGUUCUUUUGAGUGAGGUUGAACAUUUUUAUUAUUAUUGUUGUUGUCUUUUUUUUUCUGUUGUUUUGAUUAUUAUGGUCUUGUGUUUCCUUUUAAUCAUUCAAAAUAAAAAACUUAUUUAAUUUUUUAAUCAUAUUGUAUGUUAUUUCAUUAUCAGUUAGAUUUGUAUCAUUAGAAAUCCAAAUCAUGUUUAAGUUAAGCCAAUUAAUAUAAGUCAUUUCUAGUCUUUUAUUCUUCAAGUUUUGAGAUUGAAAAGAAAAAUAAGACUUGAUAAAAAGAAAAAAAAAAGAUCUUUUUAGAAAAAUAGACUUGAUACAAAAGACAAAAUAAGAAAAAAAUAAUAUUUUUUCAGAAAAAUAUUAUUUUUAUAAAAAAGAAGUUUAUUGAAAUUGUAAUUUUCUCAAAAAGUAAAUUUGAUGUUUGUGUUAUGAUUUUAUAUAUGUAGUGCUAUUUGUUUUGAUAAUAUUUUGUCUAAGCAUUUAUCACUGAGAUUAGAAUAAAAAAGAGAUUUAGUGGUUGUUUUAGUCUUAAAUUCACGAUUGACUUCAGAACAUUAAUAGUUAUAGUUAUAUGAAAGGUUAUUUAGUUGAUUUUUUAUUUGUUAGUCUUGCGUUUUUCUCAAGCUAACAAUUAAACUCGUCAUGUCACGUACUUCUCAAGUUUACAAAACUUUAGGUGGAACUAUGAACCGGAACUUGUGGGUGAAGACUGUUGGUAUGAAGCCUCUGAAGUUUAUAAACUUCGGUCGGAAAUCUUAGUCAGUGCGAGAGCGAUUGGUAAUGUUAGUCGGUUAUGAACCAUAGCUGCUCGGCUAACGUUAUGUGGCAGUCUGUUGAGUUUGAAAAGGAUGGCCAACCAACCUUCAGUUUGUAUUGCAUUUUUUGCAAAAAGGCAUAUACCUCCUUUGACAGAGUUGAGGGAUAAUUAUGGAAUGUAUUAUAAUACUGGAGAGGUUGAUGAAGAUGGAAGCAUGGAAGCAUGGAAGCAUGGAAGCAUGGUUUUUAGAGGUAAAAGGGGUUUGCUUACGUGGUUCGGGAAACUGUCAUAUUUCUUUUGAGUGAGGUUGAAAUUUCUUAUUAUUAUUGUUGUUUUGUCUAUUUCUUUUUUUUNNNNNNNNNNNNNNNNNNNNNNNNNNNNNNNNNNNNNNNNNNNNNNNNNNNNNNNNNNNNNNNNNNNNNNNNNNNNNNNNNNNNNNNNNNNNNNNNNNNNNNNNNNNNNNNNNNNNNNNNNNNNNNNNNNNNNNNNNNNNNNNNNNNNNNNNNNNNNNNNNNNNNNNNNNNNNNNNNNNNNNNNNNNNNNNNNNNNNNNNNNNNNNNNNNNNNNNNNNNNNNNNNNNNNNNNNNNNNNNNNNNNNNNNNNNNNNNNNNNNNNNNNNNNNNNNNNNNNNNNNNNNNNNNNNNNNNNNNNNNNNNNNNNNNNNNNNNNNNNNNNNNNNNNNNNNNNNNNNNNNNNNNNNNNNNNNNNNNNNNNNNNNNNNNNNNNNNNNNNNNNNNNNNNNNNNNNNNNNNNNNNNNNNNNNNNNNNNNNNNNNNNNNNNNNNNNNNNNNNNNNNNNNNNNNNNNNNNNNNNNNNNNNNNNNNNNNNNNNNNNNNNNNNNNNNNNNNNNNNNNNNNNNNNNNNNNNNNNNNNNNNNNNNNNNNNNNNNNNNNNNNNNNNNNNNNNNNNNNNNNNNNNNNNNNNNNNNNNNNNNNNNNNNNNNNNNNNNNNNNNNNNNNNNNNNNNNNNNNNNNNNNNNNNNNNNNNNNNNNNNNNNNNNNNNNNNNNNNNNNNNNNNNNNNNNNNNNNNNNNNNNNNNNNNNNNNNNNNNNNNNNNNNNNNNNNNNNNNNNNNNNNNNNNNNNNNNNNNNNNNNNNNNNNNNNNNNNNNNNNNNNNNNNNNNNNNNNNNNNNNNNNNGUCUCCGCUUCAAGCUCCUGACUUCAAGCUUCGAAAUUGAGCUCAAGCUAACCUUCAACAUGGGAGGAUGAUCUUCCUCCUCCGACGCGAACGGGUUUGACGGAGAGAGGAGAGCAGCCGAUCGCGCGUGUUGAGGAACCACCAUCGGCUUGGUCCGCCUGUGCUUCGUCGUCUUCGAAGCUCCACCUCCUGAAGACAUUUCUAGGUUUAGCUCGGAGGACCGUGAUUGAGGGGAUUCAAGGUCGAUGAAAUCGAAAUCGAAAUCGAAAGAGAAGGUUUGAAUCUACAUGAAGAUCGGUUCUCGAUUUUGCAAUUUACGAAAACCCUAGGGAAGCAAGCAAAUACUGUGGCAACAAUAGCUCACGCGCUUGAAACUCACGCGCCAUUACCAAUUUUUUACUACUAUAUAAUAAAUCCUUUGUUUUCUGAAUGAUACUUACUUGCAAUCAACAAUUGAUAGUUUGAUAAUAAUACCUUUCCAACACUAGCAGUUUAUACACUGUAGUGUUCAAGUACGAUGGAGUAUAUAUAGCUCCAGCGAGGAUAAGAUCCAACUUGUUCACGGUGGUAACUAUUUUAUUUGAACAUACAAUCAUGUAGGCUGUUCUUUAAUUGGCCUCAAAACUCAAUAAUUAAUCAUCUAAUAGGUCUCUAAAGCAAGUUUUUAAUCAGAUACAUACAGUUUAAUCUAUCUUCUUCUUCUGUUUUUUACUAAAAGAUUGUAUUACAUCAUGGUUUGUGAUGUAUCAUGUGAUUGAGAGUACUUUCUGUGAGUCUGUCUCACAUGAAAUGACAAAAUAGGUGACGAGGAAAGCCGAAACCGGAUCGAUAUUUUAGAGAACUGUAACUCGAUCCACUUGUCACACAUGCAUAGAAAUGUAGUCACAACCUGGAUAGUUAUACAAACACAUGUACACUAGGAACUGUACAGAUUGAGAGAGGAUCAGGUAAGAUCGAGGAAUGGAUAGACACGAACAGGAUCCACGUGCUCAGCUUUAGACACUCUUUAUAUCAACAUCUGUCUCCAAAUUACUUAUAACCACUUUUGCUUCUUUUAAGCCCUCGCUCUCUUAUGUUACUCUUCCCUUUCCUCUUCUUUAUCAAAGAUAUUGGUUUGAAUCUUUCAUUUAAAUAAAGAGUUCUUAAAUGGCAACAUAUGCUAGAAGAACAUACGGAUUUGGGAGAGCUGAUGAGGCGACGCACCCGGACUCCAUUAGAGCCACUUUGGCCGAGUUUCUCUCCACUUUCGUCUUUGUCUUUGCUGGAGAAGGCUCCAUCCUCUCUCUAGGUUCGUAGUUCUUUUAGCUAUAUAUGCGUAGGAGUUAUCCAAUAACUUUUAGCCAAUUAGUAUUGCCAUCUUUUCUUACAAAAAUAUUAAUCACAACGUCAGAUAUUUAUUUAUAUCAAACAUUUUUAGAUUUAUCAAGAUUUUUUUUAUUAUUAUUUAUCAAGAUUUUUGUUCUAACAAAGACGGUAGAAAGAAGAAAACAUUUAUCUUAUUCGGUAAUUAAUAUAUUGGUACGAGCAGACAAGUUGUAUUGGGACACUGAGGCUCACACGGGGACAGACACGCCGGGAGGGUUACUUUUGGUGGCGUUAGCUCAUGCAUUGGCACUAUUUGCGGCAGUUUCGGCGGCCAUCAAUGUCUCUGGUGGUCACGUGAACCCUGCGGUUACUUUUGCUGCUCUAAUCGGUGGCAGGCUCUCAGUGAUCCGAGCUAUCUACUAUUGGGUUGCUCAGCUUCUAGGUGCUAUCCUCGCUUGUCUCUUGUUGAGGCUUUCCACUAAUGGCAAGGUAUAUCAUUUCUCAUCGAAUUUUGAAAAUAUAUGCUCCUGAGUCCUGACUGUGACUGUGAUGCAGAGACCAAUAGGGUUCCAUGUAGCGUCUGGAGUCAGUGAGCUUCACGGGCUAUUGAUGGAGAUCAUACUUACAUUCGCAUUGGUUUAUAUCUUCUACUCAACUGUAACCGAUCCCAAGAGAGGGAGUAUUGGGAUCAUAGCCCCCCUAGCCAUCGGGCUCAUAGUUGGGGCAAACAUGUUGGUAGGAGGACCAUUCGACGGAGCGUCAAUGAAUCCGGCUAGAGCCUUCGGUCCAUCAUUGGUUGGAUGGAGAUGGGAAAACCAUUGGAUAUAUUGGGUUGGGCCCUUCAUUGGAGGUGCACUCGCCGCACUUAUCUAUGAGUACAUGAUCAUCCCCAACGUGAACGAGCCUCCUCGCCAUAGUGUCCACCAACCAUUGGCCCCGGAAGAUUACUAGACCGUACCAAGCUACAUGUCGAAGGUUCUCUCUUUGUAUCAAGAAUCUCUGUUUUGCUUGUGUUGUUGUUUGUAUAUUUGUUUUUUUUUUCUUGCAUGCAACUUUAUAUGUAUAAUUGAGUCCAGACCAGGACAGUAUCUGUGUGUUCUUGUAUCAUAUGUAACUAUUUGAUAAUAAAAAAAUUCGGUAUUUCAUUAAAAAUGGUCAAUUAUGGGAUCAAGACGGAGACAACGAUGGCUUUUCUCUCAGAGUACUGUACACGUAACAGUGCCGGUCGGUUUCUAUAAAUCAGUUUAUGUAUCUGAAACCUGCGAAGGUUUCUUUCUUCUCAUGUUAAGAAGGUCCUCUCAUCUUGUCAACUAUCUGUCUACUCUUUUCCUCCAUGUGACGCCUCUUCUCAUCCAACUUCUCCCCCAUUUUCUUCCCAAGACUCAGCAUCCUUGCUCUCCUUCCCAGUUUCUUUCCCUUUGAAUCAUCGUCUUCGCUUGAAACUACUGACCAAGAUGGUGAUGACUGAACAAAAGUGCUGCCUCUUGAGUUCGUCUCCUGCUUUUCGCUGCUGCUGGGUAGCAGCAAUGGGGUUUUCAGUUCUUCCAGAGAUUUGUCACUCUCUACUGUUUCAGGUCUGGAGGAACUUGACACUGCGGUAGACAUAACCUCUGCUUCUGUAUUCGGUUUCUGGACGGCAUUGGCAGCUUCAUGCACUUGAUCAGACUGAGCACAGGAGGAAGAAGACACAGUCUCCGCUUCAGAAAUAACCGGCUUCGUAGAUGGCUUGUCAGAUUUAGACUUCCCCUCUGUUGCCUGGUGAUCGCUUUCUUGAUUCAGCCACAUGAAUGGAGCGGCUUUGCGUUGAACCCAAUCGUCUUUUUCAGCAAUCAUCCACGGAACCGUUAGGCUUUCACAGUUUGGAAGAACCACUGCUUCUCUUAUUGCCGUCUGCAAGAAUCAUAAUGUUAUCUCACAUUCUGUUAGCUCAAAUUUCACUAGAUACCAAACAAAAGAGAACCCAAAGGAGAAGGUGUGCCUACCUUAAACCGGUUGAUCAAGAACAUAGCAACAUGGCUGUUGGUGAUUUUGUGUUCCCCAACAGAAGAUGCGAGAUCGAAUUGUACAUCGGGCAUGCUCGUGAAUCCAAACCAUAGUUGAUCAGAAGGAGGCGGCUUCAUGUGUACACGCAGUGUCCCUCUAAGAGAAGAAAUCCGUAUUGACAAAGAGAUUGGUACCUGCAAUUGAGAAACAGAUAAAAUCUAAGAUCCCACACUGAGGAAAAGUUACAAAAAAUCCAACAAAACAGAACAAAAAAUCAUCUUGUAGAUAUUUAAAAAAAAAAAAAAAAGAGAAGAGGAGAACCAACCUGGGAAACUUGCUCAGCAAUAUUUUUUAGAAUAGACUUCCACCUGGAUACACCAUUUGGAGAAGCUUUGGUUCCUUUUGAGCCAUUGGAUUCAUCUGAAAGCAACAAAAAGAGGGUAAGAACAAUUGUAAUCAUCAUCCUGAGCAAUACUUUUGAACAUGCAUUACGCUAGCAAGAACUCGGUAGGUGAAACGAGAGGUGACUGCAGUAAUCAAUAUUCAGUAAACAUUGAACUUGCUUGUUUUUACCAUUUUUCACUUCUCCUGCAUCAACAGGGAUGACUAAUUGCUUUUCAAAAUCUUCAACACCGUUUGACGAGACUUCUUCCCCAGCAGAACUUGGCUGUAGCCUUGUGUCGUUUAUGCCUUUUUGAAGAUCCACCUCCCGGAUAUUAACCCGUGUUUCAACGUCAAUCACCGGUUCACCAGAGUAUUCAAUAUCUACCUCGAACGCCCACACACCACUCAUCUCCAUUGGAAGAACCCGAGUACCAUGUAUAUGAGGUGGGAGAUUACCAAGGUCAACAUCGGAGCAGAUUAGUUCUCCUAUGUAACUCGGAGUCCUCAUGUUGGAUAACAUCCUCUGUUUAAAAACCACAAAGACGUAAGGAAAUCAAUUCAUCUCAAAUUUUUGAGUUCAUGAAAGCAUGCAGACCUGGAUUCGCGCUUGCAUUGAGUCCUUCACUCCUGUUUUCCGUAUGAGAUCGAAGAAAAGCCUGGAGAUUAGCAAGUUCCACGCCAAUGUUCCUUCAUCAAUGUCAAACUUCUCUUCAGAGUCUCCAUCCGAAACCCCGGAGAAAUGACUUGUAUGGCUCACGGAACGUGAAAAGACAGGCGCAUCAGCUUCAUCUCUGACAUCAUCUCCCACCCUCUUCCCUGGAACGCUGCUUCCAUUUUGUGAAUCUUGGUAAGAGCGCACAGAGGUUCUCCUCUCUUCACGAUUUGAUCGCUUUCUUGAAAACCUCCUCAAGAACAAACGAACUUUGGAGGAAGAGCCGUCCGUUCUGUUCCCUCUGUCAAUCGUCUCAAAACUAAACCCAAGAGACGGUUUCAUAAACGAAGGAUACGCAGCGUUGAGAGACGUGACGUAACUACGGAAGUCUUGUUGUAACUUGGUGGAGUACCAAAUAAACCUUUCCGGAUUCUCGCAAGAAGCAAGACGAAGAGCUUUACACCAUGAUUCCUUUUCACAAGAAGUCUCGAGAUAGAUGUAAAACACCUUGUUUCCUUUGUAUACGUCUGAGGAACUCUUGGUUUCGACUUUUAUAGGAAACCUUUUGGCCCUGACAAAAGAACAAUCAAGCUUCAAUAUAUUCCACCAAAGCUUCACAAUUCAAAUUGAUGUAUUGUAUGGAUAAGAGUUGGUGGUACCAUUUUCUUGUAGGGAGAUCAGAGCCUGAAACAGCCUCCACAGAGCAGCAUUUUAAUGAAACAGUAGUGAGAGUGCCGUCAGACUCUGACAAGAUGAGUUUGUGGUCUUUGAUCCGAGCGAAUUUGCGAGUUGGAUGAAUCUCCAAGAAAGCUCUCUUCCUCUUCUGCUCUGCUGGUAACUUCUCCUUCCACAUGUUCUUGAGACCUUCAUCCAACUCCAAAACCCAGAUCGUUCCCUGGAAAAUAUUAAAAACUUUCAUUACAGCAAAACAAGACCGAACAGAAACUGUCUGGUUCUAAUGAUCCAAAAACUCAAAAUUCACGGUCUCAUCCGAAACAGUUGACUUGAACUCAACAACUCGCAAGUAACGCAACAUGCAAACAUUCGGAGAUUAGAACCUAGAGUUUAGAGGAUUAAUCGAGGAAUUAAAGAUCGAUCACCUGUUUGUUGGAUUCUCGAGGAUUGCUGAUCUCCUUGGUAGAUUGAUCGGAACCGGGUUUUGAAUCAACCCGGUUAUCUCUCUUCCGGUUCAAUCGGUUCAGAAGAUACAUCAAACCAGCAGCUUCAGCCCCCAAGACGGCGACAAUUCCCAGGAAGAACCCGGAGAGGAACACGAAACUCGUGAAGGAAAACAUAUCCUCCGGGGAAGCUGGAAAGGCUUCAAUGAGAUGAAGGUUUCUUGUGAGGGAAUCAAGAGGAGGAGAAGAUUCGUGGCGUCGGGGUUGUUCAUGUCAGUGUGCAAUAACAAGGACAAUGCCAAAAGAUAGGAAGAGGAGAAGAUACUGUGGGAUUAGUCAUCUCUCUCUCUCUCUCUCUCUCUGGAAACGUAAUUCUCAACUUCCAACCAAUACUAAUUUGACGAAUCAGAAACAUAUUUAAUCUCUUAAGUUAAUUAAUAAUAACUUCUUCUUUUUUUGUCAUCAAGUUAAUUAAUAAUAACUAGUUGAUAUACUAUACUUAAUAUUUAAAAAGUCACGACCAAGUGUUUUUAGAAUUAAAAUUUCAUAAGAAGUAGAUAAAUAUAUUUUAAACUUCAGGUGCAAAAAAAAAAAACUGUUUCAUUGGUCAAAAUAUAUAAAAUAAAACAUGUUUUAUCAAGUAAGAAACUAUGAUUAUAUAGUAGGCUUGAGAGUUCUUAACUCAACCCGAAGUACCGACCUUAACCCGAACCGGAAAAACCGAAACCGAAUCUGAAUCUAAACUUAGCCAUACUAUGCACCUCAUGCCCAACAGGAUUAUACAAGAUGGCAUUGUUGAAAGUAAGUCUAACAUCUUCAGCAAACUCCAACGGCGACUCAUACAAACCUUCCCCUAACUUAGCCUUCACUGUACCCAAAUCCAUAGGCUCUUUAACAAUGGUGUGGUAAUCAUGCAAACCAAACCCUUUGGCAUCAACGGGCACAUUGAACACCCAUCCAUCCUUAUGCUUCAUCAACUUCGUCAGCAAAUUGAGACAUUUCUUGAAAAUCUGAACCGUACCUUUAUCACCUCUCUUAACUCCAUUCCCAGUUUUCAGCUUCUUGUUUCCCCCUUUACCCAUGGACCCGGUUGUAAAGUUUCCGCCUUGGGGAUCGAACUGUGCGAUCAAGCUCCGAACUUCGUCUAGCUCAGCUGUUAGUCUCCGCUUCAAGCUCCUGACUUCAAGCUUCGAAAUUGAGCUCAAGCUAACCUUCAACAUGGGAGGAUGAUCUUCCUCCUCCGACGCGAACGGGUUUGACGGAGAGAGGAGAGCAGCCGAUCGCGCGUGUUGAGGAACCACCAUCGGCUUGGUCCGCCUGUGCUUCGUCGUCUUCGAAGCUCCACCUCCUGAAGACAUUUCUAGGUUUAGCUCGGAGGACCGUGAUUGAGGGGAUUCAAGGUCGAUGAAAUCGAAAUCGAAAUCGAAAGAGAAGGUUUGAAUCUACAUGAAGAUCGGUUCUCGAUUUUGCAAUUUACGAAAACCCUAGGGAAGCAAGCAAAUACUGUGGCAACAAUAGCUCACGCGCUUGAAACUCACGCGCCAUUACCAAUUUUUUACUACUAUAUAAUAAAUCCUUUGUUUUCUGAAUGAUACUUACUUGCAAUCAACAAUUGAUAGUUUGAUAAUAAUACCUUUCCAACACUAGCAGUUUAUACACUGUAGUGUUCAAGUACGAUGGAGUAUAUAUAGCUCCAGCGAGGAUAAGAUCCAACUUGUUCACGGUGGUAACUAUUUUAUUUGAACAUACAAUCAUGUAGGCUGUUCUUUAAUUGGCCUCAAAACUCAAUAAUUAAUCAUCUAAUAGGUCUCUAAAGCAAGUUUUUAAUCAGAUACAUACAGUUUAAUCUAUCUUCUUCUUCUGUUUUUUACUAAAAGAUUGUAUUACAUCAUGGUUUGUGAUGUAUCAUGUGAUUGAGAGUACUUUCUGUGAGUCUGUCUCACAUGAAAUGACAAAAUAGGUGACGAGGAAAGCCGAAACCGGAUCGAUAUUUUAGAGAACUGUAACUCGAUCCACUUGUCACACAUGCAUAGAAAUGUAGUCACAACCUGGAUAGUUAUACAAACACAUGUACACUAGGAACUGUACAGAUUGAGAGAGGAUCAGGUAAGAUCGAGGAAUGGAUAGACACGAACAGGAUCCACGUGCUCAGCUUUAGACACUCUUUAUAUCAACAUCUGUCUCCAAAUUACUUAUAACCACUUUUGCUUCUUUUAAGCCCUCGCUCUCUUAUGUUACUCUUCCCUUUCCUCUUCUUUAUCAAAGAUAUUGGUUUGAAUCUUUCAUUUAAAUAAAGAGUUCUUAAAUGGCAACAUAUGCUAGAAGAACAUACGGAUUUGGGAGAGCUGAUGAGGCGACGCACCCGGACUCCAUUAGAGCCACUUUGGCCGAGUUUCUCUCCACUUUCGUCUUUGUCUUUGCUGGAGAAGGCUCCAUCCUCUCUCUAGGUUCGUAGUUCUUUUAGCUAUAUAUGCGUAGGAGUUAUCCAAUAACUUUUAGCCAAUUAGUAUUGCCAUCUUUUCUUACAAAAAUAUUAAUCACAACGUCAGAUAUUUAUUUAUAUCAAACAUUUUUAGAUUUAUCAAGAUUUUUUUUAUUAUUAUUUAUCAAGAUUUUUGUUCUAACAAAGACGGUAGAAAGAAGAAAACAUUUAUCUUAUUCGGUAAUUAAUAUAUUGGUACGAGCAGACAAGUUGUAUUGGGACACUGAGGCUCACACGGGGACAGACACGCCGGGAGGGUUACUUUUGGUGGCGUUAGCUCAUGCAUUGGCACUAUUUGCGGCAGUUUCGGCGGCCAUCAAUGUCUCUGGUGGUCACGUGAACCCUGCGGUUACUUUUGCUGCUCUAAUCGGUGGCAGGCUCUCAGUGAUCCGAGCUAUCUACUAUUGGGUUGCUCAGCUUCUAGGUGCUAUCCUCGCUUGUCUCUUGUUGAGGCUUUCCACUAAUGGCAAGGUAUAUCAUUUCUCAUCGAAUUUUGAAAAUAUAUGCUCCUGAGUCCUGACUGUGACUGUGAUGCAGAGACCAAUAGGGUUCCAUGUAGCGUCUGGAGUCAGUGAGCUUCACGGGCUAUUGAUGGAGAUCAUACUUACAUUCGCAUUGGUUUAUAUCUUCUACUCAACUGUAAUCGAUCCCAAGAGAGGGAGUAUUGGGAUCAUAGCCCCCCUAGCCAUCGGGCUCAUAGUUGGGGCAAACAUGUUGGUAGGAGGACCAUUCGACGGAGCGUCAAUGAAUCCGGCUAGAGCCUUCGGUCCAUCAUUGGUUGGAUGGAGAUGGGAAAACCAUUGGAUAUAUUGGGUUGGGCCCUUCAUUGGAGGUGCACUCGCCGCACUUAUCUAUGAGUACAUGAUCAUCCCCAACGUGAACGAGCCUCCUCGCCAUAGUGUCCACCAACCAUUGGCCCCGGAAGAUUACUAGACCGUACCAAGCUACAUGUCGAAGGUUCUCUCUUUGUAUCAAGAAUCUCUGUUUUGCUUGUGUUGUUGUUUGUAUAUUUGUUUUUUUUUUCUUGCAUGCAACUUUAUAUGUAUAAUUGAGUCCAGACCAGGACAGUAUCUGUGUGUUCUUGUAUCAUAUGUAACUAUUUGAUAAUAAAAAAAUUCGGUAUUUCAUUAAAAAUGGUCAAUUAUGGGAUCAAGACGGAGACAACGAUGGCUUUUCUCUCAGAGUACUGUACACGUAACAGUGCCGGUCGGUUUCUAUAAAUCAGUUUAUGUAUCUGAAACCUGCGAAGGUUUCUUUCUUCUCAUGUUAAGAAGGUCCUCUCAUCUUGUCAACUAUCUGUCUACUCUUUUCCUCCAUGUGACGCCUCUUCUCAUCCAACUUCUCCCCCAUUUUCUUCCCAAGACUCAGCAUCCUUGCUCUCCUUCCCAGUUUCUUUCCCUUUGAAUCAUCGUCUUCGCUUGAAACUACUGACCAAGAUGGUGAUGACUGAACAAAAGUGCUGCCUCUUGAGUUCGUCUCCUGCUUUUCGCUGCUGCUGGGUAGCAGCAAUGGGGUUUUCAGUUCUUCCAGAGAUUUGUCACUCUCUACUGUUUCAGGUCUGGAGGAACUUGACACUGCGGUAGACAUAACCUCUGCUUCUGUAUUCGGUUUCUGGACGGCAUUGGCAGCUUCAUGCACUUGAUCAGACUGAGCACAGGAGGAAGAAGACACAGUCUCCGCUUCAGAAAUAACCGGCUUCGUAGAUGGCUUGUCAGAUUUAGACUUCCCCUCUGUUGCCUGGUGAUCGCUUUCUUGAUUCAGCCACAUGAAUGGAGCGGCUUUGCGUUGAACCCAAUCGUCUUUUUCAGCAAUCAUCCACGGAACCGUUAGGCUUUCACAGUUUGGAAGAACCACUGCUUCUCUUAUUGCCGUCUGCAAGAAUCAUAAUGUUAUCUCACAUUCUGUUAGCUCAAAUUUCACUAGAUACCAAACAAAAGAGAACCCAAAGGAGAAGGUGUGCCUACCUUAAACCGGUUGAUCAAGAACAUAGCAACAUGGCUGUUGGUGAUUUUGUGUUCCCCAACAGAAGAUGCGAGAUCGAAUUGUACAUCGGGCAUGCUCGUGAAUCCAAACCAUAGUUGAUCAGAAGGAGGCGGCUUCAUGUGUACACGCAGUGUCCCUCUAAGAGAAGAAAUCCGUAUUGACAAAGAGAUUGGUACCUGCAAUUGAGAAACAGAUAAAAUCUAAGAUCCCACACUGAGGAAAAGUUACAAAAAAUCCAACAAAACAGAACAAAAAAUCAUCUUGUAGAUAUUUAAAAAAAAAAAAAAAAGAGAAGAGGAGAACCAACCUGGGAAACUUGCUCAGCAAUAUUUUUUAGAAUAGACUUCCACCUGGAUACACCAUUUGGAGAAGCUUUGGUUCCUUUUGAGCCAUUGGAUUCAUCUGAAAGCAACAAAAAGAGGGUAAGAACAAUUGUAAUCAUCAUCCUGAGCAAUACUUUUGAACAUGCAUUACGCUAGCAAGAACUCGGUAGGUGAAACGAGAGGUGACUGCAGUAAUCAAUAUUCAGUAAACAUUGAACUUGCUUGUUUUUACCAUUUUUCACUUCUCCUGCAUCAACAGGGAUGACUAAUUGCUUUUCAAAAUCUUCAACACCGUUUGACGAGACUUCUUCCCCAGCAGAACUUGGCUGUAGCCUUGUGUCGUUUAUGCCUUUUUGAAGAUCCACCUCCCGGAUAUUAACCCGUGUUUCAACGUCAAUCACCGGUUCACCAGAGUAUUCAAUAUCUACCUCGAACGCCCACACACCACUCAUCUCCAUUGGAAGAACCCGAGUACCAUGUAUAUGAGGUGGGAGAUUACCAAGGUCAACAUCGGAGCAGAUUAGUUCUCCUAUGUAACUCGGAGUCCUCAUGUUGGAUAACAUCCUCUGUUUAAAAACCACAAAGACGUAAGGAAAUCAAUUCAUCUCAAAUUUUUGAGUUCAUGAAAGCAUGCAGACCUGGAUUCGCGCUUGCAUUGAGUCCUUCACUCCUGUUUUCCGUAUGAGAUCGAAGAAAAGCCUGGAGAUUAGCAAGUUCCACGCCAAUGUUCCUUCAUCAAUGUCAAACUUCUCUUCAGAGUCUCCAUCCGAAACCCCGGAGAAAUGACUUGUAUGGCUCACGGAACGUGAAAAGACAGGCGCAUCAGCUUCAUCUCUGACAUCAUCUCCCACCCUCUUCCCUGGAACGCUGCUUCCAUUUUGUGAAUCUUGGUAAGAGCGCACAGAGGUUCUCCUCUCUUCACGAUUUGAUCGCUUUCUUGAAAACCUCCUCAAGAACAAACGAACUUUGGAGGAAGAGCCGUCCGUUCUGUUCCCUCUGUCAAUCGUCUCAAAACUAAACCCAAGAGACGGUUUCAUAAACGAAGGAUACGCAGCGUUGAGAGACGUGACGUAACUACGGAAGUCUUGUUGUAACUUGGUGGAGUACCAAAUAAACCUUUCCGGAUUCUCGCAAGAAGCAAGACGAAGAGCUUUACACCAUGAUUCCUUUUCACAAGAAGUCUCGAGAUAGAUGUAAAACACCUUGUUUCCUUUGUAUACGUCUGAGGAACUCUUGGUUUCGACUUUUAUAGGAAACCUUUUGGCCCUGACAAAAGAACAAUCAAGCUUCAAUAUAUUCCACCAAAGCUUCACAAUUCAAAUUGAUGUAUUGUAUGGAUAAGAGUUGGUGGUACCAUUUUCUUGUAGGGAGAUCAGAGCCUGAAACAGCCUCCACAGAGCAGCAUUUUAAUGAAACAGUAGUGAGAGUGCCGUCAGACUCUGACAAGAUGAGUUUGUGGUCUUUGAUCCGAGCGAAUUUGCGAGUUGGAUGAAUCUCCAAGAAAGCUCUCUUCCUCUUCUGCUCUGCUGGUAACUUCUCCUUCCACAUGUUCUUGAGACCUUCAUCCAACUCCAAAACCCAGAUCGUUCCCUGGAAAAUAUUAAAAACUUUCAUUACAGCAAAACAAGACCGAACAGAAACUGUCUGGUUCUAAUGAUCCAAAAACUCAAAAUUCACGGUCUCAUCCGAAACAGUUGACUUGAACUCAACAACUCGCAAGUAACGCAACAUGCAAACAUUCGGAGAUUAGAACCUAGAGUUUAGAGGAUUAAUCGAGGAAUUAAAGAUCGAUCACCUGUUUGUUGGAUUCUCGAGGAUUGCUGAUCUCCUUGGUAGAUUGAUCGGAACCGGGUUUUGAAUCAACCCGGUUAUCUCUCUUCCGGUUCAAUCGGUUCAGAAGAUACAUCAAACCCGCAGCUUCGGCCGCCAAGACGGCGACAAUUCCCAGGAAGAACCCCGAGAGGAACACGAAACACGUGAAGGAAAACAUAUCCUCCGGGGAAGCUUGAAGGUCUUCAAUGAGAUGAAGGUUACUUGUGAGGGAAUCAGGAGGAGGAGGAGAAGAUUCGUGGCGUCGGGGUUGUUCAUGUCAGUGUACAAUGCCAAAAGAUAGGAAGAGGAGAAGAUACUGUGGGAUUAGUCAUCUCUCUCUCUCUCUCUCUCUCUGGAAACGUAAUUCUCAACUUCCAACCAAUACUAAUUUGACGAAUCAGAAACAUAUUUAAUCUCUUAAGUUAAUUAAUAAUAACUUCUUCUUUUUUUGUCAUCAAGUUAAUUAAUAAUAACUAGUUGAUAUACUAUACUUAAUAUUUAAAAAGUCACGACCAAGUGUUUUUAGAAUUAAAAUUUCAUAAGAAGUAGAUAAAUAUAUUUUAAACUUCAGGUGCAAAAAAAAAAAACUGUUUCAUUGGUCAAAAUAUAUAAAAUAAAACAUGUUUUAUCAAGUAAGAAACUAUGAUUAUAUAGUAGGCUUGAGAGUUCUUAACUCAACCCGAAGUACCGACCUUAACCCGAACCGGAAAAACCGAAACCGAAUCUGAAUCUGAACUAUUUUACAAAAAUAUCCGAAUGGGACUUAUGAGCUUACUACUUUGGACUUUGGUUAUAACCCGAACCGAACCGAAAUCUGAAUUAGGAACCGAAUAUAUCCGAAAUUAGUUAAAUAUGUUAAUGUUUUUAUAUAUAUUAAGGUGAUUUAGAUAUUUUAGAUUACUCAAAAUAUUUUUGUAGUUUGUUUUAUUUGUUAUUUUAAAUACUUUUUAGUUAAUUUAGAUAAUUUAACUAAUUUUUAAUUAAAUUUGUAAAUAAUUUAUAUAUUUUGAAAUUUUUUUGGUCAAUUUUCGAGGUUUUUAAAAAUAUAUUUUUGUACGAUUUUAAACAUUGGUUAAAUCCGAUCCGAACCGAAUCCAGAAGGAACCGAACCGAAUCCGAUCCGAUAAUUAGUAAAAACCGAAUGGUACUUAUGAGCAUAACACCGAAAAUCCAAAAAUCCGAAUCACCUAGACCGAAACCGAAUGGACCACCGAACUCCCAGACCUAUUAUAUAGUAUCUUAUGGACUAAGAUGCUUGAGAUAGCUUUCAUUACAGAUUCUUGUGUACUAUCACAGAUUGUUAAAUGUUAUUAGUUGUCGUAAGCAUGUUUCACUCAUUAGACAGAAGUCAGAAGACACAAGUAACACAGCUCAUAAGGUUCAUUUCCAUAUACAUAUAACACCGGUUUCCAACCCGCAAACGCAGCUUUUGUGGUUGGUUGUUUGUGUUUUGAAACAAUUAUAGAAAAUGGUACAAAUCGUUUCAAAUCGCUCUGAACCUUUUAAAAUCAAAAGUUGGUUCCAGCUAUCGUUUGAGAUUGCAAACGGUUGUGUAAUGUUUUUUUUGUUUUAAGAAAAUAAAACUAAAAAAUAUUCAGUAAAAAUGUGAAUUCAAAUAAUAGAAAUUGUAAAAUGUAUAUGUAUUAUAUUUUAAAACUUUAAAAGAAAAUAUUUUCUAUAAUUUUAAAAAAUUUAAUAGUAUGAUUUUAUAGAUAUAAUUUUAUAUAUUAUGAUUUUUAAUAUUUUUAUAAUUAUUUAAAAUGUAUCAGUCGUACAAAUCUCUAAAAAAACGUUUAAAACUGCAACCACUUGUAUCUGCAAACUCUCGCAACCACAUGCGGUUACACCUGCCCGACCCUUUGUCUCUCACAAAACAAAUAAAAAAACCAUUGUUUAUCUCAUCAUUUGUAAACUCAAAAACAAAACCCAUGUUCUUUUUUUUCCAUGCUACAACACAAGGACGAGAAACCUCUACAUUAUGUACCUAAGAAAACAACAAAAAACAGAGCUAAAAACCAGAGCUCUGUCACUUGGACCUCUACAAGCUCUUGUUCACAGAGAAAAAGCUGUAGUCAUGGUGAUCAUGAACAUUAAGCUGUUUCAGCCAUGACUCCGCUGCCCUUCCAAGAUAAACAACCGCUCUUGAUCACCAGAUUCUUGUUUCCCCCACAAACCUCCUUGCAUUUUGUAUGUAACUAAACCAAAAGGAGCCAAAGGGAGUCUCUUGGUCACCACCGGUUCAUCAUCAAACCACAAUGUUUCUUCUUCCAUGCUUUUUUUAUUCUUAUCCUCUCCCUCUACCAAACUACCUAAUAAAUCAAACAGAGCUAGAUGUUUCAACAUUUUGUACCAAGAUAAUGUCUAUAUGCUAAGAAAUUUUAUUGCAAUCUAAGUAUAUUAUAACACCUGCAAGAUUAUUUUUUUUGGGGGCAAGAACAUUAAUAUUAUAUACCUUGUAAGGCUGAAGAUAGCGUAUGAUAACUCAAAAAACACGUUGAUAAGUCUUUAUCGGCCUUCUGAGAUGGAAUAUGGUAUAUCGGAUACCUAAAGCCACAACGAAAGUUCAAGACUUUGUCAUGAUCAAGGCCGAAAAACACUUGCAGGCAGAGAUCAAACAAGCAGAAAAUUUUCUAGACUCACCAAGCAAUGGCCAUCCAACUCGCUGGAGACAAAUCAACACUCCUUAGCGUCAAAAGUCUCGGAUACUUCUCAGCCAAUUCAGUAACCUAAAACCAACCAACAUAAGAGAGAAUUUUCUAAGUUGUUAGGUUCUUUAAGCACGAUAAAGAACAUAGGAUUACUACAAAUGAAAACCUUGGUGAUAAGAGGAACUCGCAAGUGCGGUUUAGUUGACUCAAAGUACUGAAACUCAAUGGAACCGAGCUUAUCUCGCAUUGAAGGAGUGUCACAAGCCGAGUCAUCCGAAACAGAAUCCCAUAUUUUGCUAGAACCACUACUCGUUGACCUUGAUAACUUCUCAAUCUCACUAUCAUCACUCCAGCAUUCACUCUCAAAAUCAACCACAUCACUUUGGUUCCUGCAACAAAACCAUAGAUUCACUUCUCAAGUUUUGUAACACAUAGAACACUAUUAUCCCCCACUAAAUUCACUAUAAUCAAUCUAACCUGGAAAAGGCUGGAGAUUUGCUAGUAUAGAGUUGAAUGGCUGAUAGAUAUGGAACAUAGUACUGCGUAACGGAUUCGCCAUUGUUCAACUCAACCUUUGAUCCAAGUCCAUACGCGCUUAGCUCAUCAAAACAGUCCCAAAGUUCACUGAGCCUGAAAUAUUCAGUCUCAUCUUUGCUAUGUUGAGUCCAUACACUAUUCAAGUCAUUCUCGCAGCUCUGCAAAUCACACCAACCAAAGAUCAAACUCGGAGACUAACUGUAGCUUACAAACAAUUUAAUCCCUCCACGUGUUUAGUGAUAAUGCUAACGUAUGCCAGUGUAUUUCAACAAUGGUAUUAAUGAAACCAUAUGCUAUUAACCACGCAUUAAAUAUCAAUAAUUGCUGAAUGAGACAGUCAUCUAAUGAUAGUAAAGAUGAAGAAGACACGUUUACAGGAUUUACCUCUACCUGUCUAGAAUAUUCAAACCAAUUUCAGUAUUGAAUAUCCAUUAUUUAAUUUAUUUUUUGUAUAUAGUAUUGUAUCUUUCUCAAUCACAUAUUGAUGUCGCGAGUUUCCACGUGGUGAAAUAAAACUUCACGAAAUGCCAUGAAAUCCUAUAAUUAUCUGUCAUUAUCUGUAAACUUCACCAAUUGAGUAAAGGAGAUUUGGUGUUCAAAAAUCUACUAAAAUGAUUAGUUGAAACCUGAGAAUAUGCUAUAUGGAUUCUCUAACAUUCUAGGAAGGUAAAAAUUAAAACAAAAGCAGUGUACCUUUGACUUAGAAGAAGAAGGAGGCUUUGGAGUGAUUCCUCUAAGAAACCUCUCUAGAUUUGAUCGGACUUUCGUCGGCGAUGAUGACCACCACCACAUUCUUGUCCUGGAAUUUUCUUAAAAAGCUAGAUAAUGAGGACAACCUAGAAAGAAGGAAAGAAACUACAGAAACAGUUUAAAUGGGUUUGUGUUUUGUUUUGUUUUUGGGUUUGUAAUAAGGAAAAAUGAAAAAUGAUCUCUUAAAACUUUAAAGAUGAAGGGGAAAUUUUAGAUGAAUUGUUUAGAGAUUUCUUGGGAGAAAAGAGGAAUAAAACUUUGCAGCAGAGUGGAGAUUUUGGAGUAUGAUUUGCUUCUAUUUAAUGGAAAGUGAAACAUGACCAAACACUUCCCUCUCCUCUUUCUCUCUCUUUCUCUCAUCCUAAUCUAUUUUUACUAUUUGUUAGGUAAUUAAUUUAGUCAUUGACUAAAAGGGACCUUUUUGACAACUAAAUCUCCUUUUUGCUUUAUCUUUUCUCUCUAUCUCCCUCUUAAGAUCUUAUCGUUAAUAAUAUUCUUUUAUUCUUUUACCUUUGUUAGGUAAUUUUCCGCUAUAUAUCUCUAAUAUUACAAAGUUUGUGUUUUAGCCCGUAAAGCUAUUUUAUUAACGGAAAUUAACUGGAAAGCAAAAUGGCCAUAGUUAUUUAUAUAUUUAUAGUCGACAGAAAAUCUAUAUAUUGAUAUGGUUUAAAUGUAAGGAUUUUUCUUUAGAAUUCUGUCUUUAAAUGUGUGAGCUACCAAGUAUGCAUGUCCAUUCAGUUAAUGUCAGAGAACAGUACUUUUACUGAAUCAGAAGGUCGAAGUUACAAUACUUUUAUGUAUGUGAAAUAUACUUAUAAUAUUUACAGAUGAACUUAAUCCACAACACUUCACAUGAUAAAAAUAUGUAUAAACGUAUGAUUGUAGUCAAUCUCUUACGUAAAAUAAUUUAGUAUUCCUGAAUAUCCAAUCCGCAUGAACUAAAAAUCGUCUAAAAGUUUUACCAAAGAAAAAUCUUCUAAAAUAAUUUUAAUUUUGUAGAAAAAGCAAUUUUUUCGUGAAAAGCAUCGCAAAAAUUUACAUCUCACAAGCCAAAAUAUCCACAAAGUAUAAUUAAUUACAUGAUGCCAAAAAUGAUGAACAAGCUCAGUUAUGAAGCUCCCAUAAAGAAUAGUCAAUACACUAAUCUCUGACCAUUGAGCUAAAAAGGACAAUAAACAUUUUAGUUACAUAUUUUAAUCUAGUGAGGAGUUAUGCGAAUGAUGCUAAGAGUUUUCAAGGUUCCUAAAACAAAUGUUGUAGUAUAAAUGAUUAUUGAACCAGUUCUGAGAGAUAUCAAAACACCGAGAAUGCAAGUACUCAUUUAAUCUAAGUGCAACUAAUGAUUUAGAUGGGUUUUAAACUACUGCUAAUACUAGAAAGCAAUUUCAGAAUUAUACUUUCUUGACUAAGGGAAAAGAGAACUCAUGGGCAUAGGGAUUAGACCUUGGAUGAUCAAGUAUCGAACUAAAAAUGGCAAAUGAUCAAUCAAACUAUCGAUCUUAAGCCUAGACACAAUUCUAAGCAAGCUAUAUGUCUAGAUGAAUGCUCAUUUGCUAACAUAUCUCAAACAUCAAAUGUCUUUGGUUGAAUAAUGUGAAAGCAAUCAUUACUAACAAGUCUAUUAAUUAUCUUAGCACCUUUAACAACAAAUGUCUUUGGUAAAGUAUACUAAAAGCCUAGGAGAGUUGUCUCAGGCAUUUCAUCAAACACAUUUUGGGUGGAAAAUGCGUAUUGAUCAACUUUUGAGUGGCCAACUCAGAAGAUGCAUUAUGAAUAUUCUACUAGCAUGGAACAAGAAUGAUCUACACUAAAACAUCCUAGAACUAACCUAAUCACUCUUGAUCUCCCUAACCCAUGAAUUCAGAAGGUGAUUACUCACUAAUCUCCAUGAUUCCUCUUAAACCCAUAUUGGAUUUCAGAUUAAUCAUGUAGAGAAAUAGANNNNNNNNNNNNNNNNNNNNNNNNNNNNNNNNNNNNNNNNNNNNNNNNNNACCCAAAUGUCUCCAGGAACUCCAUGUGGUACUCCAAUACCUAAUAGAGACAUAUGUAUGCAAAAUGCAACCUAGACAUGGCUAAAUCCUAAUCUAUAUGAUGAAAAUGCACAUGAAAUAAUGGAUAAAACAAUGUAAAUAUGCAAGAUAUCAACUCCCCCAAACUUAUUCUUUUACUUGUCCUCAAGUGAACUUUCUAGAACUCAUAGGGAGAGAGGUUUGAAGGUGGGAGCUCAUAGCCAAAAGAAACACACAAAGCACUCAAAUCAACAUCUAAAUUCAGCAUUAGUACACCCUCUCUUAUUAUAUUCUAGCUUCUCUAGGCCUAUCUCAACUAUUUUCAUCCCUACACUCAUCAUCAUGCAUUCACACAUGCAAAUCAGCCAACUCUAAGUUCAUUAAGCAUAGCAUCAAGUGAAUUCUUGCAAAUGGUCAAUUGGUCCAAAUCAUUUGGGUAAGGAGAUGCUUUUUAAUCAAGUGAGUCAAGGGGUUCAAGAUAUAUGAUAUUUAAGGUGGUAUACUCUCAGGACAAGUAGCCUUGACAUUGCACAUAAUAUAUCUAAGAAAGGGAUCAACUCAUGCAUACAAUGCUCAAUCCCCAUUGUUCUACCCUUUUCCCAAACAUAUAUGAUACACAUUCAUUUCCUCAUUCCAAACUCAGCUCACAUCUCUCACCCAAGGACUCUAAAAGCAUUUCCCAACAUAAAACUCUCUCUCUUUUUUUUUUUACAAGAGAUUUCUUACACUUUUUGAACACCUCUUAGCUCAUACUAAUUUUGCUAGCCCCCUUUUCAAAAUGCUUUUUUUAUAUAUAUAUAUAUUUUUUUUUUUCGGGCCAAGACUUUUCACAAAUUGAGCUAGAAGUUUCUCUACUUAUUCCAUAAAGACUAGUCAAUCAAACACAAGAGUUCACUCUUUUCCUUCAACUUUCUCUUAUUCCCAAAUCAAACUUUACAACACUCACCCCCCAUCCUAUGGCUAGACAAUAAUGUGUCUAAUCUAGCAAGAAUGAAGAUCAAGCAUUGUCGUUCCCGAUACUUUCAACAUUAUGUGCAUGUAAGACUUUCUGAAAAAUGCCUCACUCAUCAAUCAAUGAAGGCUUAAAAGGAGGAAUUGACAUUGCACAUAAUAUAUCUAAGAAAGGGAUCAACUCAUGCAUACAAUGCUCAAUCCCCAUUGUUCUACCCUUUUCCCAAACAUAUAUGAUACACAUUCAUUUCCUCAUUCCAAACUCAGCUCACAUCUCUCACCCAAGGACUCUAAAAGCAUUUCCCAACAUAAAACUCUCUCUCUUUUUUUUUUUACAAGAGAUUUCUUACACUUUUUGAACACCUCUUAGCUCAUACUAAUUUUGCUAGCCCCCUUUUCAAAAUGCUUUUUUUAUAUAUAUAUAUAUUUUUUUUUUUCGGGCCAAGACUUUUCACAAAUUGAGCUAGAAGUUUCUCUACUUAUUCCAUAAAGACUAGUCAAUCAAACACAAGAGUUCACUCUUUUCCUUCAACUUUCUCUUAUUCCCAAAUCAAACUUUACAACACUCACCCCCCAUCCUAUGGCUAGACAAUAAUGUGUCUAAUCUAGCAAGAAUGAAGAUCAAGCAUUGUCGUUCCCGAUACUUUCAACAUUAUGUGCAUGUAAGACUUUCUGAAAAAUGCCUCACUCAUCAAUCAAUGAAGGCUUAAAAGGAGGAAAGGGCUUUGGGAAUGGUGUACCACUCGAGUUUGUCAAAAAGAUUGGCAUAAAGGAUGUGACAACUCAAGUGUGUAUAUCCAUUACUCAGUACACAAGGGACCAUAAGCAAGAAGCAUUAAGUUCGUUCAGUUCAAACAAGGUUGUAGUUGGCUUCAAAGGUUGAGUUUCAGCAAUCAACAAGUUUCAGGAAGAGUUUUCAAGGCUCGAAGCAUACAAGUCUUUUUGAGAGGUGCAUAAGCUACUCAGGUGCAAAGUAGUGUUCUUUACAAGGCAUUUAAAAUCAUAAAUCAUCAAAGCAAACGUGAUCAAAUACUUGGUACCUCCCCCAAACUUAAAUGACACAGUCUCUGUGUUGUCAAGGAGAGAGAGAUACCCAAAAAGAGAAAACUAAUAUGCAAAAACGAAAUGGUAUAUACAAGGGAAAGUAGUGGGUUACCUUUUAUGGGGAAUGAGUAGAGGGAGAUGCUCCCUCCUCGUCGUCCUCAGGUGGUAACUCUUCAAGGUGCUCAUCAGCAGGAGUGCUCAUCUCUUCAAUGUAGAAGGCUUGCCCGAACACAGUUGGUUUCUUCAUUUUCCCCUUGAUGUCAAAGUGGAGAACAUGCCCUUUACCCAAGUGGAGAUCAAUUGUGCCCUCUUUCACAUUAACAAUUGCUCCUGCUGUAGCUAAGAAUGGUCUUACAAGAAUCAAUGGGUCUUGAGCCUCCUCAUCCAUCUCAAGCACCACAAAAUCUGUAGGUAUCUCAUACCUUCCAAUCUUCACAGGGAAGUCCUCUAAGAUGCCCACAAGGUACUUCACUGAACGAUCAGCUAACACCAGAGAGAGUCUACACUUCUUGUACUGAUGAAUCCAAGCUUUUUUGCAACAGACAAAAGCAUCACGCUGACACUAGCUCCCAAAUCGCAGAGACAUUUCUCAAAUACCAUAGGUCCAAGAGCACAAGGUAGUGUGAAGCAUCCUGGAUCCUCUAACUUCUCUGGAACAUCAAGCCUCUGGAUGAUGGCACUGCACUCAUGGGUAAGAAUCAUCAUGCCUUCCAUCUCCUUCUUCUUUGCAGCUACAACAUCUUUUAGGAACUUGUUGUACUGAGGAAUCAACAUGAAAGCAUCGAUGAUGGGCAUUGCAACCUGAGCUUCACUCAUUUGCUUCUCAAGCAGAGCUUUGUACUUCUCUAGCAGCUGCCUCUUGAAUCUACCAGGGAAUGGCAGUUUGGGUUCAUAGGGAGGAGGAACAAAAGAAUUCUCAGUUGCUGGAGCAACAACUUCACCAUCUUUCACUGUUUUCUUUUCUUCCCCAACCUUUCAUUUACCUUUAGCUUCCAUAAUCUUCUCCAAAAUCUCAUCAUUGGUCUUCUCAUCAACAAUUACCACAUCAUCAUCUCAGUUGAUGGUCACCUCCUCACCUAGUUUCUCAGCAUCCCUGGUGAGGGUUGUAGGAGGUAACUACUUACCACUCC